rnacentral:lncRNA from 1 species
GGGUGAUUUAUUAACGUUGUCCGUGUCGUCCCAUCCUGCAGGAUUUCCUUCUUUUUUAAGGCUGAGUAGCCCCACGCGGCAUUGCGUAUACAAUUCAUCUUCUUCCGUUCACCUCUUGAAGAACAUUUUGGUUGUUCGCCUCUCUUGGCUGUGGUGAAUAAUGUUGCAGUGAACAUAGGAGUGCGGCUGUCUCUUCCAGACCUUGACUUCGGUUCUUUUGUACGUAUACCCGGAAGUGGGAUUCCCGGCUCAUAUGGUAGCUCUAGUUUUCAUUUUCUGAGGAGCCUCCGUACUGUUCUCCGUAAUGGUUGCACCAGUUAAUGUUUCUAGCCACAGUACAGAAGGCUUCUCUUUUCUCUACAUUCUUGCUGAGACUUGUCUUUAAUUUUUAUUGUUUUUUAAACAGCCAUCCGGACACGCGUGAGGAGGUUUUGGUUUGCGUUUCCCUGAUGAUAAGUGAUGUGGAGCAUUUUUUCUUGCACCGGUGAUUAGCUCCAUUUUAGAUAGGGGGAAAUGGAAGCUCCCAGGGGUAAAGGGGGACCCUUCCCGGGGUCACACUGUCAAUUAAUGAUGGACCUGGAAUUCAGAUGUGACCCUGGAAGUGUCACCAUUAUACUCCACCCUGUGCCCUAUCUCAACGCCCACCCCCGCUAUAGGCUGAAUGUUUGUGUCCCCCCAGAUCCGUAUGUUGACAUCCUAAUGCCCGGUAUGAUGUCACUGGGAGGUGGGGCCUUUGGGAGGUGCUUAGGUCAUGAGGGUGGCACCCUCAUGAGUGGCAUUAGUGUUCUAAUCCUGUGUGCAUCCCAUCCCUUGAGGCUGUAGUGAGCAGGUGGCAGUCUGCAAGCCCAGAGAGGGUUCUCACCAGAGCCUGAUCACACGGGCACCCCGAUCUUGGACUCCCAUCCUCCAGAACUGUGAGAAAAUAGAUGUCUGUUGUUUGUAAGCCUCCCAGCCAGUUAUUUUGUUAUAGCAGCCGAAAUGGAUUAAGACACCCCUCCGAGUUAAUUAGGACAGUCAGUGGGCCAGUUAGCUGGCCCAGGCAGGGGAGAAGGCAACACUUUAAUUCAGGCUGAGUCCUAAAGAGGGGGAAGGGGUGGGUGGGAGCAACAAGGGGGGAAGGUGGAGGGAGAAAGGCCGAUCAGGAUGGCUAGAGGGGUGGGAGGUGGCGGUAAGGGGGUGGGGGAUGUGGCUGGAGGGAAGCAGGGCCGAUGUUUGGGGGAACGACACGGAGGGCUGCUGUCCUGGGAAGGCGUGAAGCUUGACCGAGGGCACGCCUGGGUCCUGGACUUAGGAAGGGUAAUGGUGUUGCAGAGACAGGCACAGUUCUAAAGGAGCCCUCAGAGUGAGGCAGGAAGAUCGAGAGGCUGCGGCUCCAUGUGGAACUAAUCGGAGUCUCCGCAGGGCUGCGCGGGGGUGGGGGGUGGGGUGGGGGGGAUCCAGAGGAAGCUGAUACAGGGCCACGUUCUGAAGGGAGGCUGGACGCCACGGCUACCCUCUUGCUCACGUCACGGUAGCCAUUCCCAUGAUCCCGCGCUGCCGUGUGGGGAAGGAGUACAUGAGUUUAGUGGAGCCAUUAGGAGGUUCCUUCACUGCUCCAGGGGAGGGGUGAUGGCGAGGAGGUGGCCCAGCAUUUGUAACAGAUGCUGAAGAUAAAGCCGUCCUUGCUGAUGUCAAGCGUGAGGGGAAAAGGGGAUAGUCAAGGAUGACCGGGUGCUUUGCUCUGAAUAGGGGUGUCGUUUACUGAAGUGAGGAAUGGAGGCACGGGAGUCGGUAGCUCCUUGACGAUGCACAGGCUAGAGGUACACGUCUGAGGAUCAUCAGGAAGAAGUGACAUUUCGGACGACAGAGGGAGAGCCCUUGGCCCCAGGAUUGGUUCCCUGGGUCUAGAUGACUCUUGAGGACUUUUUGCUACAAAGGAAAGCAGAGAGAUGCGGAGGGUUGAAUUGUGUAUCUCCCGCCCCCCAAAAGAUGUUGAAGGGUUUUGAACUUUUUUUAAGGUUUAUUCAUUUUUAAGAGGCAGAGACAGAGUGCAAGCAGGAGAGGAACAGAGAGAGAGGGAGACACAGAAUCCGAAGCAGGCUCCAGGCUCUGAGCUGUCAGCACAGAGCCCGACGUGGGGCUUGAACCCACAAACCGUGAGAUCAUGAUCUGAGCUGAAGUCGGUCGCUCAACCGACUGAGCCACCCAGGCGCCCCCAAAAAUGUUGAAGUCUUAAGGUCCAGAACCCAUGGCUGUGACCUCUUUUGGAAAUAAGGUCUUUGGAGAUGAGGUCAUUAGGAUAGGCCCCAACCCAACCUGAUUGGUGUUGUUCUAAAAAAGAGGGUUUGGACCCAGAGACACAGAGGCGGACACCUACAGAGAGAAGAUGAAGUGAAGGGACACAGAGGGGUGACAGACAUCGACAAGGCAACGAGAAAGGCCUGGAAUGGAUUCUCCCUCCCAGCCCUUAGAGGGAACCCAACAGUGACACCUUGAUCUUGGACUUCUGGCCUCCAGAGCUGUGAGACAAUACGUUUCUGUGGUUCAGGUGGUCCAGUCUGUGGUCCUCUGUUAUAGCUGACGGUGGGAGGUAUAGCUGAGGUGGAUGUGGACUUUACUGCGGGUCUGUAACCAGGGGUGGGGGGAUGGAACGACAUGCCUGUAGGAGGAGGGGAACGAUCCGGGCUCGAGGGAAAAAUGGGGCAUGUGGGAGAGCGAAGGGGUGGCUCUCUGAAAAGACCAGGUUCUGUGCAUCUUGGGCCUUUGCACACGUGGCCCCCGGGCCUCACUGGAUGGGCCGCCCCUCCGAGGGACCCGGAACUGCCCCCCUGUGCUCCGGGCACCCUCACUGCUGCCCCAUCUCUGCACUUUCCACCCACUGCCCAGUGCUCUGGGAGGGACCAGGACUCGGGACGCUGAGCCUAACAGAGUCCGGCCACAGGAGGGGCUCUGCGAACACGCUUUCAGCAAAUGAAUGUGAAUCCUUCGGGAAUGUGUUUGUCCACAGGGCGCUGGUUUCAGAACUCAUUUUGGAAAUUGGUCCUGGCACGUCCCCGUCUCUCCAGACCAACGUUGAUUUUGUCCUGUGUUUACUCAAUGCUUUGGGGGGUUAUAAAUCUGGAGACAGCUCCACCAGGAACUUUUCACUGGGGCAGACCCUGUGAACUGUGUAACCUUGAGCAAGCUACUUAACCUCCAUGACCCUUGGUUUUUCCAUUAGUCAAAUGGGGCAAAGCACUGCCCUUUUUCUGCCUCACGGAUGUGGAUGUGGUGGCUCCAGCUAAGUUCUGAAGCAGAAGCUUGGGUGUGUGGAUGCAUCAGUCUUUGUGGGCCCUAAAUGAAAGGCACAAUCAGUGGGUUUCUCGGAGAAGAGCUGGUAUGUGUGCAUGUAAAGAGGGGGAAGGUUUAGUCACUCGGUCCUCUUUAUCCAGAGCUCUGAAGUUUUAAAAGUUUUCAAUAAAGAAAGUUGAAUGGUGGCAAAGUGCACAUAACGUUUACCCUCUUAACCGUUUCUGAGCGUGCGGUUCUGUGGGUUGAACUUCCUCACAUGAUUGUGCCAUUAUCACCCCCAUCCAGAAUUUUUUCAUCACCCGCAGCUGAAAGUCGGCACCCAUUGAAUAGUAAAUCUGCAUUCCUCCCCUUCCCCCUCAGCCCCUGGCAACCACAUUCAUACUUUCUGUGUUUACGCAUUUGCUUCCUCUAGGGGCCUUGCCUGAGUGGACUCACACGGCAUUUAUCCUUCUGAAACCGGCCUAUUUCACUUAGCGUAAUGUCCCCAAGUUCAUCUGGGUAGCCUGGGUCAGAAUUUUCCUCCUUUUUAAGGCUGAAUACUAUUCCAUCGUAUGGAUGUACCAUGGUUGGCUCACCCAUUCAUCCAUCGAUGGCCAUAUGGGUGCUUUCACCCCUUGGCUGAUAUGAAUUAGCCUUCAGAAAUCUGAGCUGUACGUUACGGCUUGACUUCUACGUACGUCUCAUUGUCCGUCCGUGGCUUCUUUAGUCUUCUUGUGUGAUUCAUCUCAGUGUGUCAGAAAGCCGGACUCAUCUGGGCUCUUCUGCACUAUGCUUUUAACUUUUUUUUUUUUUUUUUUUUUUUACAUUUCCAUGAGGCCUUUUUGAGAGAAUUAAACAUUAGAUAAUUUAAGGUAUUAUGGUUUUGGAGUUAAGGCCACUUUGGUGCAUUCCCCCCCCCCCCCCCCCCCCCGGAGGAUCAUCUGUUUUAUCUCCACUUGACUUUUUCAAAAUGCUGGAACUGUCUUUUGAUUGAACUUGAAGCUUUUUUUUUUUUUUCCUUGACAUUUAUACUACCGAAGGUGGAGAAAUAAGACCUUUGCUUAUUAACAAAAUGAAUGCGUCUCUUUCCCCCAUGGGAAAUUGAAAACAAUUUAGAGAAUAGAGUAAACUUCAGAUUUUCCUGUGAUGUGAAUUUGGGUGACCUUUCCUUGAGGGAAGAUUUAAGGGGGAUCUAGCUGGGCUUGACAGUGAUGGAGCCAGGUGCCUCCGGAUUUCACCUUUGCUCGCCGUUGUUCUUUCCAACUGGAAGCACCUCCCCCCCGCCCACUCGUCUGGGCUCUUCCGGCAUCAGCAGAGAGAGCACAGCUGAGGCCCAGAGAGGUUCAGUGUAUUCGCAAAGGUCACCCGGGGAGCUGGCGACCAAGGGAAAGCAGGGCUCAACCCAGGGGCCCUCAUGAUGCAGCAGUGGACCCCUGCUCCAGACAGUAAAUUCUCAGAGGCAGUGGUGGUUUAUUGUUUGGUAUCUUCUUUCUUCCUUUUCACUCGUAUAUGCCAGAUGUGCUUGGGGAAAUUCCCCGUUAGACUAGCGCAUAGUUAGCACCUCCUUUGUCUGACCGUGUCACAUGUUCCCCCUCUGGAGACGGAGGGGGCCCGGAGUUUCCAGCCAGCUUGAUCUAGAGCCAUGGGCUGUGGCGCGGUGUUGGUGGCCGGUGCUGGAGAGGCCUGCCUGCCUUGUGCCCGUCCUUGCCCGGGAGUGGGAAGUAGAGGAUAAACAAAGCAAAGACGCCGUGUUGGAAAUAGGACUGCAGAGCUGAGAAGACGCUGAGAAGAGUGGCCUUGGGCCAGCUCCUACUCUCUCUAGGUAGGCCAGGAAUGCUGGGCCCAGAGCAAGGGGACAAAGCAGUGGAAAGAAGGAAAAAGAACCGUCCAGGACCAGGGCACCCUCCUACCUGGUCUAGUUAGCGAAGCAAAAGGAUGCUCCCUAGCCCCAGAUAAAAGCGGAUCAGAACUCAGAAACACUUGUGACUAAAAUUUGUGCUUCUUUGGGCAAGCAUCUCCAAAACCAAAUCUCCUAUCCUCCUCAGCAUCCCUUUUCUUGGGUGCGAAAGCAACUCAGAGGACCCUUAAGAGAACGGGUUUGUUUAAGCACGUCACAGGGCGUGAGCAGGGCUGAGGUAGAACGCCCCCUUUUCCCAGCUGGGUGCCGAAUGUACUGUUUGGCACCAGGGAUUAGUUUCCCAGUUUGAGCAGAAGAUCAGAUCCUGACAGAGGACAGAAGGUCAAAGGUCACACCGGUCAGGGAGGGAGGAAAACAAAACAAAAACAGGAAGUGGCCCGCUCAGGGAUUUUCCAUGGGAAGGCUGGAAAACAUAUCCGGACUUAAAGAAAAAAAGGAAGACAACGGGGCACCUCCGAAUCUUCUGGAAGCCUCUUGAGAUGUUGUUGGAACCGUUGUCAGUAGGAGCCAGCUUGAUGGAAGCAUGGAAGGGGACCAGGACACCCGGUGGGAGCCCGAGUCCUGGACGCACAUUGGCUCAUCACCGGAUCUUUCAUUGCCUCCGUCCUCCUUUUGGAAGGAGAGUUUUCACCUCUUGUAUCCCUUGGAGAGGUGUGUUCAUGUGUGUCCUAAUGUUGAGGCAUGAAAAGGGGUCUAUAACCCAGAAAACAUCCCCACCUCUAAGCAAGCGUCCGCAAGGGGUGUUUCUGAUGUAUAUGGGCAUGUAGUCUUUACAGCGAAUGUCAUAUUAAUGGAAAAACACCUGCCUCUCACUUUUAGGACUAACUGACUCAGUCCUUUUGCUACCAAAAUUCGCAAAGGUCAAGGCCAGAGAGGGGGCUGGGCAAGGCUGAGGGAGGCUGUCCUGCCAUCUUCUCUCAGUUUCAGUUCUGCCCCUCCCUCUCUGUCCUAAUCAGGACAGGGACAGACGCCCCGAGAGAACCAGUCUGUCCUCUCCCUCCUCGGCUCUGCCUUCUCAGCAUGGGUCAGGGGCCGUCGGGCAGGAGAGUGACAGGUCCUGCAUGGAGGUCCAACAGAGGAAAGAUCACCUGUUGUACGAGAGCAGGGGACAAAUAUCCUGGAUCCCAAUCCUAUGCUCUGUGCAGUGGCCACCCCCUCCCUCACAGGGCCUGACUCAGUGGGUGCUGUGCUCAGCCCUGCUUCCCGAUUUGAAUCGAGGAGUCUCCUUGCCAACAACUGAAAGGGGGGAAAACAAUCUCCAGUCCUCCGUGGCCGUGCUCUGUCUUGAGAUCAUGUUUCAGUUCCUAGUUAAUCAAGGAAUCAGAAUUUGAUGUAAAAAGAGAAGAAUAUGCCAGUGUGUUUCUAACGCCCCACAUGGAAAUGAGCCCGUAAAGUAUAUCGCAGGCAGCCACCGGAGGUCAAAGGUCACCCUCCACGUCUGACAAUUAUUUUGCUCAAAAUAAACGGUGAGCAGGACUGCAGGAAAUGAGUUGCGGCAACCUCAAUUCAUGUGUGAAAGUUUCCAAUUAAGAAUUCAAAGAACUUGUUGUUUAAUGAAAAAGUGAAACAAAUUCUCUUUAUGUGUUUCCCCACUUCCUUGGUGGUCCCUGGCAAAGAGCCGGGUCCGCAGGAAUAUGGCCGUCUUUCAGUUCACCUGAUAAAAGAGGGAGCUUGGCAAGUGAUUAUAUGACCAGAAGCGAAACGUGAAGUAAGGGGAAGGUAGUUGAUCAGACCCUCUGGCUUGGGGUUGGCAAAGCACCGCCUAGGCCAAAUACGGCCCACAGCUUAUUUUUGUCAAUAAAGUUUUAUUGGAACACAGCCAUGCCCAUUUGUUCCUGUAUUAUCUGUGACUGCUUUUGCAGUACAGGGGACAUGGGAGCUGUAUGAGGGAGCUGAAUAAUUGGGACAGAGAGACCAUAUGGCCUGCAAAGCCAAAGCAUUUGCUUUCUGUAAAAUUUCUGUACAGAAAGUUUGCCAACCCACCGUCUAGUUCAUUGGUUCUUAAUUUUUGUUGUGCAGUGAGAUCCCUUUGAAACUGUGACGAAAACUUUAUACGCACCCCCUUAUAGAAAAAUGUAUGACCUCUUUGUUAAGAAUGCCUACAUGUAACUCUAACUAGACCCUUCUCCAGAGCCUGGGAUCAAGGUAGUCCAUUCUGGACCCCUCACAGGAGGAGUUUCUGAAGGUACGAAGGACACCUUCUGCUACUAUCCACCUCCACCCACGUGCUGGUCCCAGUUGUGAUAAAGCAUGAAGAACCUCAGAGUGCAGGUCAGGGGACACAAGUUCUCUUCUGGGCUCCGUCACCCUUAAGCUGUGUGACCUUGGGCAAGUCACUUCACUUUCUCUGUGCCUUGGUUCCCUCAUGUGUCAAAUGCGAGGUCCAGAAGAGAUACUUAAGAAAAAAAAUUGUUUUAAUUGAGGUAUAAUUGACAUGUAACAUUGUAUUGGUUUCAGGCCUACAACAUAACAAUUUGAUAUUUGUGUAUCUUGUAAAAUGGUCAACACAGUAAGUCUAGUUAACAUCUGUUACCACCCAGCGUUAAUUUUUAGAUUUACGCCCUUGGUAACUUACAGGUCACCAUGUUGUCUCUUGUACCCCAUGACUUGCCUAUUUCAUAACUGGGCGUUUGUACCUCUUGACCCCCUUCAUCUUUCCACCCACCCCUCUGGCAGCCCCUUCCUCCUCUGGCAAUCACAAUUCUGUUCUCUGUAUUUAUGAUUUUCAUUUUGUUUUGUUGGUUCCCUUGUUUUACUUUUUAGAUUUUGUGUCCAAGUGAUAUCAUACAGUAUGUGUCUUUCUCUGUCUGACUUAUUUCACUUAACGUAAUGCCCUCAAGAUCCAUCUGUGUUGUCACAAAUGGUAAGAUCUUAUUUUUUAUGGCCAAGUAAUAUUCUGUCGUGUGUGUAUCUAUCUAUCUAUCUACCUAUUAUCUUCUUUAUCCCUUUAUCCAUCAAUGGACACUUAGAUUGUUUCUAGAACAGAUGAUCUGCUUAAAGCUCUUUCUGGUUUUAGAUUUCCAUGCUCUUCAAGGGUCUCCUGGAAUUUAUUUCUGGAGCUGAGUAGAUAAGGUGUUGUGAUUCAUAUACUUUCAAAACAUCUGAAAUCCCUUGGCAACAUAGACCUGUCUGGGUGGCACUGAAAUCUGGGAUUUGAUGACCACACUGGAUAUUUGGCACCUGCGGGAGAAGACCCUCACAUGCCCCGGCCUCCACCCAACCCUGGCCAGCUAUCCUGAUAAAUCGAGUACACACAGGGGCCGCUCAAAAAAGCACAGGUGGACCCAGUUCAGCCCAUCAGAACUCAGGGGAAACAAGGUAGAACCCAAGGCCUCUUUUUUUUUUUGUUUUUAAAGUUUAUUUAUUUAUUUUGAAAGAGAGAGAGUGAAGGAGCACGAGCGGGGUAGGGGCAGAGAGAGAGAGUCCCAAGCAGGCUCCACACUGUUAGCACAGAGCUCCCGGUGCGGGGCUGGAACUCACAAACCAGGAGAUCACGACGAGCUGAAAUCCAGAGUCGGAUGCUUAACCGACGGAGCCACCCAAGCUCCUGGAACCCAAGGCCUCCUGGUAGAAUGAUCCGCAAUAACACCUUCUACCAGAAUGAACACAUGCAGCUUCUCUGGGACAGAUACUGCCUGCCAGGAAGACAGGUUUUGCAUUUGGGUCGCUUUGGGUUUGAAAAGGAAAAUAAAUACAUAUUUUCACUGAUCCUAAAAAUACUUCACAUUGCUUGUAGAUAAUUUUAAGAAAUACAGAACAUGUGAAAAAAAGGUAAAACGUUACGCUGAAAUCCACCUCUGCAGAGACGAGCAUUGCUAACAACUUGAUAAACCUCCCAGGUGUCUUUUAUGCAUGCGUACCAUCAACACACAGUCACAUAAAUGGGCUGUACGUGUUUUGUCUUCUACGUGUCAUUUGCCAAAGUGAUCUGUGCUGAUAUUGUUCUGUGGCGUUGGAGGUAGAGUUCCAACAUUAUUUGUAACGGCCGCACGGUAUUUCAUUGGACGUACUAUAAUGCACGGGCUCAUUCACGUCUAGGUUUUUCCGGUUUGUGUGCGUGCAUGCUCUCUUCGUACUUAGAUCUUGUGCGUUUUGCUGCUUGUUCAGCUGAGGAGCAAUUCCUCAUCUUGAAAUUCGGGAGUCAAAGGCCGCUCCUUAAUAACUGGAACGCACAGGGUGAAACUGCCUCCAGAAGAUGUGUAGCACUCUGUGUCCACCAGCACGGAGGAGAGCCAUCCGUGUCCACUCUCUGGCCAACACUGACUGUUGCCGUUGUGGAUAUUUAGGGUCUUGGCCAAUGUGAUAGGUUAAAAGUGAUCUUGUCGCGUAGCUUUGCAUUUCCGACAUCGUUUUGGUUUUGAAUGGCACUGUCUGUGAUUAAGCAGAGGUGAAGGUAAUGACUUCAUAUCGGGUUCUGAGCCUGGCGUGAGAGCAGACGUAUAUCAUUCAGAGGAGCCCGGAGCCCGCACCGAAGAGCUCGAUGCUCUUCGAGGCCCAUAAUCCUUCACUGACUUACUUAAUCACAGGCUCACUUGCGGCUACUUUUGGGCACCUGCCUAGAAGGCCACAGGGUUCUGGUCAUGAAGGGGCCUGGAUGACAGGGAGGACAUCCGUGCCAUAAUUUUGAGGCUCUUUGCAGGCAGAGAGCUGGCCCCCUGUGUCCCGCUUGUGGCUCCGCUCGAUGCCAUGUCCACUGACGGCAUCUCCCUUGGUCUGAACGGAUCUUCCCACCUCUCUCCCGAGAUUGGCUUUAGCUAAUACAACCAAGAAAUCCUCCGGAAGAGUCAGAAAUGCCUGGGGCUGCCUGUGACAUAGUGCAAAGGGUGGAUCGGAGAGUGGAGGGCAGCCACCAGGGACGAUGGUGGAGAAGCCGAGUGCGUGGAGCGGCAGGUCUGUCCCGCAGCCUCCGCUGUGGCCUCAGGCCAAGAUGGGCGGCUGGGGCAGAAGGGGGCUGCGGCAGGGAGCCCUUCCUUCUAGGUCUGGUGCUCAGUGGUUUCCUGCUCUGCUGAAGGGCCGUUGCUCGGUGGUGAUGAUUCAUGGCAUUUGGACACUGUGGCCGUGUUCUGAACAGGGAAGUGAAAAAUAACCCAGCCGAGGGCAGUGCAGGGCAGGGCAGGGGCUGUCACAAGAUGGGAAGCUUUCCUUUGGAAAAUGCAGGGGGCGGGGGCGUCACAGCCAAGUUGGUGGCGGCGGUUCACGCCGCGUGAGUGUGGCCCCGUUUGCUCUUCUUCUGGGCAUCAACUUUUCCAAGUGUCGGCCACUAAGUUGUCCCUCGGAAGUGGCUGCUGGUCUUGGCCGAGCCGCCGUGAGGAGGAGGAAGUGGACGGGUGAUUCAGUGAGUGUCAGCUUCCUCUGUGACUUGGGAUUGGAUCCGUUUCCUAGGGUGGUGCCGGAGGGCCUGUGUGGCUUUGAAAUUCUCUGCCACUGGCGGCGGCCCUCCCUUGACCCCUUUUGAACGAGUAAGGGGAUUCAGCUGGAUUCUGCAGCCUCCCCCCAAGUUGGGCAGGCCCUUCUGACUUGAGGCCUGCCUGUGGCUCCGGCCGACAACGAUCAGUGACGGGCCGAGCUGAGGCCUCUGCUGGGUCUGUGUGCGUGUCAGGAGCUGCCUCGUAUUUGGGAACUGGAUUGCGAGAGCAGCUGGGAUCUGAGGGCCCCAGUCCGGGCAGGUGUUAGACUGAGGGAGGAGGCAGUUCAACUGCCCGGAGCCACCAGCUCUCCUGGAGGCCAUUUGUCCACGUAGCCAGUGGACGACAGGAGACGGCCAGAUGCACAGCUGCUUCCUGCCCACGAGGAGAGUCAUGACUGGCUUUUUCUUCCGGAGCACCGAGUUUUCCAUGGCUCUGUCGUUAGCGCGCAGCCUACGCGGCCAUUGCUGCCCUCGCCUGAAACCUGUUCUAAGAAGCACUUCAAUCAUCCAGAUCCUCGCCUCUGCCUAAGAGUCCGUAGUCCUAAAAGCACUGACUUGGUAAAGACUGAAAGACCCUCUCAAAAAAUGCUGCAGGGGCUUCUGUAUUCGAAUGCCUUCCAUCACCUUGGAGAACAGCCUCCGCUUCCGGGUCAGUUCUGUCCCACCUCUUCCCCCCUCCGUCCCCUCCUGUUUCUGUGGCCAGAACAGAGGUCAGCUGGUCUUACUCAGGCAGGAUGGCCAGCAUCCAGUCACUGGGGUAUUUAAUGAGGACUCUAGUAUUAGUCACACGCACAGAAGUGCAGCUCAAACCAGUCGGGGCUUCCAGAAAGGAGCUCUGUGUGACAACUGUACAGGGGGGGAGGGGCCCCGAGGCACUUGCAGCUGGGACCUGACCCUGCUGGGUGCUCUGUCCUUUCUCUCACAUCAUCUUCCAGCAAAACAGUGAUUUUGAUCUCUUUGAUAAGCUUUCUCCACACGGAAUGUGCACGAUUGCAGUUUGCUUAUCACACCUCACAGCAUCACUGCCAGAGAGGGGCUGAGAGUUCCAAAGUUCCAGAGAGAGGCCUCGAUGGCCUUCCCUGGGGUCAGAUGACCAUCACUGACUCAAUCACUGUGGCCAGGGAAGGAUCUCUGAGCACAUGGCUUUUCGCAUUUGGACCCUAUGAUUAGCGCUGCGCUAAGCAGGGGAGGCAGUAUUUUCCAGAAGGAGGGGCUCCUGUCCCGGGCAGACAAACAAUGGGCCCACUCCCCCGGUGUUCUGAGCUCUUCCUCACCCCCAGGCUGAGGACUCAGGCCCUCACUGCCUCCCCUCCGCCUCUCCCGGGCCAGGGGGUCCCCUCAGAACCCACUGUUUUAUUGCUUAAAAAUCCAUAAGAGAUGGGGGUUUUCUCAGCUAAGUUUUUUGCGGGGGGGCGGAAUACACGUCUGGGGCGGGAGCUGUACGAUUUUCUGAGGAGACGGCCUCGGAGGAUCUAAGCAACGAGUGAAGGAACAACAAAGGGACCCUUCUCAGAAGCAUGGCAAAAAUGAAACCAAAUAAAAACCCCAUAAAAAUCCCUACUGGGGCAGAGGAAAUACCAGCGUGAUGCUUUUGAGCCACAUCUUCAGUAAUAAAGGAAAGAUUCAAGGAUCGGCCGUUCUGACGGGAUUAUGUUUGGGCUUGAGGGAGAAUGUGCUGGAAAACAAUGAAAGGGAGUCAUCCAAGCAAGGGAGGUCUGUUGGUGCGUGCAUUUGUAUGUGUGUUGUUGCAAUUCAGGAACUGACCGAUGACCAGGGUCAUGGGGAGUCUGAGAGAGACACCCGACAGGAACCGGUUCAAAGUUUGUGCCCAGCCUGGGGAGAUCAGAUGACCGGCAGCUGGCCUGCCCCCUGCCGGCUCCCAUUGAUGUCGGAGGGGCUCUGACCCCCGUUUGGUCACAGAAAUACCCGUUUGGAAAUCUCUUUGAAGGCUGAUUAAGUAAACGCUCUCGCGGCACCGACAGUAACAACCGAGUGACGUAGUCGAAGUGCUCGUGGUAAGUGGAGGAAUCUCUGGCUGCCAAGCUGACAGGCAACUCGCCUUUCUGUUCCUCUAACUUGGCCUCCCUGCUUCCGGUCGCAGUGUCGGGCACAGUGUUUCGAGGGGACGGGGCUGAGGAUGUGGAGACUCUCACUGUCAUCGCGCGGGUGGGACAGGGCCCCAGGGACGGAGCGUGGUCCUGCCGCACAGCAGCUGGCCGCGGCCAGUGACCGGUAGUCCUCCCGGCACGGCUAACCUUUGAUGUUGCUCGUGGGGUCCUUCCAUCUGGUUUGUGGCCUCAGGCUGCUGUGACCCCCAGCGGGGGUGUCUCCCCGGGCCUCCCGGGGCCCGGCAGGGUGAGCGUGAAGGAAAAGUCUGGUUUUCAUCCGGGAGCGUGGAGCCCCUCUCUGCGUGACGGCUCUGCUCGCGGCCUGGCCAACUGGACGAGAGCUGCCGGACGGGGGAGUGGGGGCCCCUUCGUCACUUUACUGCCCUCGUUAUCUUGGAGACCCCGUUGUCGUUGGGGGUGGGGGGGGAGCGGGCUGCCAGCCCUGGACCCAGCUAUGCCUCCGUACCCGGCAGUGUUGACGUCCGUUCAUUCACUUCAUCCGUCACGGAUCCAUCCACUUACCCAUUCAUCCGGGGCUGUCGUUCAGUCAUUCGGUGACUAUGUGACCAGGUCUCCUUAUCUUUUAUCUUUGCUGCCUGGCACAGGGCCAAGCUUGUAGGAGGGACUCCACACACGUUCGCUGACUUCUCUUCCUGCUUCACCUCUGUUAUGGUUCACGGUCUACGUUCACGUCCAUGAUGUUGAAGUGCUAAUCCCCAGGACCCUGGAAUGUGACUGUGUUUGGAGAUAGGGUCUUUAAAGGGGUAGUUACGUUAAAAUGAGGUCAUUUUAAGUGAAAAUGAGGCCCUGAAGCAAUCCUUUUAAAAAAAAUUUCUUUUAAUGUUUAUUUUUGAGAAAGAGAGAGACAGAGCAUGAGCAGGGGAGGGGCAGAGAGAGGGGAAGACACAGAAUCCGAAGCGGGCUCCAGGCUCUGAGCUGUCAGCACAGAGCCCAACGUGGGGCUCAAACUCGUGAACCGAGAGAUCAUGACCUGAGCCGAAGUCGGACGCUCAACUGACUGAGCCACCCAGGCACCCCCAAACCAAUCCUUAUAGGAAGAGGAGUUCGCAACCCAGGCACAUACAAGGGGAAGAUGAUGUGAAGACACAGGGGGGAAGACAGCCAUCGACAAGCCAAGGAGAGAAGCCUGGGACCGAUCCUUCGUCCAAGAAGGAGCCAACCCUGUCGACACCUUGGUCUUGCACUUCCAGCCUCCAGAGCUGUGGGGAAAUAAAUUUCUGUUGUUUAAGCUGUCCCAGUUUAUGGUGCUUUUUUAUGGCCACCCUAGCCGACUAACACAGCCUCUCCACAGGUCUGUAGAGCACGUAACCAAGUGCAAGGUGCUGUGGGACAUCCAGAGACAAAGUUGAGAAGUCUGGGAAAGAGGAACAGCGAGGGGGGGCCGUCCUCUGUUCACAUUUUCUUCCCCCAAAUCCCGCUCUCCUCCACCUCUCCUUACCUCUAUCUAUCCCCAACAGAAGGGGAAACAGGAGGAAAUGAAAUAAAGGGCUCCGCAUGAGAUGCCAUCCUGCAGAAGGUCUGGCAACGCGUGAAAGCCCUUUAAUGUAGAGUCAGAAACGCCAUUUAGUUCUUUAUUUAUUUCUGCCCGCCUCUCUUCCCCGACAAGUUCUUAUUCAGCACACGUAUGUGUAUGCACAUGACCAGAAGGUACGCAUGAUAGCCGUGUGUGCCCGGGGGAAGACCGCGAAGAUGAUCCACAGCUUUUGGGGACACACACGAUUGUACAGCUGGCAGCACGUUCCCCAGUCCCAGCUUUAUGGUGCCUGGUAGCCGGGAAGGGCCACAGCCAGCUCUCUCUCGGGACCAUGCAUUCCCUCACUCGUUGCCCUUUGUGAUUAAAGAUGACGCUUAUGUGAUGUUUCUCUACAACUGUUACCGAGAGGUUGUCCUUUGAAUUAAGGCCCUGGACAGUGGCUAUGGGCUGUGAUCUCUUUGCAGGAAUCAUGAGGUCGUUUCACUGUGGAGUAAUCUUGGGAUCUCUGGGAACAUUUCUGAGCCUUCUGAUCUGCUGGGCCUAUUGAGAAGCCAGGUCCAUUUGAAAAUUUGCACAGUAUGGAAGUCUCGAUGUUUUUAAAAUUUAUUUUACUUUUUAUAUUAUUUGAGAGAUGGGGAGGGUAGAGAGAGAAAAUAUUCAGCAUGUCCCUAGGAUCAUGACCUGAGUCAAAAUCAAAACCAAGAGUCGGACAGUCAACCAAUUGAGCCACUCAGGUGUCCCACCAUUUUUCAAUCACACAUUUUUUUUUAAUGUUUUUCUUUUUUAUUUUUGAGAGAGAGAGAGAGAGAGAGAAAGAGAGAGAGAGACAGAGUGCAAGUGGGGAAGGGGCAGAGAGACAGAGACACAGAAUCUGAAGCAGGUUCCAGGCUCUGAGCUGUCGGCACAGAGCCUGACGCGGGGCUUGAACUCACAGACCGUGAGAUCAUGACCUGGGCUGAAGUCGGCCGCUUAAUCGACUGAGCCACCCAGGCGCCCCAAUCAAAGACAUUUUUACUACACAAACUCAGUAACAAUCCUGUUCCCCUCUGGGGUCCUUGUGCAAUCCUAGUUUAGCUCGUUGAUUUUAAAGGGAACGGGGAUUCCAGGAGCUCCUAUUGGCCAACCGGUCCCAUGUUGCAGAGUACUGGGUCCCUAAAGGACUUUGGCAAAGAUAUCACCGCCAGUGUGGUUGCGAUCAGCUUCUGUGUGCAUGUCCAGGAGUGAGAUUUCCACAUCAUGGUCACUCAUACUGAUUGGCAUUUCUGAAGUGUGGUGGCAUUUCUUCAUUUAACGUUGAUGUUGACACAAGCAUCCUAUCUUUUCUACAUACACGCAAAUGAACAUGCUCCCUGGAUGGUUUGAGGGCUCGUCCGGCAAAGCCACCACGUGCAGGGCCACUCCCUGUCUCACUUCCUCUUGAGUGCCUUCCUUGGUUGGACAUUCAUUCCUCCCCUCUUCUCCACCCCAUAAGACCUGAGGUGUGCCCAUCUCUGGAGAUUAUCUGCAUUUUAAAAUGAAUGACCCCCUCCCUCCCCCCCGGGGUGCCUGGGUGACUCAGUCUUUUGGGCAUCUGACUUCAGCUCAGGUCAUGAUCUCACAGUUUGUGAGUUCCAGCCCCAUGUUAGGCUCUGUGCUGACAGCUCAGAGCCUGGAGCCUGCUUCAGGUUCGGUGUCUCCCUCUCUCUCUGCCCCUCCCCUGCUCGCACUCUGUCUCUCUCUCUCUGUCUCUCAAAAAUAAAUAAACAUUAAAAAAAAUUAAAAUGAAUGACCCCUGAACACAUAAGCUUUCCAAACUCCAAGGAAUUUUCUUUCAAUGCUUAAAUGGAGCCAAGAGUUGCUACCUGGACUGGUUGGGCAGAUGGGUCUACUUUGCUUUACUCAAGUAACCAAGCCAGUGGUUGGCCUGGCUCUAAGUCCAGCGGGUACCCCUUUCCUUGGUAUGUGUUUUGUGUGAUGCGGAUGACCCUCCAGCCAAGGCCAGAGUGUGACUUAAGGGUGUGUGAUUAUGGGUCUACUGCAAGGUGGAGGCUGAGUCGGGCCCUCGGUGCUAUCUCUCUGCCACUUCCUCCUAGCCCCAGAACUAUAUUUACUAUCUAGCAGAUAAAAAAAGACAGCUCCAUGUGCUCUCAGACCCCAUGCCCUCUCCUCCCCGGCUUCGAUUUCGUAAAUGGUGGUUCCUCCAGAGAAGCGACCGGAGCCCGUAACCGUGUGUGUGCUUUUCAAUAACCUUAUGACUCCCAGCGUGGUCCAGCCAAUGAGGACGGAGCAGUGACCCUUAGAUAAAAGGCUUCAUUUGGCAUGACUCAUCCUUGGAGACAUCCCGCUUGCUUGGCCUGUGUUGUUAAGUGCCUGGUUUUGUAAAUAUUGACAGUUAGAAACCAUCCUAGGAACUACUGAGCGGUGAUCUGGAAGGUAAUGUAUAUGAAUAUGACCAGUGAUUAGGCAAUGCUUGUCAUUUGCUAAGAUUCAGCCACUGAUAAAUAUCACCCCAUUAUCUUCCUUCCUAAUAGCGGCUCGUUUGCUUGCGUGUGACUCAUCGUUGAUAUAUUAUGAGGUCUGAUUCAGCAAGGAAAGUUUGGUCUGCUGCGACAGAGGACAACAUCCAAGGCCACCUCGGUUUUUAGGAUACUAGUUUCUUAACAAGGGUGGCUUGUUAGGAAGCGAAAGUUCAAAAGUCCCCAUCACUAAGAAACUAAAGGGGGUUUGGGAGGGAUAAAGAGCAGAACAGUGCUUUUCACCAUUCAAAGCUGAUGUGCUAAAACCUACUUCUCCAUGUAGAUGUACGUUCGUUGCAUUCACCCGUGGACGCCUGUGGCUCCACGAGGCCGUCUCUCUCUGUUCAAGGCUACACUUUGGGGCUCGUCGGGCCUGCUCUCAGACGAAUAAUUUCUGCUCACACAGAAACUGGUUUUUAUCUCUUGCCCUCCCUUUGUCACUACCUAAAAUAAAUAUCGUCACCUGAAUGUCUGUCGAUGCUUUCUGAUGGGUUUGGCUGUUUGGUUUAUUGAACUUUAUCACCUGCAGGAACUUCCCUCUUUGACUCACAGCCCUUUGGAAUGGCCCUUGUUUAUUUCCUUCAUUUGCUCUGGGCUGAGGGUCUGUCCUGCCAAACCAGGGAUGAGCUUUUCAGUAGUUGGGCUUUGAACAUGGGCCUUUGGCAGACUGGUAUGCCAGAUAAAAGCACUACCCUUGGCUGAAGGCAGGUGUGUAUGCACAUGUGUAUACACACACACACACACACACACACACAGAGCUGCGUCCCUCUGUAUCACCACUUAACACUUACUAUGCCGUCCUGUAAUGAGAGCUGAGCUCCGCCUGGGCUGACCACAUCAACACUGCGAAGGAAGCAUGCAUCACCUUGAUGUAAGCCACCUCUUGACCACUCGCUGGCUGUGUGACUUUGUGUGAGUUACUUAACUGCUCUGAGCCUCAGAUUCCUUACUUGUAAAUUGAGGAUAAUAAUACCUACCCUUCAGGGCUAGCGAGAGAUAACGUAUUUAACCCACACGGAUCAUAAAAACCGUUCAGUCGCCGGUCGCUGUUAUCGUCUUUAGUACCAAACCACGGUGAAAACUUGUUGGCAACAAUUUUGGGGUGUUAUGGGUUCGACUGUUAAGGGUCGACUGUAGCUCUGAGGCUUUAUACACAUCGUAUCAGCCCUUCAGGAGCUGGAGGCUCGGGAGUCCUGCCGGCCGGCGUUAGAAGCAGGCAUCUCCGGCCAUCACUUGCGUCAGCUUUCAGGGACACUGGAGGUCACGACUGUGUGUGUGGUUAGCAGAGGCUGGCAACUUGCUGUGUCAGGAGGACACUAGGGCACCCGCCUCACCUUUGCCCCCAUCACACAAGCACAGGCUGGUCUGUGUGCCGUUGGCCAAACAGCUUCACAAAGUCCUUGCUUAACCACUUGGCACUGGCUGAAUGUUCUGUCCUUUUGUUCAGGUAGCUGACGCACCUGCCGAGUUGCAGGGCAGUGUUCCGGAACCUGCCGAUAGUCCAUAUUUUUAAUUUUUUUUUUUAACGUUUUUAUUUAUUUUUGAGACAGAGACAGAGCAUGAACGGGGGAGGGGCAGAGAGAGAGGGAGACACAGAAUCGGAAACAGGCUCCAGGCUCUGAGCCGUCAGCCCAGAGCCCGACGCGGGGCUCGAACCCACGGACCGUGAGAUCGUGACCUGGCUGAAGUCGGACGCUCAACCGACUGCGCCACCCAGGCGCCCCGAUAGUCCAUAUUUUUAACGGAAUGUCGAUGGAUGAGCGAUAGGAGUCCAGUCUGUGGGGAUCUGUGGGGGCGGGGAUGGGAGCGGAGGGGGAACUAGGGUGCUUGAAUAGUGGGAAGGAAGUUCAGGUUGACAGUCAUUCCGCUCGGUCCUGGUGAUCAGAAGGAAACAGACUGCUCGAGCAGGAGUUCCUCCUCCAAGGGCCCUCCCUGUGGCCCCAAGCCCCCUCUCCCAGGGAGACGCUUUACACGGGGCAACGAGACGGAAAAUUCUGCCCUCACGGGACUGCAUUAUUAACUGCGUAUCUGUGGCAUCAGGGCCAUAUGGCAUGUUUGAAGGAAUGGAGAGGAAUUCAGUAGCGCAACAUGCAGACCCCGAAGGAGAGAGAAUUCUCCUGCAGUGGCCACAAAGGAGGAAGGUGUGCUUCGUGGAGAAAAGGUCCUUGCCGUGACUGUGAAAGGCCAGCACACUUACACUUAAUAAAUGAGCGCUUCCCGGCACAAACACUUCCCGACGGUGAGAGAGGCCCUCGGCGGCCCGCCCAGGAAAGGCCCCCGUGGCACGAAUCCCUGAAUGUCCCAGGAGGUUGGACUGUGCUUCCCUGAGAGCCCAGAGAUCACCCAGCAGGGCUGGGGUCAGUGGUGUCCCCAGAGGGAGCACAUGUGAGGCUCCGAGGCAGGUAGGCCAGCUUUGGCUGCCCGGAGAUGAGAGCUCAUCCCUCCCUUAGGGGUCUCUGCACGGUAAGCCAGCAGGGGAGCAAGUGUCCCCUCUCAGUGGCGACCAGUGGAGGCAGAGGCUAGAGGGAGGCAAGGCUGUAAAGGCACCCACUGUGACCAACUUGGAGGAUAUGCAUGGGUUGCCCUCUAUUGGAUACAUCUGCUUCAAGAUACCCUAAAUCCUUCAGGUCUAGGAUUCUCUUCCAUGGUGCCCCAAAGAGUCAACAUAGCCUCAAGCUCGUUUCCACCUCCGUGAGUACUGAACGAGAUGAUGCUGUAUGAGACACGUGCUACGGUAUCUGGCACAUGGGGUGUGUUUAAUACAUGUCCCCUCGUGUCGUUACCGCCACAUCAUUACGUCAGACUCCUGGUGCGCGUUUGCACUUUAGAGGUCGGCCUUCCGACCAGCUUCCCCUCCAGCAACCAUGCCCCCACCCCAUCUUCCUCCCCCCCAAGAGAGUUUGGGCUCCUUUUUGCUUUCUUUGUGUUCUGAACAAAUGAAUUCCUCUUAUUCAUUCACUUGCUUAUUCAUCAGUCCUCUGAACACUUCUGCCAAAGAUUUACUGUGUGCUGGGCCAGCUGUCUUGCUGAAGUGCUGUUACCUGCUUAUGACACUCCCAUACACAGCACCCCCAUAUAUACAAAUGCAAUGCUCUUUUUUCAGGUUCCAGGUCUAAUUACUGAAUAGAGAUGUGUGAUCUCACUCGCUUUUUUUGUAUGUGUACUUUUCCAUCACCAACGUGUUUCUCGUGGGAACUUCAUGCCUGCAGAGAGCAUUUGGAGGCUCUGGUUUAGAGAAUGUGGACUGUUCUAAGGACCUCUGAGGCCCUUGCUGUCCAGAUCAGAGGAGAGGAGGAGGGAGCCACCAUGGUCGGGUGGGAGAGAAUCAGGCCCGUUACGUACCUCGGGCCUGCUCCCUACCGGACUCCACUUGGAACCACUUUCCAUUCUGUGAGGUCUGGGACAGAUUUCUCCUUUAUAAGAGCUGGCGGGGCAGAGACAGACAGAGUCAGGUCAUUCUGGAAACCAAGUCAUCUUGCUGAGGCCAUAUGGCAAUGAAGAGCCACAUAGAGAUCUGUCCACUCCACCAGCACUUCCUGUGUGGCCACCCACAGGACCCUGCCUGGAGCGUUGGUGCUGCCUGUGUUGAAAAAAUGUGCACAGAAACAGUUUAAAGGGGAAACAAAGAUAUUGCAGGCUCAGGCUACCAAUGCUUACUUAUCUUUGGAACCCUUGUUCUAGAGAGUUCUGUCAUAACAUGAGGGCAGCUGUUGCUCUCUGGAAUGAGUAGAGGAAGAACAGCUCCCAAUUGUNNNNNNNNNNNNNNNNNNNNNNNNNNNNNNNNNNNNNNNNNNNNNNNNNNNNNNNNNNNNNNNNNNNNNNNNNNNNNNNNNNNNNNNNNNNNNNNNNNNNNNNNNNNNNNNNNNNNNNNNNNNNNNNNNNNNNNNNNNNNNNNNNNNNNNNNNNNNNNNNNNNNNNNNNNNNNNNNNNNNNNNNNNNNNNNNNNNNNNNNNNNNNNNNNNNNNNNNNNNNNNNNNNNNNNNNNNNNNNNNNNNNNNNNNNNNNNNNNNNNNNNNNNNNNNNNNNNNNNNNNNNNNNNNNNNNNNNNNNNNNNNNNNNNNNNNNNNNNNNNNNNNNNNNNNNNNNNNNNNNNNNNNNNNNNNNNNNNNNNNNNNNNNNNNNNNNNNNNNNNNNNNNNNNNNNNNNNNNNNNNNNNNNNNNNNNNNNNNNNNNNNNNNNNNNNNNNNNNNNNNNNNNNNNNNNNNNNNNNNNNNNNNNNNNNNNNNNNNNNNNNNNNNNNNNNNNNNNNNNNNNNNNNNNNNNNNNNNNNNNNNNNNNNNNNNNNNNNNNNNNNNNNNNNNNNNNNNNNNNNNNNNNNNNNNNNNNNNNNNNNNNNNNNNNNNNNNNNNNNNNNNNNNNNNNNNNNNNNNNNNNNNNNNNNNNNNNNNNNNNNNNNNNNNNNNNNNNNNNNNNNNNNNNNNNNNNNNNNNNNNNNNNNNNNNNNNNNNNNNNNNNNNNNNNNNNNNNNNNNNNNNNNNNNNNNNNNNNNNNNNNNNNNNNNNNNNNNNNNNNNNNNNNNNNNNNNNNNNNNNNNNNNNNNNNNNNNNNNNNNNNNNNNNNNNNNNNNNNNNNNNNNNNNNNNNNNNNNNNNNNNNNNNNNNNNNNNNNNNNNNNNNNNNNNNNNNNNNNNNNNNNNNNNNNNNNNNNNNNNNNNNNNNNNNNNNNNNNNNNNNNNNNNNNNNNNNNNNNNNNNNNNNNNNNNNNNNNNNNNNNNNNNNNNNNNNNNNNNNNNNNNNNNNNNNNNNNNNNNNNNNNNNNNNNNNNNNNNNNNNNNNNNNNNNNNNNNNNNNNNNNNNNNNNNNNNNNNNNNNNNNNNNNNNNNNNNNNNNNNNNNNNNNNNNNNNNNNNNNNNNNNNNNNNNNNNNNNNNNNNNNNNNNNNNNNNNNNNNNNNNNNNNNNNNNNNNNNNNNNNNNNNNNNNNNNNNNNNNNNNNNCCCGCGCCGACUUCCCUUACACAGCAGGUGUGGCAACCUCUUUCUUGGGAAAUGCAGGACACAGAGGAUGAUGGGGGGGCGGCCUUAUUGCCUAAGCUCCCUUAAGAGAGUCACCCUUUCGGUGCGUUGGCCGGUUGAAUUAUGCUUCCCAGAAGCCUCCCCUAGUUCUGUCGUGCGGACACUCAGGGCCUGUUUACAAAUAAAAUCGGAGCUGGCAGAGGUUACCUGUAUGUAACCAGAGGCUAGAGAAAUACUGAUUCCACCACCCAGAAGGUGGAGUUCAAUCCGUUUUCUGGCCAAGGCCGCACGGUUAAUUUUUAUCCUAGUAAAGAAUAAUAAACACGGCAUUAGCAACUAAAUGUUUAUCAAUUUACAGUUCAUUUCCAGCCAGAUCAUUUCACUCCAGCAUGUUUUUACUGCUAGCUGAUGCACUGGAGUGCUUUUCGUGAAACCAUAUGUGACUAUUUAAGUCCUAGCCUCCGUAGCAUUGAUGUGGUGCUUUUCACCGUAAUGGGACGAUAUUAUUUGGCUAUUUCAGGCACGGUCUUCCAAUAUUACAUUCGAAUGAUGAAGAAACUGCAGCGAAGAAAGUUUACAUGACCGGCUGGGGAUCACCCCACGGUUGGGAGAUGAUGCUAAACAAGGAUCCCCAAGUUUUUGUUUUGCUUUUAGUCCAGUGCAAACCUGUGUGCACUGGACCAUGUGCCUGAGCAGGGCUGCCUUGCUGGGGUUUCUUUUCCUCUUACAGUGAGUUCAUACCAGAAGGGGCGGCAGAGCAGGGGUGAGGAACCCCGAAUAGGAGGAAUGCCUUAUCAAGGGAGAUAAACAAUGAGAGUACGAUUGAAGCUGAAGUCCGUGGGGCUGCCCAGACAGCCAGCCCGUCUUGCAAGUGCUUUGGCUGGUUUUGUUGGGUCAGUGGACUCACACCAUUCGAUGGUGUCAUCUCUCAUUUAUCACCAGACUGCGAUAGCCAGAAACGAUGCAGUGAUGACAAAAUGAAGGCAUGGCUAUCCUGUGAAUCAUGCAGGCAUUCAACCCUCCUCCCAGCUUCCUGGUUCUUCUUCCUUUGAGCGUGAAAUAGAAACCUCGAUGUGGCCACAUGCUUCGGGGUGGAUCCGAAGGGACUACUUGGGGAAAGGGAGAGAAAGGAGAGCUUACAGAGGCAGCAGUGUAGAUCGGAGUGAGCCGGUCGUACAUUCCGUUUCUAUCCCCUCAGGAAAAUAACUCACCGUUUUGAAGCCUUAGUUUUUAACCUUGUAAAUUUGAGGGGAUAGUAAGUCUUCUUUCAGAGGGCUAGCAUACGCAUCAGGCGCAUGUGUACCCAGGGCUUGGCAAAGUGCUUGGGAUCUAGCAGACGCUCAAGAAAUGCUCUUGAUGAGCAGGGUAGGCUUGACAGGGGCUGGUAGGCGAUGGGUUGAAGAUACUAUAUUUGCAACUCCACAAAUGAGGCAAUGCCCCAUUUCCCAAUGAGCAGGUUACAAAAGUCUUGUGUGUGUGUGGUUUUUUCCCUUGGUCAGCCUGAAUCUAUAUACUUUAAUGAUGCAAGAGAAAGAGUCAAAUUUCUAGUUAUAAGAUUUAUUGAUUUAAUUAUGUGCAUAUAUAAAAUCAUACACACAUGUAUAUUUUUUUUAGAAACGUUGUCUUUUUUUUUUCAGUCAUUAUUCGGACUCUUCAUCAUCACCUGUCUUUGUCAUCACUCGAGCCCCUUUUUCAGUGAUCUCACCCAGUCUUUGAGAACAUACCACCCUGCUUCUGCCCAAGUAUCUUUGGGGUUUAGUACUUUUUGAGUCUGUGUGUUGUGGUCCCUGGAAAUGUUUGCUCAAGCUCAAUACCCAUGCACUAUUUGUGAUCUCCAUAAAGCUAACUUCUUGUUGUACUGCUUGUAAAGGUGAUUUUAAUGAGGUUGGGGCUACACAAGGGAAUGUUCGUGCAUUUUAACGAUGCAUACCAAUGUAUGAAGGGGUGAAAUGACACCAGGUUUGGGAUUUUCUUUAAGCUAGUUCAGCAAAGAGAGGCGUCUGACUGGCUCAAUCUGUGGAGCACAUGACUCUUGAUCUUGGGGUUGUAGGUUCGAGCCCCACAUUGGGUGUAGAGAUUACUUAAAAGUAAAAUUGGAAAAGAGAGUUCAGCAAAGAGACAAAGACAAAAGACAAAAAAGGAACAAGUGUAGCAAAUUUGGAAAAAUCUAGGUUAUUAUUAAUCUGGGUGAUGGGCAUAUGGAACUUCAUUUUACUAUAUGCUUUUUUGAUAUGUGUAAAAAUUUUCAUAAUAAAAACAUUUUUUUAAUGAGCUGUAAAAGACUUGCUUACAAUAUCUAAUUCUUAUAGUUGGAGGCCAAACCUCCUGGAAUAACUACAAAAACUUUUAAAUGUGUUUUUUUAUUAAAAUGGUUAAAAAAAUGUUUUUAAGUUUAUUUAUUUUUGAGAGACAGAGAGAGAGAGACAGAGCGUGAGCAGGGGAGGGUCAGAGAGCGAUGGAGACACAGAAUCUGAAGCAGGCUCCAGGCUCUGAACUGUCAGCACAGAGCCCGAUGAGGGGCUCAAACCCAUGAACUGCGAGAUCAUGACCUGAGCUGAAGUCGGUCAUGAACUGAGUCACCCAGGCGCCCCUAAAUGUUUUUUAUUAAAAAAAAAAACAACAACCCAAAUCAUACCUCCAGGAAAUCUCCAUAAUCAUCCCAGACAACCACUGAUUGAAUUCCUUUCAGGGUAUUUUGUUAUUUAAAAUAAAGAACCUGGAUGGCUCAGUUGGUUAAGCAUCAGCUCUUGAUUUCGGCUCUGGUCAUGAUCCCAGGGUUGUGGGAUCAAGCCCUACAUCAGGCUCUGCGCUGACAGCACGGAGCCUGCUUGGGAUUCUCUCCCUCUCUGUCUCUCUGCCCCUCCCCCACUCACAUGCACAGGUGAGCUCUCUCUCACAAUAAAUAAGCAUUUAAAGUAAAAUAAAAUAAAGAAAUUGAGUGAGCACUCGAUAAUAUGAGGAACUUUUAAGAGACACAAAUACAAGAUGACAUCUCAGAUUUGCCCACAUGUGUUAUUUUCCUUUGUCUUUGUUGGGGUGAGGGGAUGGGGUUGGUAUGGGCCCCAAACAGAUAACUUUUGUAAGUGAUGGGGAGCUGGCCAGGGUACUUUGUCAAAAGUACCUAUUACCUAGUGCCCUUGUUGGCAUCUGAGCUGGAAGGCACAGGAUAGCAGGGAACAUGCUGUCCUGGGAGCCGGCCUGGUGUCACAGGCCUGGGAUGGGGCGUCAGUCAUGGUGUAAAAGGGGAGAGGCCGCAUUUUCUUCGUUGGGCAACGCUUAUCCCCUGGACAGAGGGCACAGAGCUAUGAUGUACACAGCCAAAAUGAGAGGGGUUGGGGCAACUGUCCAGCGAGCUCAGUCUAAGUCAGGCAAGAGUGUUGGGGCCUCAGAGUCCUAAAUAGGCACGGUCGGGAGGAAUCAGAAAACUCUUCAAAAUUUACAUUAGUUUCAUAGUAAUGGCUUUUCCAAGGGGGGGGGGGGAGAAAAUACAUUAUUUUUAAACAUUUUGGAAGGAUAAGAUUCCUUCCAUGCAAACAGAGUGGAUUAUUUGCCAGAGAGUAUUGAAAUUAAAAAUAUCUACCCAGCCUGUGUGGGAAGUCUGGAAUUCUCUGGAAUUCUUUUACUUUAUUGUCUUCUCCCCCACGAAUGCACUGUGCCGUGCCACAGGCCAGUCACAACCUUUCAGAGAGUUACUUCUGACACUUUGUGGUAUCACCUCCGUCACACUGACCAUGUCAUAAGAGAGAGAAUCUUUCGUGUUUUGGAAGAACCUUCUCUCAGACAUAAAAAUCACAGCGUAAUGGCUGUAGAGUGACCAUCUCAACGUUACGGUGCGAGCAGACCGGAAUGCAGACAAACAAAGUAAAAGAAACAAACGGAGAGCAGGUUCUUUGUGGAAGAUGCGUGGUUUUGUGAUGAGCUAAGUGUCGAUUCUAACCCCCAAGGACCGAAAAGUGUGAGGUUAGGUAAGCGUCUGCCAGAUUCAUUAUUGCCAUGUGGAUUCUGUGAAGUCAGCUUACAGGUCACUGGCAGUAGCUGCCGAGUAAAGUUCACUGACUGCAUCCGUGCCCCGAUUGGGCAGUUCCUGAAAACACCGCCUGCACCACCUUCUGGAAGCCCUUUGCUACCUUCAGGUCCGCACCGUGAGGGCGGACGCUUCUAGCACGGGAGCUCUGGAUGAAUUCUGCAGGCAUUGCUUGAGAAAUGCCAAGUGGCCACUGGCCAGGGUCUAAGUUAAACCAGGAGAUGGCUAUCAACUCAAGUUGUUGGGUUUGGCACGUCUUUCUCGAGCUGCUGUGCGGAGCAGGAAAGAGAGACGUUUGUUUGUGGCCUUCGUUCAUCAGUUCUAUAGUGCACGCUUUAAUCUGAACCUUUUAUUUGCUCAAGGGAAAAACAAGUCGGACUUGCCCACCUCGGAGGAUUUCAAUUGGACGGGGCCAUAGAGUCCUCCACCCACGCUUUUUUACAUCUAUUUUCCAGCAACCUCAUCAAGUGGUUUGGGAUGCCUUCUGGUUGUGUUAAAAACUUUCCAAUAGAUUUGCUGCGCGUCCUGUGAUAAAUAUAAUCGUUUCCCCAUGAAUCAUGAUGAUUUUGUACGGUACACUUAUGCGCACGCGCACUCGUGUUUGCAUGAAAAAUAGUGUGGCUGUAUUAAGGAACGCUGAUCUGGCUGCAAAGCCGUUACCGUUGGGUUUUCUUCAGUGUGGUUAUCCUUCCUUCUGGUCGGUGAAUAAAUAUCGUUUGGACAAGGUCUGGCUCAGACGCUUUAACCGUAAAGCUUAAUGUAUAACUAGUAUGUUUUUCUUCUGUGUCAGCAGUUGGCAACACGAUACUGUAAAUAAGGAUUCUGGUGAGUAAAUGGAUGUCUGUAGCGAGAGGAGGGGAAGGCUGGAGUAGGCAGUUUUGAAAUUCAUGCCAGGGGUUGCUACAAGUGAUAAGGUAAUUUGAGUAACCUGUAAGACCUGUGGAUUCACAGGUUUCAAAAACAGGAAAGUCUCUUGUUUAAAAACCCUCUAAAGCAACAUGUGGGCUUAGAAAAGAAGCUGGCUUGUGGUUAGGUGAUUGUACUUCCUUAUUGAUAUAAUGGCUGGUGACGCAAGGCCUCCUGGGAUUGCAGUGCUGUGACCGCAGGCCCGACAGUUACCCUGACCGGGUUCUGAAACAGGCCCGGGGCUUUCUGGACGGAUGAGAAGUCUAAAAAUUUCCCUUUUCAUUUCCUCUCUUGUGUGACUUUGUCUUUUUUUUUUUUUUUUUUAAACCUGGUAAUUGAAAAGGGAAUUUUGCCUGUGCUCUGAAGGAGUUUAUCUUGACUGAGUUGCUUCUCUCCUACUCCUCAAAAAUCCCACCCUGAAAACCCCAAGCUAAAAAAAAAAAAAAUUCAUCCAUUCUCGCAGAUUUUUCAGUGAGUCUAUGUUUGAUUAAUCUGCUUUGAGGCUGGGUUCAGAACAAGCAGAUCUUUGAAAAGGGUAUGAAUUUUGAAAAACGCUCCGGAACUUGUCUGUAUCCUCAACCUUCUGGGUGUUUCAAGCCCAGUGAAUGCUGCGUCCUUCCGGAAACCUAACCCUCGCACAGCCAGCCGGGAGGCUCGAUUGGGUAAAUGCUCCCAGGACUCAUGCUCGCGUUCUGAAACACGAAAACAGAUGCCAUUCCUGGGUGACACAGCUAACUGACCACGGCAUGGAGAAUUCCACCGGCUAGAUGUGCGGGGCUGUGCUAGGCCUUGAAACACGCUGCAUGCGAACCGAACUUGAGAAAGUGUUCUCCUGUCUGCUCUGGAGAGGGUUCGGGUGGGACAGCUUGGUGGGCUGAACGUGCUUUGAGGUGGUUGCUACUCUUGCUGUCUGUCCUGGGGAGACCUAGAGGGCAAACAGGUGGAACCCACUUCCCCACCCAAACUCCUCCCAGAAUCCUUAUGGCUGCAUUCUCCUUUACACAUCUUACGUAUGUUUGUAAGCAAACACAUAUGCGUGUGUCUAUGUACCUAUGUAUAUGUUUGUGUAUACGUAUAUGUACGUGCAUACAUAUAUACGCACACACAUCGGUGUGUUUUCUAUGCUAUUUAGGCCAGCCCACGAGUCCCUUUCAUUUUUCCGCAAAUUCAAAGAAGAUAAUGUAAGGAAGAAGUGUAUAUUUUCACGUUCCUGUAAAUUACCAGUCUAACGUGCUGAUUCUCACCAAACGAUCCCCUCAUCGUGAUUCCCUCGUCUUGGUUCUGACGAUCUGCCUGGGAUGAAUGCAUGUCAGACUUUACUGCUCUCUUUUUGGUAAGCCCGAAGACUCUGCCCAAUAGUGUCACUGAGGCCACAAGGAAAUGUCAUCCUGCUAAGCAUGGGAGCUAACACCUGCCCAAAUGUUAAGGUUGUAGUGAGAGCAAGAACCGUUUUCUGCGUUUAUGCAUAUCUAUGGUGUGUGUGUGUGUGUGUGUGUGUGUGUGUGCGCGUGCAUGGGUACUGAAUGUGAGUGUGUCUGCUUUGUAUUGCACGUACCGUGUGUGUGGAUGGGUACUGUGUGUGUGCGUGAGUACCAUGUGUAUGUAACCGUGCGUGCACGUGCUGUGUGUGUACACGAGCACUGGGCACGUGUGCGAGUGUGCACGUGUACCAUCCGUGUGCAUGCAAGUGCACAUGUGCAUGUAUACCGUGUGCGUGACACACGGGAUGUCACAGAGCCAUGGGGGCAGUGAUGCGGAGGAGGCUGGUGUGGGGCAGGUGGAUCGCUUCAGAGCUUUUCUUUUGCUUUGUUGCCCUGUUACAGAAACUUAAAGACAGGUAAAGCGUGUAUCCCAUUUCUCCUUCCCGCCUGCCUCUCAAGCGAGUUCUGUGUGACUAUCUUUUAACUUCAGCCUCAGGAGAAAGGAGAGCAUUUUGGAAUUGAGAACACGGAGCAAGGAUUCGACACCGCACCGUUCUCUUUUGCUCUGCGUGUGUGUGUCUGUGUGUUUCUUGUGUGUCCAAAAGACAGAGAGGAGAAGCCAAAAAAAGGCAAAACAGGGAAUCGGAUUGGAAAGAGAGUAUAAGUUUGUAUUCAUAAAAUAAGACUUUUAUUCCUCUACCCAGGACUCUGCCCCAAUUUCCUGUCACUAACCUCAGUGUCAGUGCUGACCCAUUUCUGGCUAUUUUUAUUUGUUCCUUGAAAAUCCUUGCUGCGUGAUUAAAGUUUACUCUCGUCAACUUUGUUCUGACCCUCCCUGCCAUCUGGGUCCAAAAGUGCAGCCCUUCCCACCUCGCUCCCUGUAAUGACGGGUGAGUUCAGAGCCAAGGAACAGCAGGGUUUUACUGGCGAUGUGCCAAAUCAGCGACCCCUUUCCCUGAUCCAGAGCUGGCGGCGAGGAGCUCCUGCCUGCUCGUGGAGCGUCGCUGCCUGUGUCUUCGCCUUUUGUCUGGUUUUCCUCUCGGGAGCACACGCAGUCCCCCCCCCCCCCCACCCGGCAACAGCAUCUCCGUGUCCCAGCACUGCGGGGGGCUCUCACCCCCCGGGGACAGCGAGUGUGCGGGCACUUAUCUAGGAUUACAACCUGAGUCAACAGUGGGACCAGGAAGUGGACUCAGGGUCCAGCAUCGUAUGGAAAGUUGGGUGUAUUUACUUUUCUCUCAAAGCAAACUUUGAUUUACUCUUUAAUAAGUCACCGCUGAGGAUAUAAUUCUAGAAAACCAAGUUCCCAUGUUGAUAACAGAGGAGAGGAAACAGUGAGUCUUUGCAUUUUUCCAGCUUUAUCAUUAACCCCAGGUGUGGAAACUCAUUUGCUUUAGAAGGAUUCGUUUCCAAGUUUUCAAGAAGGUGAUCAUUCUCCAUCGAUGAGGUAUUUUGGGCAUCCUUAGCUGAAAGGCAUUAUAAACGGGGUAGCCCAUGGCACCCUGGAGGAGCUGUGUGACUGACUAACCGGUGACCUUGACUUCGGACAGGUUAACGUCUUGGCUCUAUCACUCCCUGUGUCACCUGGGGAAUCUCUUCACUUCAUUGGCCUCAGUUUCCUCAUCUGUAAAAUGGAGAUAAAAAGUGGUCCCCCUCAGAAGGUUGGUACAAGGAUUCAGGAAGGAGACGUAUGUGAAGGGUCAGAAGGGAGAGUGGAAUAAAGGAGAUGCUUAGUAUUCAAGCUGUUGGGAUUACGUAUGACUUAAGUCAUUUUGAUUGUGUGGAGUAAAGCUUCUCAUUUUGCUUUCCAGAAGUUUCUCGAGGAAGUCACCUGUCCAAGGUACAAAAUGUGACUUCAUCAUCCGUGCUUUCCCUGUUUGCUUCCACAUGAGUGGAUGGAGCAGAAGGGCUAGAAUAAAAGAAUGUUCUUACCUCACUGCUGAUGGGGACGCGGGUCCUGGGAGUGGUUGGGGUGAAAGUUUCCUCUCCUUAUGGUCAGUACUUCCUCAUUAAAUGUGGUGAGCUGCAAACAAAGGAAAAAAAAAAAACAAGAAGAAAAAGGAGGCCCCCAGGACCCUUCUCAUAUGUCUGUGAUGAUCUCUGCAGAGGAGUCAUUUCUUUGCUUGCCCAAUGGGCCCAAAAAUAACUUCCAGGGAGAAGGAGAGCACCCUUUUCUUGAGUUCUCACAAGCUUCUCUCCCGACAGCUCCUGUAGCAGAGAUGUGAGCAGGAGUGCAUAUCGCUCUUUGUGAUAAGAGCAUCAGGAGCAGAAAGAGGGGGGGCACCCAGGAGAUGAGGGGUGCGGGGGUGGGUGUGCCAUGAGGGGUGCACUCUCUCAAGAGCUUACCGCUUUUGAAAUCUCUAAUUGCCAUGCACCGGUGAUUCUGAACUCUGUCAGUGAUAGAAUCCUCCUUCCACGGGGCGGCCAUUCCUCCUGUGCACUGGGUGAGCCGGGGUAGAAGGGAGACAGCGUGGCCCAAAGUUAAAGGAACCUAAGACAUUUCUUUCCUCCAAAAGAGGCUGGAGAAGCCAAGUGUUCAGGCAUUCUUUGGGGGUCGAAAGAGUGAUGACAGACGGGGAGAGAUGUGUCCAUAGACAGUGUAGUGAGAUGUCCCCUGCCUCUGCCUGUGACCCCCAGCAGCCCACGAGGCGGGCCUGGGAGUGGAGCCACCACAGGGCUGCUCUGGACUGGGCUGGGCUUGGGUUGGGGGGGUGGUCAUACGUUGGAGACAAGCUGGUAAUCGGACCUUCGAGCAAAGCUGGAGGUUGAGGGUGUGACAGAGACCAGUAGCAUUCCUGUAUGUAAAGACUCCUUCCCCUUCGGCCCUGACCUGGAGAUGGGUGCUUCCUUCUGCCCUGCUCCGCUGCCAUUUCUGGUGGAAAUAGCUGGAAAGACUCCUGCUUACCAACAGCGGGGCUCCUUUAGCUCCCACUGCUACCUGGUGACACGCACAGAAUCGUGCUCCUUCAACAGAUGAGGAGACGGAACCUCCCCAGCAUCACCCUGCUGGGAAGUGAUGGGUCUGGAAUAGUCUGCCACACCCUGGCCUCUCUGCCUCCAAGACUGAGGAGACCCUGAGGAAGCCAUCGUUUCUUUCCAGUGUUUUGCAAGGCUGGGUGCAAACAUCAUCUUGGGGAGAGUACACGGGGCUCCCCUUAAGCUCACCAGGCCAGCUUAUCAUGAUGCAGCACAACUGAAGACAUCACCUUUGUGUUCUUGAAGGACACAGAGCCAAAUAAAUAGACCCUCAACAAGCUGGGGCUGUUUUCAGAGGGGCUGGGUUCCCAUGAAUGGCAAGACUCAUACAGGGCGGUGGAACAGAUUUUGAGAGAGCAGUUUGCUUUGAAGGUGACCUUGGAGGCACAUGGCCUUUAUCGGUUUUCCGGAAUCCUUGUGCAGAGGCAGGCCUGACCGUGGGCCCCUGCUGGCAGAAGUGCCUCCUUGUCGUGAGGGCUUUUUGGCUGUGGAAGAACUUGAGAGAGACUCUCACCACCCUCUCUGUGCUCAGGACUUGCUCAUCCCUCCCCACCUACUUCCCAAACACAGAGGAAGCCUCAGAAAAUGAGGGAAGUGUCUUACACGGAGUCCACUUGAGUUGGUAGAAUCCAGUGUGAUGCAAGACCCCAUGUUUGAACUCAUCGAGGCCUGUCUGCCAGGUUCGUUGAGCCCCAGGCGCCUGGAGGGCCCCUGAGCACUGGGCCAACCCAAUGGAUAGGCUAGCGUGAGGCUACGGCCGGGGCCAGGUCCCCACCGAGGGGAGGAAGCCAGGAGCCCCGGUGCUAGGCCUCGUGUGAUCUCCGGGCAACACUCGGCGGUCUGCUUUGGGCCCGGCCUCCCUGAGUCGGAGAGAGGAAUCUACCUUAGUGAAGGAAGACCUGGCCUGUCGGGUUAUUUGUGGCUCUCUUCUUGCCUGCCUUUGUUCUGCGGAUCGGUGUGCAUAAAAGGCUGGCUGGGCCGGCGAGAAGUGCCCAUCAGUGACUCGAACAGGAAAUUGGAAAUCGGACACCGAGGGUCUACCCCCACCCUGCCUCUGACUCACGCUUAAACAAACCCAACACCCGCCCUGACCUCUGCCCCCUCCAUCUGUGGCCGGCCAGGCCUGACAGCAGCCCCAUCUCCCCACCAGGGGAACGCUUCCAGAAGUCCAGCACUGGGCCAGCUUGCUGUGGGAGAGAAUCCCUCAGGUGUCCACAUGAAGGCCGUGGAUGCAGUCUCUCUCUCUCUCUCUCUCUCUCUCUCUCUCUCGCCCGCUCUCUUUUUGUCUUCAACAAAGUGAAUUCUUAAAUUUUUUCUCUUUAAAUUUUCAUCCAUUAUAUUCAUCAACGCAGCGAGAUGGAACAUUUGGCAAAAUUAUUUUAAGUAGCACUCCAACCUGUGAUCGUAAUUUCAAAUCGAGGAAUUUGCUGAGCAGCCGUGGGAAGAACAAAGGGCCAGAGGGGGAGGGGAGGCAGGUUGUGUGCACGCGGACGGGGAACUGGCCUGCUCCGGCCUGCAGUGUGUCUACACUGGGCGGGGUAGGACUGCAGUUUCCAUCUGCUGAACACACAGCACGAACCACUUGAAACUAGAUACGCGGAGCAGAGGAUUGGGAUUCAGUUUAAUACGGUGGGCCGAAAGCUUCACCCAGGAGUGGGACCGGCCUGGCCUCGAAUCUUCAAGCCCCGCCACUCACCAGCCUCCGCUGGGUCGCCUGUAAAAUGGGAACAAUCACUGUAACCACAUCUUCGGGACCGUUAUGACAUAUAUUCCUUUAGCUGGCUAAUUACUAGCACGUAGUAAGCGUUCAAAAUGCCAUUACUGUCGCCGACAUGCAGAAAUGGACAAUUUCCGAGCUUCGUCUUUGCAACUGACUCGUUCAGCAAACAUCUGUUGAGCACCUAUUAUGCUCCAGCAGUGGGGCUGGGUGUUGUAGGAGUACAAACAUGUAAAGCAUAGGCAUUAAUGUGCUACUAGAUAAAUAAUGAUACUUCUGUUGAGUUGAAAAUGACUCCCAAGAAUAUUUAAUUCGUUUACAAAGAAUCUUUCCUUUUUUUUCUUUUUUAAACAUUUCUUUAUUUCUGAGAGACCGAGAGAGACGGAGCACAAGCAGAGGAGGGGCAGAGAGAGAGGGAGACAGAGGAUCCGAAGCAGGCUCUGCACUGACAGCAGCGAGGCUGAUGCGGGGUUCGAAUCCACGAACCGUGAGAUCAUGACCUGGGCCGAAGUCACACGCUUAACAGACUGAGCCACCCAGGUGCCCCUACAAAGAGUCUUUCUUAAGAGAUGGUCUAGCGGAAACAAUUCGGAAAAAAUGUAUGAGUUAAAGAAAAAAAAAGCUGUCUUAUUUCCAAUUGCUUUUGAACUCCUUGCUUUUCAAUAAAACUAUGAUCUAAAUGAACGCAAUUUCUUAAAAUAAGCCCUGCUUCAUACCUGAGAACUUCAAGCAGCUAAUUCGCAGAUAAUCAGACCUAUUUGCAAACAAUCUGAAUUGUCUCAGUGCCUUCCCAAGAGUGCCACGCGUGUGCUCAGAAAGACUGUCAUUUGUCAGGAUUACCCAGUUCUGCUAAAUUAUGGUUUUGAGAAUCAGAAGUAAUCUCGUCCAACCUCUUAUCCUUUGAAUAGUAUUUCUGAGAGAUACUAGAUAAGCUUGUGCUCAAAUUCUGUGAGGAAAGGAGAAGGUAGGUACCUUGCAGGGUUGAAUAGCUCUAGAGGGAGAUUAAUUUAAAUUUGCGUAGCCAUGGAAAGGAUAAAAAGGCUUUUUGUUGUUUUUUGCUUUCAUCUUGCUCCCCAUUUCUGUUGGCUGGUCUUGCUUUGACUCCUGUCUGUCUCUCCCCUUUUACCCUGAGCUGCCGCAUGCCCUCUGCCCCAGGGGGAACAGCCAUAGAGCCCUGGUCACCGUCGGGUGGCCAAGCGUACCCUGCUUUGGAAGUUGAGAGCCAACAUUCAGUUUAUUGUUCCUUGCCCUGUUCUCUGGGGUGGUUCAACCGGGCUCUGCUUUCUUGGAAAACGACGGUGAACUUUGUUCAGCCAGAGCCUUAUUUCCCAAAUUCUGAUAUUUGCUCACUGGCCCUCCUCCCUCCAGCUGUUCCCAACUGCUGACCGCUUGUUACGCGCGCGGCUAGCUGCUUCCGCUGUUCUGACUCUUCUUGGAAGGCAGCCAUCAGGGGCCAAGGCAGAUGUUGCUUGUGGCCUUGGCUUGUGGUCCAAAUCCAUGACUGCAUCAUUUGGAAAGUGUGUGUGUGUGCGUGUGACUACCUUUGAAACCAAAGGGCUAAAAGCAGAGCUUUUAAUGAGCAGAGCAGCUCCAUGAAAAACGUGCAGUUGCUUUAUGGCUUCUGGUUGCCUGUGGAAUUGUUAGAAUAAAAAAAAAAAAAAAAGGCAAGUCAAGAGCAGCUAAAGUAAAAAGAGAAAAGGGAAAGGUUUAUUUUUGGAGCUCUUGAAUUCAGAAGCUCCUUCUGACUUCCCCACUUCUCCUGACUUGGCUUUGGUCUCAUGGGCGCUUCGAGUGUCUGGCCUUUGUCUCAGCCCUCCGUCCCAGGGACCCUCUGGCUCUCUGGGUCUUGGAGUGAGAUGUCACCCAGCCUCCUUCCACCCUGUCUGAUGGCUGCUCACUGGCUGGGUCCUGGGAGGUGCUGCAGAAAGGCAUGCCCUAGCUUGGACUGAAUUCUGAGUGGCUCAUGCUCUUGUCUCAAAGCACCUAGACCUCAUCUGGAGUGUAAAACGGGCUUUGUUUGGCCUGAGUGAUAUGUGGUAUAAUUUGGUUUAGUUAUCAACAUUUAAGAAACAGGAGGUCACAGGAAAUACAGAUUUUUUAGUUCAGCCUGAAGUUGGGGAGGGGCAAGACUGGAUCUUUGCUCUCUCUCGAACCGAGUGGUAGCUGCCCUUCCUGACAUGUGGAACGCGUUCUCCACUUGGCCACACUCUCUCCAGCAACAAGGAGUAUCUUUCAGGACAUAGACUGGUAUUAGAUGCCAUUGACCCAUGGGCUUCUUCCCUUCCACACCCCUCCCCAACCUGAAUCAUUCAUGAAGGGUCUGCCUGAUUCUCCUGGACUUUGAGUUUGCUGUCCGUGUUCAGUGGAGUGUGAUUCACAUGCUCCCCCUUAUCUCUAAAGACUCCAGGCCCCCCACAUUCUUCUUGCUUCCCUUCUGCCCCCCUUCCCUCUCUCCUUCCUUCCUCCUCUUCCCUCCCUACUCUCUCUCUCUCUCUCUCUCAGUCUCUCUCUCACUUCUUAAACUAUAAAACACACCUACAGAAAAGCGUUCACAGCAAAGACCUAUAACUCGAUUUAUCACUGAGUCAACACUGGUGUCGUUACCAGGUCAACAGAUAGGACUGUAGGGUACUCUAGAAGCUCUCUCUGCUCCCUCCCUGCCAUGCCCUCCCCACCACAGGUAACCAAUAUCCUGACCUCCAUGGUAAAACACCCUUAGUUUUCUGUAGAAUUUUACCAGCACAAUAUACGUUCAAUGCUAGAGUUUAGUUUUGCCUGUUUUUACAACUUCAUGUAAACGUAACUCUACAGCAUGUAUUCUUUCAUGCAUGGCUUCUUCCACUCAACAUUAGACUUGUGUGAUUCACCCCUGUUGUUGUUUAUAGCUGUAGUCCAUAAAUUUUCAUUGCAAGAUUGUGUUACCUUUUAUAAAUGUGAUGCAGUUUUGUCUUUUUGUUCUACUCUUGAUGGACAUUUGGGUUGUUCCCAGUUUAGAGCUAGUACAGACAGUGUUGCUAUGAGCAUUCUUAUGCGUGUAUACUGGUGCAUGUAUGCAUUUCUGACAAUAUUACCUCCAAGCCUGGGGUUUUUCCUGUGGACAGGUUUUAAAUUAUGGAUUUAAUUAGUUGAAGAGUUAUUUGACUAGAUAAGAUUCAUAUCUCUUGUGUUCAUUUUGAUAAAUUGAGUUUUUUAGGAUUUUAGUAUUUAUCUAAAUUUUCAAAUGUAAUGGCAUGACAUUGUUUACAAUAUUUUCUUACAAUUUUUAACAACGGUGGGCUCUGUUGUGAUGUCUCCUUUUCAUGCCUGAUAGUGAUUAUGUUUAUCUUUUCUUUCUUCCCCCCCUUGCUCGAUUCUGCUGAGGUUUUGGGUUUUAAAAUCAAUUUAAUACUUUUUCCACAGAAUCAAACUUUUGAUUUUGUUGGUAUUUCCUAUUGUAUAUUUGUUUUCUAGUUCAUGAAAUUCUGCAUUUAUCUUUCUUUUCUUUUUUUCCUUUGGGUUCAAUUUUCAGUGCUUUUUCUAAUUUCUUGAGAUGAUGGUUUCGUUCUUUGAUUUUAAACCUUUAUUAUAAUCUAAUAUAUGCAAGUAAGAUUAUAAAUAAUCAUCUAAACAUAGCUUUAACCUUAUCCUAUGAGUUUCAACAUGUAAUAUUUUCAUUAUCAUUCAGUUAAUAUAUGUUUAAAUUUUCUUUGAUUUCCUAUGGGUACUUUAGGAACAUUCCUGAAUUUUCCCAUACAUGAGAGUUUUCUCAUCAUAUUUCUAUUAUUAAUUUCAAGCCUAAUCAUAACGUAGUUAGAGAGUAUAUUUUGUAUAAUUUCAGUCAUUUGAUAUUUGUUAAGACUUGCUUUGUGGCUCAGUAUACAGUUGACGUUUGAAACUUCCUUGUGUUCUUGAAAAGAAGGUAUACAGUUAGUAGUUGUGAGCUCAGUAUUCUACCGCAUCCAUUAGGUUAUAGUUGCUGAUUGUAUUGUUGGAAACUUCUAUAUCCUUCGUGACUCGUUGUCUAUUUGUUCUAUUAGAUAUUCAGAGAGGUGUGUUAAAUUCUCCCAUUAGGAUUGUGGAUUUGCUGUGUGUGUAUAUGUGUUGGUUUUUGCUUUACGUGUUUCGAGGUAUUAGGUAUAUAUAAUUUUCGAAUGCUGUAACUUCAAUUCACUUUUUGAAUUGAAACUUUUAUCACUAUGAAAUGUCUUCUUUAUUUCUAGUGAUACUUUUUCCUUUAAAUUCUAUUGUGAUAAAUAAUAUAGGUACUCCUAUUUUACAUUGGAUGUAUUUUUCCAUCUCUUUACCUAUGUCUGUUCUGUAUCCUUAAGUGUCAUAAGCUUCUCUCGUAAACGUUAUACAAUUAAAAAAAUUAAUCCAGUCCGACAAUUUUUUCUUUUAAUUGGUGCAUUUAGUCUGUUUAUAUUUACUAAUGAAAUUUAAUUUACAUUUAAUUUAAUGUAAUUUCUGGUAUAUUUGGAUUUAAAUCGACCAUACUAUUAAGUAUGGUAUUAAUAUGAUAUUCCAUUUGUUCCACCUGUAUCCCAUAUUUAUGUUUCUCUCACUUUAUUGCUUCUUUUGGAUUGGUUAUUUUUUAAUAUUCCAUUUCCUUUCUCUAUGACUUUGGAAAUUGCAUAUUCUUUUACUAUUCUUCUGGAGGUUGGCCCCAGGAUUGCAGCAUCACCUCUUGUGUUAUUAAGGUCUAAUCUUUUUUUUUUUUUUAAUUUUUUUUUCAACAUUUAUUUAUUUUUGGGACAGAGAGAGACAGAGCAUGAACGGGGGAGGGGCAGAGAGAGAGGGAGACACAGAAUCGGAAACAGGCUCCAGGCUCUGAGCCAUCAGCCCAGAGCCUGACGCGGGGCUCGAACUCCCGGACUGCGAGAUCGUGACCUGGCUGAAGUCGGACGCUCAACCGACUGCGCCACCCAGGCGCCCCUUAAGGUCUAAUCUUAAUUGGUUUUAUGCUCUUCUCAGGCAUUUCAAGGACUCUGGAACACUCUAACUCCAUUUGCCCCCUCCCAAAUUAUUUUAUUAUUUUAUUGUUUUUAAUAAUUUCUGUUUUUACAAUUACUCAUUUUUGAGAAACAGAGUGAGACAAAGUGUGAGCAGAGGAGGGGCAGAGAGUGAAGGAGACACAUAAUCCGAAGCAGGCUCCAGGCUCCAAGCAAGUGGUCAGCAUAGAGCCCGACGUGGGGCUCGAACCCACGAACUGCGAGAUCAUGACCUGAGCCGAAGUCGGACUUUCAACCGACUGAGCCACCCAGGCGCCCCCAAAUUAUUUUAUAUUAUUGUUGUCAUGCAUUUUAAGUGAUACGUAUUUCAAAUCCAACAAUUUUUAAAAUCAUUUUAUAUAGCCACUAUCUGUUUAUAUUUACCUAUAUACUUGCUAUUUUCUAUGCAUUUCUUUCUUUCUUGCAUCUCUGACUUCGUACUUGGGACUAUAUUCCUUUGACCUAAAGAACAGUCUUUAGUAUUUCCUUUGGGGUGAGUGACAAGUAUUCUUAGUUUUGAUUUCUAAUUAUCUUUAGCUGACCCUCUUGAAGGAUAUUUUUGUUGAGCAUAAAGUUCUAGGUUGACAGUUUUUUUACUUUUAGCCUGUUAAAACUAUUCCAUUAUCUUCUAGCUUUCAUUGUUUCAAUUGAGAAGUCUGCUGUAAGUCUCAUUGUUGCACCUUUGACCAUAAUCUGUUCCUUAUUCUUUGACUUCUUGUAAUAUGUUUCUCUUUGCUUUAGUUUACAGCAAUUUUAUUAUGAUUUGCCAAGGUGUAGAUUUCUUUAUGUUUCUCAUGGUUGGGUUUUUUAAAGGUCUUCUUUAAUCUAGCUUUAUGUAUUUAGUUAGUUUUGGAAAAGUCUCAGUCAUUACCUCUUCAAAUAUUACUUUUUUCCCAUUCUCUCUCAACUCUUUUUUUAGGAUUCCAAUUAUAUGUGUAUUAGACUUUCUCACUCAUAUUAUUUCUCUCUUACCCUCUCUCUUGUCUUUUCCCUCCUUCAGUCCUCUAUACUUCAUAUUUUGUGCACUUCAGCUUUGUCUGGUGUACUAUGAAAUCCAUCCAUGACCUCUUAACUUUGUUGCUUAUAUUUUUUUUUAAUUCUAGAGGUUUUAUUAAUUUAUUUUUCAUGGUUUCUAAUUCUUUUCUGAAAUUCUCAAUUUUGUCUUGUAUCUUCUCAAACAUAAUAAGCACACUUAUUUUAAAGCCUGUGUCUGAUAACAUCAAUAUCUGGAAACCCUAUGAGUUUGUUUCUGUUGUCCACUAUUCUGCUGGUUUUUUUCAUGUUACCUUCUUAAGAAGCCAUUUUUGCUUUUUAUAGUGUGUGUAUUUGCAAAACUAAUUGUAGAAAUAAUUUGAGGCCUCGGAUGAUACCUUCCUCUAGGGAGGAUUUCCUUUCCUUUUUCAGGAGCCUGAGAGCACUAGCACCCUGGGAUUUAUGUAACCCAAUUUUGUGAAUUGAAAAUGAUUUGAAGGUCUGCACUGUCUUCAAAGGCCUGAUUAUUUCUGGUUAAUAUUUCCUCCUAUGGUGCAAUCCUUCAGUGUCCUAUCCUAAAGAUAAGGAUUUUCCUGGGACAUCCAACUUGGCAGGCUCUGGACUCCAAUUUCUGAUUCCUUAGCCAUAUGAUCCUGUCAAAAGUUCUACUCAGCCUCUUAGCCCCCCUGCUGCCUGGUCUGGAGUUGGCUAACAGUCCAGAGGAAGAGCAUCUUGAGGCUUUGGGUUUACCUUCUGGACCUCCAUUUCCCCCCAGCUCUUGGCUUGCUAAUUCUUCACUCUUGUGUUAGCCAUCUGUUGCCUCCAGACAGGUGAUUUGAUUUUUAGGUUUUUUUUUUUUUUUUUAAUUUUUUUUUCAACGUUUAUUUAUUUUUGGGACAGAGAGAGACAGAGCAUGAACGGGGGAGGGGCAGAGAGAGAGGGAGACACAGAAUCGGAAACAGGCUCCAGGCUCCGAGCCAUCAGCCCAGAGCCUGACGCGGGGCUCGAACUCACGGACCGCGAGAUCGUGACCUGGCUGAAGUCGGACGCUUAACCGACUGCGCCACCCAGGCGCCCCGAUUUUUAGGUUUUGUGUACCUUGUAUGUUUGUUUUCACGGAGAAGACUGGGUGUGAAUUACCUAGUCUCCCAUGGUCCUCUUCCAAUUUCUCCUCAUCGUCAGACUUUUUCUUUCUCUUUUCUUCCCCUUCACAUCCCAGGGAAAGAAAUGUUCCUUCUUUUUUUCUAAACCAAGCCCUUAUUUGUGUUACGUGGUCUUCUUUCUCUCAAUACUUGUGUAGAAUCAUAAAGCAUCUUCAACCUCUCCCUUGACGCUGGGCGUUCCCCUAUGAGCAUGCGCAACUAUCCUCUAUACAAAAAAAUAAAGGCCGUGCUACAUCUGAACCUAAACUCUGCAGUUCUGGCCAAUCACCAGACCAUGUGGAGCUAUUUUUGAUGAUAACUCUUGCUAGAACAGUGUCUCAGUUCCUUUUUUCCAGAAUAACGUUGACAAGUCUGCUCAAAUUAGUGUUCCCAUCUUGAUUGAUUCACUUGGCCAGAAUACGUUUACAAAUCAGUGGAGAAUAGUGGAGGAGGGUUGGAGAAAAGAAGAUGUAAUGUUUUAAGUUAUGCGGUCCAGCAUGUAAUUUUUUUCCAUAAAAGUUUUCUCUCCCUUGCUCCUGCUAUUUCCCUCUGCUCCCUUUUGGCAUCAGAGUUUUAAAAAGAGUGAUCCAUUCCUGCUGUUCCCCAAACAUAUAUUUUUAUUUAAAGGUCACCAAAACAUCCCAGCUGCCCACCCAGUGACCUUUUCUUGGUCCAAAGUCUCCUUGAUCUUUUUGCAGGAUUUGUCAUGGUUUCUGCCUCUUUCUCUUAAAUUCUCUCCUCCUUCAGGUUCUGGGAUGUUUGACUUUUUUAGCUCCCCUGACUGCCCAUUCUUUUUUCAUGUUUCAUUCCUUUGUUCUAUUUCCUAAAGGUAGAAUUUCUUAAAGAUUCCUGGCCCUCUUCUCUUCUUUCCUCUUCUCACUUCUUUGCAUCACAGACUUUGCCUUUGUAAACUUAUGGCACCCCUCUUGUACAGGACACCCCUAAUCUAAAUAUCUGGCCCAAGCUUCUCUACAGGUUUCCAGUUUUGCAUUUCUGAAUGACUGUCAGUGUCUUCUCUCUGCACGUCCUAGAGGUCCCACAAAAAUAUUUUUAAAACUGAGCUCAUAAUUUCUACCCAUAAACUUCCUCUUCCUUCUAACUCCCCAUUCGUGUACUAUGACUGCAGCCCAACACCCACUGUUCCUUUUACAAUCAGUGCCCUUCCCUUCAUUUCAACCUGUGCAAAUCCCACGUAGCUUCGGAGGACCAGUUCAAUGCUCCCUCUUUCAAGCAACCAUCGAGUAAUGUGGAAAAGAGUAUGGAAUUCGGCAGUGGGAGAUAUGGUGCAAAUCCAGGCUCUGUUACCAACGUUUUUGCCACAUAUUUUUCUCAUCCGUAAAAAUGGGAAUAGGAAUGACUAAUCCACAGGUUAUUGAAAAGAUGAGAUGAGUUAUUUGUGAAUAUAUUCUAUUUCUUCUACUUGCCCCUUAAGAGCAAGGUUCAUUUCUCAUUAUGUAGCUCAGGUACUUAUUAAAUAGUUAAAAAUGAAUGGAUUAAUAUUGCAGAGUUUGCCAAACAACAUGGUGCCGAUGUCAGCAUUUUAUUCGUUAGUUAAAAAGGUCAAACCCACUUUAUUUUGUUCAUUUGAACGUUACGUGAUUCUAUACCGUCACUACUUGGAUACUUUUAUAUCUAUCCAAUUUAGCUGCUUGAUUUAACGUCAAGUGUCCGCGAAGAUAGGUGAAAUCAUCGUGGGCCCUUAGAGCCACCGUAGCCUCCAUCUGUUGUCGCCUUCACAAGUGCGAGGAAGUUUGGAUAAUUGUCUAGAGGGUUGAAUGGUGUAGAUCACUGGCCCUGGCUGGAAGUGUUCCCACAUCCCAUCACCUCUUUUUAUUCUUGCUUAAUUUAUCCAGAUAAUUGCUUCAGCUCUUCGCUUCUCCUGAUCUUUGUCAGAUAGCCGAUUGGGUCCGGGCUGCCAUCUGUUCAUACUCCCCUACUCGCAUUUCUCUUUUUGACCUUCUUUCCUCCUCCUUAAAGGUGGGUGAAGCUGGCUUUGGAAAGCCAGCCCUUCGCUAGGAAGUGGCCCUUUUCCAAGAGUUCAUCGGGCCCAGUACACCUGUCUGCCAGGGUGGGUGCGCCAAGCGCUCGUCUCCCGCCUGGCCUAUCGGAUACAGCUGAACACGUUUGGCAGAAGCUCCAGCAAUUUGGUUAUUCAUUUUCUGCUCUCAGCUGAGUGUAGACCACCUGGUCGGAUCUUGGCUCACCCAGUUCCUGGUUCCCUUGGCUGGCAGCGUCUGGUAGGCAUUCCAGCUUAGCUCCUUUCUGCUUUGCCCACUCUCCACUCUUAGGUAAGUCCUUUAAGGGACUUUGACAGAGGUGAGGUGAGGUAUGAGCAUGCAUGGUGGAAUUGUCAUAUGAUAACCGGGAGGUUUCACAGAACAAAGUUUUCUGGUCACGGCCAGUCUAGCAGGCUGAAUAAUGGCCCUAAAUAUAUCAGGCCCUGGUCCUUGUAAUGGGUAAGUGUUAACCUUAUUUUGAAAAAAAGUACUUUGCAGAUAUGACUAAGUUAAGGAUCUUCAGAUGGAGAGAUUAUGGAUUGUUUGGGUGAUCCCUGAUGCCUUGGCAGGUGUCCUUAUAAAAGAAAUGCAAAGGGAGAUUACCCACACACGCACGCACACACACGUGCACACACGUGCGUGCACGCGUGCAUACACAAGAGAAAAGGCAAUGGAAAACUGGAGGCAAAAACUGGAGUGACGUGGCUGUAAGCCAAUGUCAGUGGCCACCAGAAGCUGGAAGAGGCGAGGAACGGAUUCUCCCCUAGAGCCUCCCCAGGGGCCAUGAUCCUGUUUACGCCUUGACUUUGGCCCAAUGGUACUGAUUUGGACUUUGGAUGUCAGAAGAGCGAGAGAAUUAAACGACUAAUUUUAAGCUAGAAAGCGUGUGGCAGUUUGUGACAGCAGCCUCUUAGGAACGUAGCAUAGCCAGUAACGAUGAUGCAGAGGGGAGCCCUGUAGCAUCACUUCUAGGCUGGAGGCCCCCUUCCUGCAAACCCAUAUCUGGGGUGCUCCAGAUGCCAUGUCAUAGUAAGUCAGCAGAUAUUUAUCGAGCAAUGCUUUGAUCGGUGCUCACCUGCAGAGCCACAGAAACCACCCCAGUGAGUGUAAGCAGAAGGAGGUUGAUUGCAAGGCAUUAGAACACUAGCAAAAGACUCAGGAUGGAGGUCGCAGGCUGAGCUGUUGGGGACGAAUCCACUAGGAGAUGCUGAUGCCUUGAGCCACACUUCUCUCCCCACUGAACCCGGUUUCAGAUUCAAGUCUUGGGUGACUUCCUGUUACUUGAGGAAUUUAAAUUACAGCCGGACUGGAGCUGCAGGGGAGUCUGGGGAAUGUGAUUUGUAGCUUUCCAACUUGUGUCUUGCAGGCAGGCAACUUCCUGUUGUGAUGGAUUUUGCAAUACUGAUGCCGUGGGUCCUGAGUGAGCCAAUCCGCGAUUUCUUUUUUUUUUUUUUUUAAAUUUUUUUUUUCAACGUUUAUUUAUUUUUGGGACAGAGAGAGACAGAGCAUGAAUGGGGGAGGGGCAGAGAGAGAGGGAGACACAGAAUCGGAAACAGGCUCCAGGCUCUGAGCCAUCAGCCCAGAGCCCGACGUGGGGCUCGAACUCACGGACCGCGAGAUCGUGACCUGGCUGAAGUCGGACGCUUAACCGACUGCGCCACCCAGGCGCCCCUAAUCCGCGAUUUCUAACGCCAGCGCUUACUCUGUGCUGAGCGCUGUUCUAAGCAAAUAAGACAGAGUCUCUGUGCUCAAGGGGCUGAUUUUCUCAUGGGUGUAGUAGGUGGUCAGCUCAUCAACAGACCCGGUAAUGUCACAGACGGGCAAACCUUCGGGACCAGACCCCUGCGACAAAGCGAGCAUCACAAUAAAGAGAAUCAGAUGAAGUUUUGGGUUUCCCAGCACACAUUAAAGUUAUGUGUAUACUAUACCGCAGUCUAUUAAGCAUGCAAGCCCAUGAUGUCUAAAAAAGCACAUACCUUAAUUGAAAAAUACUUUAUUGCUGAGAAACGCUAACCAUCGCCCGAGCUUUCAGUGAGUUGUAAUCACUGAUCACAGCUCACUCUCACAAACAAAACCAUAACGAGAGAGUUUGAAACAUUGCUAGAAUUGCCAACAUGUGACACAGGAGACCCGAAGUGAGAAAAUACCGUUGAAAAAACGAUGCCCAUAGACUUGUCAGACGCAGGGUUGCCGCACACCUUCAAUUAAUGAGGGAAAAAAAGCAGUAUCUGCAAAAUGCAAUAAAGCAAAGAGCAGGAGAAUGAGGUAUGUCCGUACUGGUGAGAGGGCUCAAGAAGACGAAGCGGGGUAAUGAUGUGAUGGCUGGGGGUGGAGUGUCGGUUACUUUAGGUAGAAAGGGUCUCUCUCUCUCUCUCUCUUUUAUUUUUUUAAUGUUUAUUUCUGAGAGAGAGAGGGCGAGCGAGCAGGGGAGGGGCAGAGAGAGGGGGAGACACAGAAUCCGAGGCAGGCUCCAGGCUCCGAGCUGUCAGCACAGAGCCCGACGUGGGGCUCGAACUCACAAACCGCGAGAUCAUGACCCGAGCUGAAGUCGGACGUUCAACUGACUGAGCCACCCGUGCACCCUGAAAGGGUUUCUUGGUGUGACAUUUUUGUUAAGUUCUGAACGAUGAAGAGGCCGCCGUGUGGAGGUCUGGGGGCGGUAUUGUUUUAAUAGGAAGGGCAGUAAGAACAAAGGGCUGGAGGGAAGAAUUCGCUGGCAGGUUUGAGGGAGGGAAAGAAGGGCUGGAAUGUGGUAAAUGGACGGACAGAGAAGGGACGUGAGGUCACGGGGCUGCACAGGCCCUAGAUCUUGAGGACCUUACAGGAGUUUGGAUUUUGUUCCGGUUAGAAUGGGAAGUCCCCGGAAGGCGUUAAGCAGGGAGGUUGCCUUAAGUUGAGUGGUGCCCUCCAACAUUCACCUCCACCUAAGGACCUCGGAAUGUGACCUUAUUUGAAAAUAGGGUCUUUGAAGGUGGAGAAGGGGAGGUUUGGGGAGCUGAGUUGGGAUUCACAUUUACUCUUUGGUCAUGCAGAGUUUGAGACGCCUCAGCCCAGAUGCUGAGCUAAGUAACUGGACUUGACCAGUCUGGGCUUUUGGAAGAAACCAGCGCAGGGAUAGAAUUUAACAGUCGCCAGCAUAUCGGUGAUGUUUAAAGUCUUGGGACCAGACGAGGCUGUGGAUAUGGAAGAGAGAAGAGACCAUGUCAGCACUUUGGGACCUUCAAGUACUUUUUCAAGGUCUGGCAGAGACAGGGGUGUCUGAGGAAGCACGGGGAGCGGGGCAGGGGAAAUACCAGACGUAGGUGGGGUUGUAGAAGUCACCCAGGAAAGGGUUUCUAGAAGGGAGUGAGCAUUACCAUGGGCUUCACGUAGUCUUUGGUGGCCUAUUUCGGGAAGGUGGUGGAGGCAAGAACUUGGCUGGAGGAGGUGGAAGAGAGGAUGCAAAGAGCUAGUGGUGGUGAGUCUGUGCAACCCUUUGGAGAAGUUUCUCUGUGAAAGGAAGCAUGGACGUGAGUCAGUUGCUGGAGCAGGGUGUGGGAUCACGGGGGAAAAGGGGUGAUGGCAGAAGUGUCCUCGACGGGAGGGGAGUCAGAGCCAGGGAAUGAGCAGCGGUGUUGGCCUGGGACAGCUCAGGGGCAACUGUCCUGUUUUAUUUCUUUUUUUGUGUGUUUUUAAAAUUUUGUUUGAGCUUCUUUAUUUAUUUUGAGAGAGAGGGCUAGAGAACGCACCUGGGGGAGGGGCAGAGAGAGACGGGGCGGGAGAGAGAGAAUCCCAAGCAGGCUCUGCACUGUCAGUGCAGAGCUCCGUGUGGAGCUUGAACUCGUGAACCAUGAGAUUGUGCCCUGAGCCCAAGUCAGAGGCUUAACGGACUGAGCCACCCAGGCGCCCCUGUUUUAUUUCUUAAGGUAAGGUGGAGUGUGUGCCUGGGCUCGUGGAGAGAACUGGUGGCUGGUGGGGAUCCAGGAUCGGGAUUAGGAUGGGGAUGGGGGGCAGGGGAACCAGUGGUGAGGGCUGCAGCCCCCCUUCCGGGACUCUUGAGGGAAGCCACCCCAGUCUCAGAGGGGGCUUGUUCGACUCACAUCAGCAACAUCCAGGUGGUGGGAGCCCAGGGCUCUGUGUCAAAAAGUUUUAAAAAAGAUACACCCUCCCCCCCCUGCUUUCCUUUCUUCCCUGUACCCCCAGUCUCCUCCCCUGCCCCCCUUCAGAAGCUCUGUAGGAGUCAGAGAGCUUUUCUGUUAAAUCCUUUAAAUACCAAGGGUCUGAUUAUAUUCCCUGUCUCUAGAAUAAUCUUGUUCCUGCUUUUCAAAAUAAAGCUAAUAAACUAAUUCCUCUUUGUGCCCUCUUUGUCUGAGAGCAUGGAAAUUUCUCUCCACAUGUCUGCUUCUCAGUAGGGCUGCCUUAGGGCUCCCAGCUCAUUCCCUUUCGUCUUGCCCCAGCCCUCUUACAGGGCUUGUCUCCUGGGCUUCUGACACUUUAAUUUUUCCCUAAGAAAGGAGAAAAACUUCCAUAAAUUUAAUCUUAGCUAAUUAAUAAUAUGGUUUGGCUUACUGUCUUUUUAUCUUGUAGAGCAGUUUUUUAAAAAUUCUCUUCAGGGCACCUGGGGGACUCAGCUGGUUAAGCGUCCAACUUCGGCUCAGGUCAUGAUCUCGAGGUCCGUGAGUUCAAGCCCCAUGUUGGGCUCUGUGCUGACAGCUUGGAACCUGCUUCAGAUUCUGUGUCUCCCUCUCUCUCUGCCCCUCCCUCUGCUCACACUCUGUCUCUCUCUCUCUCAAAAAUAAAUAAACCUUAAAAAAAUUCUUUAAGAAAUUAUCUUUCAUAGACUACUAGUCCCAUGAAAAUAUUCUGCACACCUCCCCGCCCCUCCCCACCCGAAGAAUUUGUGGUCAAGCCAGUUUUGGACAUCUUACAUGUUAAAGUCCAGAGAAGGUGCAGUUAAAAAUCUCACUAAACUCUGUUUCAUCUGCCAUUUCUCAAAUAUAUCUGGCCACGAAGCAGUGUUCUGUGGAAUACAUUUUGGGAAAUGUCUACCUGUAUAGCCCUCAGUGUCCCAGGAAAAAUAGUUAUCCCUGGUUACCUUCUGGGUCCAACAAAACCUCUAAAACAUUUUUCUAGUCAUGGUACACAUAAUUUGCAGAAGAGCAAAGGGAGAGCGAAAAAUGACCCUGCUUGAAAUGUAGACACGAGAAUCGAACCUAAAACAUCCACAUUUUUUCCCCGUAUUUUCCUGAUUUGGGACAUGUAAACACCAGAAGGGAGGAACACCCUUCGCAUUUAGCCAGCUGCCCGUCUGUGACCAUGCACGAUUCUGGGACAUCCAUCUCGUAAGUACUGGACUCGGGCUUCACCCUUCUCUCUAACAUGUUCUAAUUUAUCAUUGCUUCCGCUUCUCCUUCGUGCACUUUCAUUGUCAACAUACGAGAAAAAAAAAGGGAAGCCUCUGCCAGCACAUCAUUGUGAUGAGGAGAUGGCCAUCUUCUUUGCUUCAUGAUUGCCAAGAAUUUUUAUCUUUUGAUUUAAGAUGAUCAACCCCACAAAUUUCUCUGAUUCCUUUCAGCCACCUCUGUACGUACCUGCCUUCAACAUUUAUCCACUCAAGUAUAUUCCCAAUGGCAUAGACAUCGUAAAUGAUGAAAGAAUACGGCCAAAUGCCCUGUGAGCGGAUGCAAGGGUCUGAGAUCAUGGGAUAAAACAUUGCGGGAUGAAGUCUUCCGGGUGGAAUGGUUGGUGGGACGAGAGCACCGUAAUGCCUCUUGGUCCAUGGCAAUAAAUCAUUCGCCCAUCAGAUUUCGAGUUUGGGAGACUUUGUUGAACAUACGGAUCUCUGAAGACUUGGGCCUGAGACUUCACUUACGUGGUCAAUUUCAUCAUUGUCAUUAAGGUCUAGGGUCCUACUGUCUCUGUCCUCGUCUCCUGAUUCAUCUAGGAAUUGUUGGAAUAGCUUCCUUUCUUUUUCUUCUCUUUGCCGUUAUCGUCAGAAAACAAAAGAUUCUGAAUUGUCAACUGUGUUCAAUGCAAACUUCAAAGAUGGUGUCUCCGGUGUUCCUCUAUACCCUCUUGAAGACGAUGCCAUACUUUUGCAAGUUUUACAGGAAGACUCCGAAGGAUGCCGUUUUGAUGGCUUAUCUCACUGUUAUAUCUUCCUGCUAACCCGGGUCGCUGCAUCCUUCUUCGUAUUGUUCAGAAUAAUUCAUAAGUAUCAAUGAAAUAGCAAAUGUGUUUCAGCAUAUAAGAAAAUCAAGCACCCUAAGAUCCUCAAAUGUAACUUAGAAGCAGUAAAGGGUCCAAUGAAUGUGUGGACUAAUUAUGCUACAGAAUUCCUUUAAGAAAGUAAGUAAUCACUCCCCCCCCCCCCUUUGGAAAGCCUCUAAUAAAGAACAAAAAAAAGUCAAGUAAUAUCAAUCCUAACAGAUGGAUAGAACUGCUCAAAAAAGAAACUCAAAAGUUAAAAUUGAAUCUAACAGGUCCUGAUGAGAGUUUUCUCCCAUAUUUUGACCCCUAAUACAAUCUCUUAAAACUUCCUGUGAGUGGAAAAAUGUUUUUCCUUAUUAAGUGGUAUUUGAUAAAGAAAUUAUUUUGAGUAAAACAUCUUUUACAGGGGCACCUGGGAGGCUCAGUUGGCUGAGUGUCUGACUCUUGAUUUUGGAUCAGGUCAUGAUCUCAAGGUUGUGAGAUCGAGUCCCGUGUCGGGCUCCGUGCUGAAUGUGGAGCCUGGUUAAGAUUCUCUCUCCCUCCCUCUGCCCUUCUCCCCCACCCGUGCUCUCUCUCACUCUAAAAUAAAAACCAAACCAAAAAACCAUCUUCUAUUGGUUAGUGUAUUCUUAGUUUUUGCAUUGAAAGUUUUUUUAAUAUAAUUUUUAAAAUGAUACUCAUGAUAUGUGUCCUUUGUUCACUUAGUGAUGCAUUCCACUUAGUUUAUUUGAGAUGAAUUAUGUGAGAAAAAAUGUGAAUCGUAGUGAAUAAAGAAAAAUGCAUAUUAUUAUUCAAUUUUGGUUCCUCAAUGUAUAUAUAUUUUAUAAUAUUAUAACAUAAAAAUAGACAAAAACUUUUAUUUUCCUGAUGUUGGGAAUGUUUAUAUUUUGCACUUAAACUCAUCUAUAUUUACAAUUUUUGAAAUUUUAUUUCUUUUUUUUUAAUUAAAAAAAUUUUUUUAAUGUUUAUUUUUGAGAGAGACAGAGCAUGAGCAGGGGAGGGGCAGAGAGAGAGGGAGACACAAUCCGAAGCAGGCUCCAGACUCCAAGCUGUCAGCACGGAGCCUGACGCGGGGCUCGAACUCACAGACCGCGAGAUCAUGAUCUAGGCCGAGGUUGGACACUUAACUGAGAGAACCGCCCAGAGGCCCCUUUCUUGGCUUAAAAAAAACAAAAAAAAAAAAACGGGUUCAAGCCCCUGGGCCACUUUUGAGAGAGCUUUGCAAACGUGCGUAGGCCGUGUGGGUCCGGCUCAGCCUGUGCUCACUGGGUGUUCGGGAGACGCCCUGGCUCAUUGCGGUCUAGACGCCCCUGUGCGGUUCCUUUUUGCAGACUCCUUGUACAGCAUCACGUCUUCAUUUGCCGUUGUCCAAAACAGAUUUCCGUUUCUAAGACUGUACUUCAACCUACGCGAAUGUAUAUGUAGUGCGGGAUAUUCUCGUGUGGUCAGCAGCGCAUUUCUAGAAUAUUUCUUAGAGUGGCUGCCUCUGCAGAGGCCGGUGUUCCGAUGUUAAUGGUGACCCUCAUCGGCUCUGGGUCCAGAGGCUGACACCUGCAGCGUUCAUCCAUCAGCAGGAUCUAGGAGGUGCGUCCUCUGUGGGCGCGGCAUCCCCCUGGGUCCUGCGUUCCUGGCAGUGGGGUGAGAGGCGGAGUGAGCCUGGGGGCCAGCCUCCGUCACAGCCUCUGGGCUGCGUUGGAGAAAGCAUGGUGGAAGGUGCUCGUGCUUCGGCGUCCGCUCUCGUUAGGGUUUCUCUGGGCUUCGGAUGGGUCAGCCAGGCCUGGGGGGCCCGUCCCCGGCCCCCUACCUUCGGGGCCACGGGAUCUGUCCACGAACAGCGCACAUACAGGGUCAGCAGGGCCUUCCUGGGGCACCCGGCUGCAGCAUGCAACGGAAGGGCGUCUCCAACUCCCCUGCUCUCGGAAAGCGUCUCAGAUACGGAUGUGCUGGGCCGGGGUCGGCAGCCUCUUCCCCGAGCAUCCAAGAGCGAGCAGGGGAGGUGAGAGGACGGGAGAGGGGAAGCGAGGAAAUGGUACAGGACAGAGAAAGAAGAUCCAGAGGGCUGAGACAGGGAGGAAGAUAAAAGAAGAGAGACCCUCGGUGGGGGGAUUACUGUUGGCGGUGGCAGUGGCCUCUCACCAGGGGUCGGCACCUCCCAGGCUGGACUCAACCCCGUGCGUUUUGGAUGGUAAAUGUUAGGCAGAACGUGAAUGGAGAACCGGGAGGGAGCCUGCUGAUCUGGGGCGCGCUGGGGACCAGUGUCCAGCAAGGACCGAGGUCACUUCGAACGUAAGCUGUGCGCAGGCGGACACGGGGGACUGGCGGUUCGCUCCGGUGUCCAGUGCGCAGGGGAACAGCAUGCCACGUGUCACAGGCGUGCGAUCAACACGUGUGGAACGUGUUCUCUUCUGCGCAGAGCUAGGUGAGUGUGCAGUGUGCUACUGUGCAAGGGUCCCUGUGCUCUGGUGGCUCCAGAGGAGAGGAGUCCCCACAGUUGGGGGUUGCCUUUGGCUGCCAGACAGUCCUCCCCAGCGCCAGUACCCACCCGGGGCGGCCGGGAGGAGCGGCCAGGGGGACAGAGCAGCCCCGGGGCUCUCUGCUGACGGCCGUCCGGGCCAGCACCCCGUCCCGCACUUCCUGCACCUCGUGGAGGGGAAUGGCGGACGAGAGCGCCAAGUGACCUCAGCAGACAGUCACGUGACCGGGUGUCUGCCGGAGCCACCGCUGUGCAAGGACACAGACGAACGGAGGCCUCCGCCUCUGGAAUCGUGAGAAAGACCCCGAGUGCGUCUGGAGGCCACACGGCCUCGCUGCGGUGUCACGGGGGAGCGUGCGUCGGGUCCGCGGGGACCUGGCGUCGCGUGGGACGGAUGGAGGCGGGGCGUGGAUUUCUGAAAUGAUGGCACCAAUCCCCGCGCCAUCCUGUGAGGUAGGUGGGAGCAAGCCCUUCUGGGGGGCCCGUGUCCCCUCGGAGAAGCAGAGCCCUGCCCCGUGCUGGCUGUGGUGGGUCACCGCUCCUCUGCUGCACGGGGUGGGAGCCCUGGGGGAUGCGGCCAGGUCCGGGGGCUGGGGGCUCCCCCCAGAGCAACCCUGAGCCGUGUUUCUGCUCUUUCUUGCCACAUAGGGCUGCGGUAGGAGCUUCUGGCUAGAGCUGGGCAGGAGUCUCGGGGUGUCUCAGACGCAGGGUAGGUUCCUACCCCUGGGGUUCUGUCCGUGUCUCCAGAGCAGGCCAAGAAACUUUCAAAUGAUGUGGUCGGGCUAUUUGGUCUGGGUUUGGGAUUUCCAAAAGGCUUGAUUCGCCGUAUAAAGUCCAAUCAAUGAAAACUCAUAUUGAAACAGGCAGCUUACUUGGCAUUAACAAGUCAAAUGGUUUGGAAAGCCACGGUACAUCUCCCUACUGCGUGCAUUCAACUUAAUGACCUGUUUUGAACACUUUCUACGUUCAGGGAUGGCCGUGUACAGAUGUGCGGUUUGUGCACUGCACAAGGGUUCUUGGCUUGGCCAAGGGUGCGAGGUGUGGGAGAUGGAAUGUGAAUGGGCACUGAAAUCCAGAUUGUGAUUUCUCACAGGAUAUGCUAGGGGGCUUCGUUCACCUGAAAAGAGGGGCGUCUUUUUCUUUGCACAAGGGCAUUGUUCUACAGAGCUGUCAUAUAGGCUAGUAGGCCCCCUAAAGGCUUGGGGGGCCCUGGCUCUUUUCCCCAGGCUGUGCUAAGGUGUUGGGGAUACAACAAUGAGGAAGAUGGAGACCCUUCCCUCCAACUAGCAUACAGACUUCUGGAAAGAUCUAGGCACUUUAAACCAGCAAUUGCGAUCCUGCCACUUUUCUUUCCCAUCAUAUUCCUUUCUGGUUUUUUGGAAUGGUAGCCUCCAGUCCCAGACCAAAUAGCCCGACCAUGUCAUUUGAAAGUUUCUUGGCCUGCUCUGGAGACACGGACAGAACCCCAGGGGUAGGAACCUACCCUGCGUCUGAGACACCCCGAGACUCCUGCCCAGCUUUAGCCAGAAUGUUAGUAGCCUCAGAAAGGCAAAAGUGCUUGGAGGAAGCCUCACAAUCUGUAUGGGGAAACUUGGCCCUCAUUUACUGUUCAUAGGAAGGUUCCAUCCAAGCCCAGCUGAGAGACUGAGGCAGGGGCCCUUUCUUUUUUUUUUUUAAUAAAAAAUUUUUUUGAUGUUUACUUAUUUUUAUUUUUGAGAGACAGAGAUAGAGCACCAGCAAGGGAGGGGCAGAGAGAGAGAGAGAGAGGGAGACACAGCAUCGGUAGCAGGCUCCAGGCUCCGAGCUGUCAGCACAGAGCCCGACGCGGGGCUCGAACCCACGAACCGCGAGAUCGUGACCUGAGCCGAAGUCGGACGCCCAACCGACUGAGCCACCCAGGCGCCCGCAGGGGCGCUUUCUAAAACACAUUGGUCCUAUGACAGUUGAAGAGCAGACCCCACAUUGCCCAGGGCUUGGGGGCCUGACUCCCCGGGGCAGCUGCCAGGGACAUUGGAGUUGCUGGGUUGGCGAGACCCUGAGGCCAAAUCCGCAGCUAAGCCGAUGAGCCAGGCUAGGCCUCCCCAAGUCAACUCCAUCCCAGUGAGACCUGCUUGGUGUAUGCUGUGUAGACCUUCUCGAGAGAACAGAAAUCCAAACCCGACACCUGAUGGUUGGGGCAUCCAGAGAAGCCGAACACAGCAAAUGCCAUCAUCCCAGAGACUUGUCCCCCCGUGACGUGAGAGUCAUCCCUAACAGGAGCCGGGGAGGCGGAUGCCACAGCCCCGGAGCUUGUCAUGGGAAGCGUCUUCACAGUGAGGGCGCGUGUCCCUGGCGGCUCCCGGCCUGGGAUGGAGCCCCGACAGCGGAACUUGGCCAAACAAGGGCGUGUCGUGGGCGUGUGCGUGUUGGGGGGGGGGGUGAGCCGGCUGCUGAGGGCCCAGGGUCGCUCCUCUGUGGGCCUCCACCCCACGGAUGCGGCGGCCAGAGCCGGACGUCUCUGGGUUGGCGUCCCCAGCCCUGGCACCUGCUUGCCCAGGCAGCCGUGGAAGGUCAGGGUGGGCACCAGCCAGGCGGGGACGGCCCCGGGGAGGAGUCGCAGCGCCGUCCCAGGACCUCAGGGCAGAGUGGCCGGGUCAAGCCAUGUGUGGCGUAGCCUGGGGACAAGCCACUGGUGAGGAGUCACCUCCUGAGGCCCUGGGGGGCUGUAGGGGACCCCCCCCCAACCCAGCUUCCGGGGAUGCAGGGCCUGGGUCGCAGGCCCGUGGGUCUCCUCAGCUGUCGCCGUCCACGGCCCCUCUCAAAGAGAGCGGGGAAGGAAGCCCACCCUUCAUUUAAUCUGCACGACCUUGGUGAGGGGGAGACUCCAUCAUCGUCCCAUUUUGUGGAUGAAGAAGCUGGCUCAGAGGAGAAGUAACCCAUGCUGGGUCCAACGGCCAACCCGGGCAGACCCCGUGCUCCCCUCCCACCCCCCACCCCCACCCCCCGGGGGAGCAGGCGGUGAACUCAGAGGGCCAGGACCGAAGUUGUUUGUUUGUUUUUUUAAAGAUUUUUUUCCUGUUUCUUUUUCAGGGAGAGAGAGGCAGAGAGGGAGAGCGUGAGUGGGGGUUGCAGAGAGAGAGCGGGGACAGAGGAUCCUAAGCGGAUGCCGUGCUGACAACAGAGAGCCCUGCGUGGGGCUCAAACCCAAGAGCCGCGAGAUCAUGACCUGAGCUGAAGUCCGACGCCCAGCCGACUGGGCACCCUCGAAAUCUUUUAACGAGGAGUGAGGCAGAGCUGGGCCCCCGCCCGGUGUGGGUGCUGUAGGGGCCGGGCGCAGGGGCGGGGGUCGUGACACGAGGCUUUGGCUACUCCUGUUGGGACUCUUUCUCGCCCUGUUCCCUGGGCCACGGGAAGGUGGAGAACGAACUAACACCACUCCCUCCUCGCUCCUCCACGAAGCCACCUGACCCUCUGGCUACUGCUCGCCCCCCGUGAGCUCCUGUAAAUUGUGGUGGCCCCUCUUUUCUGCCUCCCACGCCAGAGACUGAGUGACCCCGGUGCCCCUUCUUUGGACAGGGUCAGCGAUCUCUGGACCCGCCAGGCCCUGGGACGGCCCCCGGGCCUGUUAGGAGCCAACCUGCGUGUGUUGGGAGGUGUGGCGCGGGGGACGGGGCACUGAGGGCACAGGGCAGUGAGGUCGAUGCCCAGGAGAGCCCCCGUCUUGCCCCAAGGAGCUGACUCAUUCAGUCGUCAGCGAGAUGCAGUCCCAUGAGAGUAAAACGCAGACUACGGUGAAUGAUAUCUGGAGCUCUUAACUCUUUUUGUUCUUUCCAGACCCAUCUGGGGGUGUCUGACAUUUUCCAUCGCCUCACCCUGCUGGCAUCACGGGGUGGGCGGCGCGAGCGUGGAGGGGUUACCCGGAAAAGCGUAACAUUUCCAGCUACUUCCCAAGUGUCCGUGCUGUAUUUUUGUGGAUACCUUUCUUCCCGCCUGCUGUGAAUCCGUAAUUUCCUUUCGGGUAAUUCUCCGUCGCCACCCUACAUGCUCCACUCCCUCCCCACCCUCACGUUCUGGCAUAAACCCACACCCUGAGGAGCGCGGCUCUCGAUGUGAGAAGGCCAUCUUUGGGAAUUCUGAGAGAGAUCUGUUUUUUUUUUUUUUUUUUUAAUUUUUUUAAAUUGAAGAGAGAGUGAGUGCAGGUGGAGAAGGGGCAGAGACAGAGGGUCCCAAGUAGGUUCCACGCUCAGCACAGAGCCGGAUGCGGUUCGAUCUCGUGAACCGUGAGAUCAUGCCCUGAGCCCAAAUCAAGAGUCGGAAGCUUAACUGACUGAGCCACCCAGACGCCCCUUGGAGGGAUCAAGUUCUUAAAACGGCCCGGUGUUUGCGAAUCAGAAGUGCUGUCUGACUGUCGGUGCAGCCAGAGGUAGACGAAGCCUACCCGAGAGCCAGAAGGCUGAGAACUUGGAUCUGGAAGGCACGGAGUCGGGGUCGGGGAGGGAUCCUGCCACUGGUACCCGUAAGGGAGGGAGGCACCGGCAGCCCCAGGGGCCACCGUUCAUCACCGUCUUCAUAAAUGGCUUGCGUCCGCUCUGAUGGUCAUCGGAGAGGUAGCGUUUUGAGGAGGAGGAGACUUUGAACUUGAAAGUGAGCCGGUGGGAGCCUAGGGGGCCGGGAAGUACAGGAACAGCCCCAUCAUCACAAUACAACGUUGUCCCAGAGGCGCAAUGUCAGAUGAGAGGCCGUGCAGGCAGUGAGCGCGAGGGGAUUUCAGGAAGAGGAGAGGUCACCCUUCUCCGGCCCCGGAGGGUGACGGCAGGGAGGCAGAGCCACAGUGGGUUUUGAGGAGGGGGUGGAGUGGGCAGAUGAGGGGGGGAGAAAUGUCCAGGUGGGGUUAUGAUGUGUGCAAAGGGCUGAGAGCGCGGAUGGUCACAGCCCUACUGGGGACAGCCGCGAGGUCUUCUCCGAUGGCGGCAAGGCCUCGGUUGCAGAAGGGAUGCCUGGCACGGUGGUGUGGACUGGUUGGGGGCGUCCUCAAGGCCUGGCUGGAGACCAGGGUCAGUGGGUGUUGGAGGAGGAGGCUCACUGGGGAGGAGGCCAGUCUACAGGGGGAGGCGCUCCUGGGAUUAGGCCCAAGUCCACACUGCGCCCGGCAGGGGGGCUGGCAGUGUGUGUCACAGGGAGGAGGUCUCAGCCAGGAGACAUCCUGGAGGGGAGGCUCCGGGCCUUCUGGCUGUGGGGGGCGGUGGGCUGGAAGCUGAUCAGACAGCAAGAGGAAUGAGGCCGGAGGGGAGCCACCUGAAGGGCUUCAGGGUGGUGGCGUCCAGUAGGAGGCAGGUGCCGGGUGCCUGGAGGACAACAGAACGGUCAGGGACGUCGGUGGUUAUUCAGAGGCCACCGGGCAGAGGUGACCCUGCCCGAGGUGAGCACCUGCGAGGUGGCCUCUCUGGGAGAGGAAGGCACCCUGCAAACAAAGCAGGAGCAGCCUGGCGAAGCCCGUGGUGGGAGGUCACUUCAGUCGCCCAAAAAACUGCUUGAGAGUUGCAGCGGUCCCAUGCACGGCUCUGACCGUGCCACGGGCUGGUGAUUUCUCGUCGUUCUGUGACUUUGGUUUCGGUUUUGUGAUGAGGGCUCAUGAACCCCAGCACAGCGAAACCCCAAAGCCCUCUGGAAGCAGCGGAAGGGAAAACAGAAAUCCCAAGAACCAGCUUUCUUUACAUCCGGAGGGCCAAAUACUGAGGGUCGUAGACUGACCUUGACCUGGGGUUGUCUCCCGCACCCAGCCUCCCCGACGCCUGCACCUGGGCCUCCCCGGCAUCUGGGAGGGAGCCACAUCUGGGUGAAGAUUUUCCGCGCAGCUCUGGUAAUUCACAUUUCCGUGAUCACAGACCUUUUAACGAGCGCCCUGGAAUGGUGAAUUUUCGGGGUGCACCCCCUGGCCACGGUUGCGUUUCUGGGCUGGUGAUUCAAGAUGACUGGGCGGGUGGGGGAGGAUGAUAUGAUGUCGUCUUUUUUUUUUUUUUUGGUGUGAGCUCUCUUCCAACUAAAUGAACGGGCUACUUUCAAAAAUGCUGCUGUGGGAGAAACGCAGGCACGUGUUUUUGCUCCGAGCACCACGGGUUCUCCGGCAUCCCCACCACCACGUUCAUGCACUCCGCGGUCCCCCCUGCAGCCCCCACCCCCUAAUUGUGAGAACAGGGAGACGCAUUAGCUGCUGUGGACUCACCACCCUUCUUUGUCUGAGGGCUUCCAACCGCCAGCAGAGAUCAAUAAAUUAAGAUAAAGAAAAUGACGUUUCGCUUUGUGUGGGCUCUGUUGUCAGAGAUCUGCUGGGGUUGAAUGGAGAUUCUGUUUCCUUCUCCGAGUCUUAAACGCUCAGGCUGCUUCUGGCUUUCCUGUCGGUGCCUCCUCUCACCCAGACCGUUCUGACACUUUGACUUACCGAUCAACUUACUAUUUUUUUUUAACCCACGGUUUUUAAAAAGUUGAGCGCAUGUGCGCACACACUUGUAGGGAAAGAAAAACAUGCUACCCAACAAGCCAUGUGUCAGAACCGACUAAGCUCUGAGGCUUGCCCUCCAAGAGUGAGGGCUGGGAUGAAAAUUCUCCGUGUAGCCGAUUAACACAGAUCGAACUUUUUUUUCUAAGUAUAUUUAUUUAUUUUGAGAGAGAGAGAGGGAGAGAAAGCAAGUGAGGGGGGUGCAGAGAGAGGGAGAGAGAGAGAAUCCCAAGCAGGCUCUGCACUGACAGUGGGGUUUGAACUCACGAACCAUAAGAUCGUGACCUGAGCCAAAACCAAGAGUCAGACACUGAGCUGACUGAGCCUUCCAGGUGCCCUCACAGAUUGAAUUUUUAAUAGUUUGCAGCCCUGCAUGCUGUAAAUACUUUUUUGUCUCAGAGGAUGAAUACCUCCUAUCGUUCUGUCAAGACAGUAUCUCCAUUUCAGAGAAGGUGUGGCUUUGGAAAGGCAUUGGUGUGUCUCCAGUACUGGAGGGGUCAGUGGGACUUUCCUGUCCCCAGCCUUUGUCCUUGCCUUUUUAUCCACCUGGAUGGUCACUAAAUGCCCAGAGCAGGAGAACGGAACGUCUCUGAGGUUGUCCUGGGCAUAAGUUCUGAGACUAUUGUUAAUGCAAUCCUGGCUGAAGGAAGAAGUUUCUUCUGGUGGAAUUUUUGAUUUAAGAUAAGGUCGUGGAGGGGCGCUUGGGUGGCUCAGUCAGUUAAGCAUCCGACUUCAGCUCAGGUCAUGAUCUCACAGUUUGUGGGUUCAAGCCCCGCGUCGGGCUCUGUGCCGACAGCUCAGAGCCCGGAGCCUGCUUCAGAUUCUGUGUCUCCCUCUCUCUCUGCCUCUCCCUCACUCACACUCUGCCUGUCUCUCUCUCUCUCUCUCUCAAAGAUAAAUAACAUUAAAAAAAAAGAGAAGAUAAGGCCGUGGAGACUGAAGUUAGCAGUCUACUACACGGCCACCCUUACUUCUCUAUAGGAACCUUGGUUUUUGCUUCUGGGUCUCAAGAUUUGCUCAACUCGGGCCACAUGCCAUGAGGGGCCUGGAGGAGAUCUCUGGAGGAGGUCCUGCCUGGGAUAAGCUGAUGAGUUUACAGAGAGGUCACUGAUACCUGCUGGGUAUUGUGCCGCAUUUGCUUGGAGGAAAAGGUACACACUUACCAGAUAAUGAAUGAUUCAUACCCACCAUUCAGUCCAACUCCAGAAAGUUCCUGGGCCCUUGAGAACACAUUUGCUGAGCAUGCAUUGCUCCGUCCGUGGUGGACAAGGCCAUGGCUUAGCUUUCGGGGUCUAUUAUCUCGGGCAAGUGGGCAGAUACGUUUUGCAAAGGUCCAGAUGGUAAAUAUUUCUUGCUUUGAGGGCCCUGUGUCUUUGUCACAGCUACUCAACUUGGUUGUAGCGUGAAAGUAGCCAUAGUUGAAUGGCAUGGAUGUGUUCCAAUAAAACUUUAUUUACAAAACAGGCGCUGGCCAGAUUGAGUCCACUUGUUUUCCGUCCAGAUUUUUCUUCUGAGCUUUUGAAGGGCAGAAGCCAGUCCUUAUUUAUGUUUGCCUGUCUAGUGUCAAGCAUGGGACCUGAUUCCUGGUAUGUGCUGAGUAACACUCCGUGAGACCUUCCAAGGAGAAGGUAUCUUUAUGAUUCACACCAUGAGCUGCAUUGGAGUCAUGACAGCAGAAUGUUUAAAUUAAAGGGCCCUAGCAUAUCACACACCCACCCACCCACCCACAUACAUAGAAAUAUGCAGGUGUCUUACAACUAAACUCACAGACAUAUGGGCAGUUUAUAUUCCAGUUCUAUUGCCCUUUCAACUCUCUCCCUUCCUUCUUCUUCUUUUUUUCUCCUUUCCUUUUCUCAUCUCUUUCCCUAAAAGUUUACUAUACAUUUUCUAUGUGCCAGACACUAUGCUAGGCUGAUAACGUAACAUCUAAAUGUAACAGCCAAGACAUAACAUUUGCCUUCAAGGAGUUUACAGUCCAGUAGCUGAACCCAAAAGAAAGGAAAAAGAAGAAAAAAAGGAGAUAAAUGAAUAAUUUAAUGAAGUGGAAAACACACAUAAAAUAGGAAACAUCGACAAAACUAAAAGAUUAUCUGGAAAGAAUAAUAAAACUGAUUGAAAAAAUAAAGCCCUAGCAAGACUGAACAAGGGGGCGGGGGGAGAAAGAACAGGUAAACAUCAUUAAUGUUAGGCAUGUUAAGGAGACAUCACAACAGAGCCCACCUUCAGUAAAAUGCCAUUACAUUUGAAAAUUCAGAUACAUGGUAAAUUCCUAUAAAACACAGUUUACGAAACGGACAUAAGGAAAAUAUGAAUCUUAACCAGUCUAAUAACUGUUAAACAGAUCGAAUCCAUAAUUUAAAACUUUUCCACAAGGAAAGGAAAGGCUUGGAGGUAAUACACGUACCAGUAUACAAGCACAAGGAUGCUCAUAGCAGCACUAUGUGUACUAGCCCUAAACUGGGAACAGCCCAAAUGCCCAUCGAGAUGGAACAGAUGAGGAGAAAACAAAGCCAUGAGAUGUGGGCCCCUUCGCCCUGAAGCAGUGAGCACUACUGAUGUGUUCUGUUGUGUCAGGAAGUGUUUUCGUGGGAGAGGGCCUUCUUGAAUGGAGGCUUGAGAAAGAAAGAGAGAAAGAUCUCUGCUGUGGAUCUCUUGGGAGGGGUGAGGAGGGAACAGGGUAGGCAGAGACACUUGAGUGGGGGAUAAGGCCAUGUUUGGGAAAGGACAGGCCUUCAGUGUAGCUGGAGAUUAGGAACAAGAGGGGCCCAGGGCAGGCUGAGGCUGGAUAUGAUUCCCAAUGGGCCAGAGAGAGCCACUGAAGGUACAAGCUGGGGGAUAAUGUGGCCAGAACUUCCUGUUUUAGAGGGAUACUCCGGUGGCUUUGCUGAGGUUGGAUGAAGAAAUUAAGCCCAGAGGGAGGCUGGAGGGAUGUGUGAGUUCAGACGAGAGAGGUGCUGAAGCCUGGGGAGACAGUGCCAUUGUGGUGGGGGUGGAGAGGAGAGGGUCGAAACAAAAUCACAAAAGGUGGAAUCUACAGGACCUGGAUGGUGAGUAAAUUCAGGUUGCUGGUUUGGGUGGCCAGGUGGAUGGGGGUCCUAUUCUCUGGGGAGGGAAUGGGGGGAAAGGUAAACAGUUGGUUGUGGGGCAUGUUGAGAUGAGAAUCCAUUGUCCAGUAGAAAGCUGGGCAUCUGGUUUGGGGCUCAGAGGAGAAAUUCAUGCUAGAGGCAUGAGCCAUGGAAAGCAGCAGGUGAUUGGAAUCAUGGAGCAGAAGAGGAGCUCUCUUGCAGAAAGAGGUUGGGUGGAGGGAGAAACCCCUGGAAAGCACCAGCAUUUGUGACAGUCGUGGGCCAUGGUGGGAAGGUUCCUAAUGGAGAGCAAGCAGAGACCCUACCGUUGAGGCCGUCUGCAUAUGCUGGCAUAGUAGUGAGUCACCCUGGCCAAGGAGGGGCCCCAGGGGGAGGAGAGCCCUGGAUUAGGGAGCCCAUUAACAGAAGGAAACAGAAGCCCUUAGAUUAGAUUCAGAGUGUUUCUCCCUUCCAGCUGUGACUCCUGGUCUGGGUCAACACUGGGCCUCUCCAGGCCUCUUGUUCCCUUGAGCAUGAAAGAAACAGGGCCACAGUGUCUCUGAAUCGGGUACAACCUCUGACACACAGCAGUUAAUCUGCACGCUGCUCCCAGAUGACUAUUCCGUCACAGAGGGGCCGCCGGCUCUUUUGUUUCUAAGAAAUAUCUCAGCCAGUGUAGCUUCUGGCCCGGGGCUCGGUCCCAAGGCCUCUGGCUUGCGCUGACCUGACAUCCUGUGUCUGAAGGGGACAGCUGGCCUCGUGUGGGUGCUGGCCGCGGCCUGGCUGGGUCCCGUGGGGGCUCUAGCCUCUACCUCCACACCCUUCCUUGGGGAGAAGGGGAAGAGGUGGAUUUGGGGAUGGGGUCCAAACAGGCCGUGCCCUGGGGACCCCGAGCAGGGGAGCUCCCACCUGUUCCAGCAGGUACGCUUUGUGUCCGGGGAUGGAAACGCGACUGAUUUUCCUUUGAGCUUGGCUGAAGUGUGGGCUUACUAGGACAUUUCAUAACGGCAGGAAAACGAAAUUACAAAAGCUGUGAAGCACAUCUCUCUCUCCCUCUCUCCCGGUGAGGAUGACGAAGAGGAGACUGGCAGAGGACAGGAAGCGCACCGUACAAGAAGCUGUGUGCCAAGAUCUUCCUCCUGCCCUCGCUCGCGCCGUGGCCCCCAAGCAGGAGACAAGCUGGACACGCACAGGGGUCAGAGCACGUUCUCAGGGCCACCUUCCAGGUUUGGUGUUCUCCGUGAAAGAUCCUUGGGUUCCACGCCUAUAUCCCCGUGUCGGGAAGUGAUCACAUUCGACUUUUUGAGGGUUCAGAAGGAGCCGACCUUACAGAUGGUGAAGAGAAAAUGUAGCUGCAGAAAUAGGAGUAAUGUUCUGGAUUCCAGCUCCCAAGCCAGCCACCCCUGUCCCGGGCCUUGGGACUUGGGUGGUAAUCAGCCUGCAGAAAUGGCUCCCCGGGACUAGGGGCUGGCGAGCAAGCAGGGGACUUUGUGAGUCUGUGAGACAUGACGCCGACUAGGCCUCCUUCUGCCCUGAAAGACAUGGGAGACAGUCACCUCCAUCCCUGGUGAGUCAGCAAGCCCUCUGUGGUCUGCAUCCCAGAUGGUGCCACCAAGAAGCACCCAGGACCCUGGUGGGGGAGCUGGCUGUGGGUCUUGCCACGUGAGGUCCUGGACAAGUGUGUCCCAUGAUGCACAGAGCAUGAAGAUGGGGAAGCAGAAGGCGGAGCCGCCCAGCUAGGUGCCUCCCCACCCCCACCCCUGGAGGACGCUUCCCCACAAGGAGUCUGGUGGCCCUGAAGAGGGGAGAGGAGAAAGGCCAGAGCCAGCUGGCUGGGGGAGAAGGAGAGCGCAAGGGGGGGGGGGGCAAAUCCCAGGGCAGGCGGGCUCCCAGGUGGGCAGAAGGCCUAGGCGGCCCCACAGUGGGACUCAGAAUCCAGGAACAGGAUGCGAGAAAGGACAGCGGUCAUGAAGGCCUCUUCCCUGAGAAGGAACAAUGGUCAUUCUUCCAUUGAAGGCUGACAUUCCGUGAGAGAGGAAAGGCCUCCCGGUGGAGGGGGGCGGGGGAGAGCUGAAGGAAAGGGGCGGAAAGGGAAGGGAGGGGGCCCCAGACGCUUGUGCUGACCCGGGGCCAGCACGAGGCCUUUGGAGCCCACUCGGAAUUUGAUAUGUCCCCGUCUCCAGUACCGAGCAGACAGGCCAGCUCACGUGGAUGGCUUCACCUAAGUGUGACGUUACAGCUUCCCAAGGCGCCACUGACUCAGCCCCUGCCCCUGCCCCGUGGCCUCCCAGGACCCCGAGCGGGCAGGCUGGGAUGAAACUGCCCCAGGAGGGGGGGCAAGGGUCUCAUGUGCUCUGUUGUGCGGUUCUGUGAGACUUACCAUCUCUACACACGGGAAGAAGGAUUUCCCAGAAAAAAUAAAGGAAGCCGGCCAAUAUAAUCAAGGCACACAAACCCCUCCUCUUUCCAAAUAUGUGCCUAUCUCCAAAACAAUCAAAACUGCCCCAUUAAAUAACACUUGUUCGGUACAAAGGAAGUAGAGCAUGAUGGGAUUGCACGCCGGUUCCAAGUAAAACAUUCCCGAUUGUUAGGCAUGCAACAAUGAGCAAAAAAGCUGAAUGGCAAUCACACGUGAGGACUGCUGUGCUCGGAGCCCUUCAGAGCCCUUGAGUGCCCAGCGCCGGGGUCACUCGGUGGCUCUCUCACGGUCAGUUCCUGGGCAGAGGCUGCCCUGGGUUGAGGAGGGUCGGAGCCCGGACGGGGCUUCACGUACAGGGCCCAUCCUGACUGGCAGCCUGCGCCCCUGCCUGCUUCCCACAUGCAGCGCCUUGGGCCUGUCCAGCCACCUUGCCUCUGGUCUGGCCCUCGGUCCCCUCAGUGUGAGGUAGGCCGAGGCCACGAUCUGGCAAAGAGGGGGGAGAUGGUAGGCAAGGCCCGAAGGCAGCCGAAAGGAGGGGGCAGCCUUGGUUCUCACCAAAAGAAGGGUUUGGGGGCCUCAGCGACAGCUCGUCUGUUCGGGGCUGAAUGGUGUCCCCACUCAAUUCAUAUGUGGAAGCCCCAACCCCCAAUGGGACUGUAUUUGGAGACAGGCCCUUUAUGGAGGCAGUUAGGGUGAAAUAGGGUCAUUAGGGUGGGGCCCUGACCUGAUAAGAUUAGUGUCUCUGUAAGAAGAGACACUGGAGAGCCCCUCUCACUUGCCCCCUCCCACAGUCCAGAUGUGAGGACGCAGAGAAAAGGCGGCCAUCUGCAAGCCAGGAGGAGAGCUCUUACCAGGAACCCCACGGGCCAGCCUCUUGAUCUUGGGCCUCCAACCUCCAGAAAGAAAUGUCUCUCGUUUAAGCCACACAGUCUGUGGUAAUCUGCUUGAGCAAAUUAAGACAUCAUCCAACGAUAAAUUGGAAAGAUGAAGGGACCCGGAAGUCUUGGGGGCAAGCAGACCCUACAGGCCAUCUGAGGAUCUGUCUGCCAGCCAAUGGGGGCUGCCCUGCCCGGAUCCCACCAAGCCUUCCCCGGGGACAUGGCCAGCAAUGCCACUCAUGUACAUGUGUGCGAGCGCAUCAGCUUUUAGGUUCAGUGUGCUGAGGCCCCAGAACACGGCAUCCCUCUUUGAGUCUUCACUGGGCUGGCCGGGCACCCCUCACCUUUGGGCUUAAGGCCAGUGUGACCCCAUCGUGGGCGACGUCCCAGGCGGCCCCGUGAACCUUCAGGCAGGUGGUAAACAGCAGGGAGAGAUAAAUUCUUAAUAAAUGGAGUCCCGUUUUGAUGCAAAUGCGCCUGCUAAUAAAGUAGGAAGGAGCAAGAACCACAGAAUAUUUAUGACAGAAGCAGGACUGUUUGGAAACAGACGUUUUAUUAGGUUCCCGUGAGGCACCAGCCGCUCUUUUAACAUUUCUAUUUCGGGGCCUUAUGUAGAAAGCAGUCGCUCUAUAAAUAGCAGGGCAAACAAAGUUAAGGAGGGUUGUUAUCAUGCGGGGAGGCUGGGGUCUGGAGCCCGGGGAAACCAUGAGGCUCUGUCCCCGGUCUCGAGGGCUUCUCAGACUAGACCACGUCUCCCGUGGUCAUCUCCCUUCUGGGUGACCUUUUAGCUCUUUCAAACUCUUGUUAAUAUUUUGUUUAUUAUUCUUAUAUUAUUUUAAAUGUGUAUUUAUUUUUGAGAGUCAGAGCAUGAGCAGGGGAGGAGCAGAGAGAGAGGGAGACACAGAAUCCGAAGCAGGCUCCAGGCUCCGAGCUGUCAACACAGAGCCCGAUGCGGGGCUCAAACUCACGAACUCAUGAGAUUAUGAGUUGAAGUCGGACGCUCAACUGACUGAGCCACCCAGGCGACUCUCAGACUCUUCUUUUGGUAAUACCUCCACGCCUGCCUCUGGGUUCCUUCUUUUCUUCUUCUUUCUCUCUAAUCUUUAAGAUGUUUCUCUUUACUUUGUAGUUAUUUAAAAUUUAUUUUGAGAGAGAGAGAGAGAAAGCAUGAGCAGGGAAGGGGCAGAGAGAGAGAGAGAGGGAGAGAGAGAAUCCCAAGCAGGCUCCGCACUGUCAGCGCAGAGCCCGACGUGGGGCUUGAACCCAUGAGCCGCUAGAUCUUGAACUGAGCCAAAGUUGGACGCUUAACCAACAGAGCCAUCCAGGCGCCCCCACUUUGUAUUUUGAAAGAAAUUCUUAGAAAAGAAUUUUUCUUUUCCUCAGAAAAGUUGCAAGAAUAGUACAAGGAACAUCUAUAUACCUUUCAUACAGAUUUCUCUCUCUCUUUGAAUACAUAUUAUUCGCAUUUUAUUUUGCUGAACUGUUUGGGAUUAUGUUGCAGACAAUAUGGCUGUUCACCCUGAAAUACUCCAGCAAAUAUCUCCCAAGAGGGCCUUGCUCUUAUAUAACCAUGACACGAUGAUCUCAUCCAAUGCUAUGAUCUAACAUGAAGUCGAUAUUCACAUGUCACCAAGGAAGGUCCCGAUAAUGUUUUUAUAACACUCCCCACCCUCCUUCCACAAUCCAGUUCCGACUCGUUCACUGCAUUUACUUGUCCCAAUUCUUACGUCUCCUUGAACCUACAAAGAUUCUGUCGCUUUUCUUUGGAUGUCACAGCAUCAAUAUCUGGAAAGGGAAGCAGAAUGAUUAGAAAAGGAAUGGGGGAUUCAUUAGAAGGAUGAGCCCUGGGGCUCCUGGAUGGCUUGGUCAGUUAACCCUCUGACUCUUGAUUUCGGCUCAGGUCAUGAUCUCAAGGUUUGUGAGAUCAAGCCCUGCACUGGGAUCUGUGUUGACAAUGUAGACACUGCUUGGGAUUCUCUCUCUCUCUCUCUCUCUCUCUCUCUCUCUCUCUGCCUCUCCCCAGCUCUCGAAUUUUCUCUCUUUCUCUCUGUCUCAAAAAUAAAUAAACAUUUUUAAAAAAUAGAGGGAUGCGCCCUUACACCAUGAUGGGAGAAGCCUGGGGAGUGAGGUUCUGGAGGGGACAUUGGUGGGGAUCAGAGGACAGUGCUGAGUGAGAACCAGACAGCCGAGUGGGGAGAUGUCUAGAGAGGGCUGUUCCCUGGUGGAGCGUUGGUUCUGAGGUCUCUGUAGGCAAGCGGGGCAGGUGCUGGGGGAGGAAGCAUUACAAAGCAGGAGAGAACAAAGGCCAAGUCGCUCCCAAGGGGACACAGUGGCCUAUGUCUGUCCCCACUGCACCUAGAGAAGCCACUGGCCUGUACCCACACCUGGCCCGGGACGUGGAGGUGGCCCGGCACAGUGGUGGCGACUUCCCCUUUGCCCUGACCCCGUGCGCGUUUCUCCCUUGGCCUGCCCACCCAUUUUUCCUCCCUGCAGACUGCCCUCUCCUCCCAUGAAAGUGAGUCUGACAAGCGAGGGAUGCGUGGUCGUGCUUGUCAGCGGAUGGGCUUCCUCACAGGGCUGAAUCUCCACACCACGCUGUCCUUUUCACGCUUUCCUCCCCUCGUCUCAUUGCUUGUUCUCUGACUUCUCUUCCCUGUGAGAGUGGGAGCACUUCCCGGGAGGACAGGGCCCAGUCCAUCCUGUUUAUGUCUGUACCUCCGGGAUCUGGCCUAGCACCCGGCACCGAGUGCACACGUGGGACAGCGGAUAAACGAACGGGUGCACUUGUGGCUCUGCUGUUCUAGAAACCAUCUCAGGUAGCUUCGGUGACAACGUGUGCUUUUCGGCGCUCGCUGCCAGGAAUAGCUUUGUAGAUGGACCAUAGUGGAUUAGACCUGCCAGCCGUUUUCAGUGGUGACUUUGUCCUGAGAUGGAACUGUUGGAAUGAGGAGGGCGGGAUUCAAUUCCAAGAUUCAGAAAAUUCAGUAUCACCGUGCCUUAAACCAGAUAGGAGUUUAUUUCUGUCUCACAUAAACCGAGCCCAGGGGGAAGCGAUCCGCGGAAUCCUUAGGGCCCAGCCUUCCCCGACCCUCCACUUGGCCCUCGACUGUCUUUCUCCUGGCGCAAGAUGGCAGCACCCGCGUUUCAGGCAGCAGGCAGAAAGAGGGGGAAAAGCAGAGAACAAAACAAAAAUGCAGCCACAGGACACUUCCGCUUACAUUCCGUUAUCUAGAACUUCUAUGGCUGCAGAAGAGGCUGGGAUGUAACCUCUAUUCUGGGCGGCCAUGUGCCCGCCCAGGUAGAGAGUCUCCAAAGAUGAUUUUGUCAGGCCACCAGCAAUCUUUGCCACAGUUGCGUUUGGGGAGAGGUCGCGUGUCUUCCUUCUCACUCCCUCUUUCACGUGCAGGGUGGGAACCAAGUGGAAGGUCUCAGGCCCCGUGCUCCUGUGCGGGGUCGUCGUUAGCUUUUCCUAGGAGCGGGGCAAGCUGGCCGCAGCGUGCUGUGAUUGGGUUAUCUGUGUUGAAUGGCACGAGGUUGUCCACAAGGCAAAUACCGAAUUGCAGGGAGUAGGCUGCACUUAAAUGCACUGGGCCAAAAAACCUAAGAAACACACAAACAAAAAAGCCACCCUAAACCCAAGGGAAAUCUGUCAGGGCUUAGAGGCAGCGGUGAGCAGGGAGGAAGGCAGUAUGAGUUCAUGGUGGGGCCACGGUUUUGCUGCGUCGUGAUUGAAAGAGCGUUUACUAUAGGGUGGGAAUUUUAAAUCUCUUUUUAAAAGCAUGAGUCUCCGGGGAGUGUGUCGGAGGCGGGAACCGCUCCCCGGAGAGCAGUUUUGUAACUACUUGUAGCUGAGUUUAUUUUGUUUUACUGAAGUAUGCCAGGCUGGACAUUUCCUCCUGUUCUCAUGCUUCUGGACUCAGGAAUGCAGAGAGCACGCUGGCCUCCCGAAAGCAUCAUCAGCAGGAUGUGAACCAGGGGCUCCCCCUUCGUGUCCAAAGGGCGAAUCACCUUGCUCCUGAGCCGUCAGCGUGGGUGCGGACUGGGGGCGUCGGGGAGAAGCAGGCGCUACCGGUAAUGGAAGUGUGAUGGGCUGGCGUCUCAGCCAAAGUACACUUGAACGUGAGCUGCUGGUGUUUAUUCAAGUCGACUUCCUCACGUCCUAUGUCCCGGGGGCCUGGGCCGUCCCCGUUACUGCCAUUGCUGCUAUGGUGCGGGAUCCAGCGUGCUCAAGGUGUGUGCCUCUGGGCUGGGCUGAUGCCCAGGGCCGGGCUUCCUUUCUGGAGCUGCGUCAGUUUCCCUCUCAGCCCUCACACUCCUUGGCGGGCCAGAGCGACAAAGGCAGGAGUGCGUGCAGUGUAAGUCAAUCAACGAAGCGAACAAAAUCCAGAGAAACAGCACCUGCCCUCGACUGAGCGCAUGCCGUGUUCUAGGUCCUGAAUGCCCGAGAUCUCAGCACCUCCUCAAGGCGGGGAUCGUCUUCUCACUUCGGGGGUCAGGAGAACAGGGUCGUACCAGUUGGGUGAUGUGCCUCCGGGUCUGUGUGUGAUGGGGCUUGGGGGUCAGGUGGGAUCCUCAAGCUGGGGAGCAGCCUAGCCCCAUGAAUGCUGCCAAGGGGCAUCUCUGUGGGAGAGAGGAGGCACUCUCCCUCUCUCGAGUGGGGAGCUCUGUGGGCUGUGGGGCGGAGCGACCUCCCACGUGGCAGCACCUGUUCCCUCCACAAACCGGCCAGCGCCGCCUUCCUGCCCUUGGGAGCAGACACUGCGGUUGACAAAGGUCGUCCGGCUUAUCCAGCCUCUGUUUUCCUGUGAUAUUGAUGUUUAUGCCAAGGUAACACCCGCACCUUAGUUAGCUUUGGGGCGGAAGGAAGAAUUUCGCUCUGUGGGGUAUAAGAUCUCCUUUCCUGAACUUUCCCCUUAGUGUCCGUACCCGCAGCUGAACCCUUAGCCAUUUCGGUCUGUUGGUUUCCACACGUUUACUGGUUUAUCAAGCUCUGGAGGGAUGGCUUCAUGUAUUUAAAAUCCUCUGCCCGGAUGGGCGCCUGGGUGGCUCAGUCGGUUGAGCGUCUGACUUCGGCUCAGGUCAUGAUCUCGUGGUUCAUGAGUUUGAGCCCCAUAUAGGGCUCUGUGCUGACAGCUCAGAGCCUGGAGUCUGUUUGGGAUUCUGUGUCUCCUGCUCUCUGCCCCUCCCCCACUUGUUCUCUGUCUCUCUCUCUCCCCAAAAUAAAUACACGUUAAAAAAAUAAAAGUAAAAUAAAAUCCUCUGCCUGGUAUAGCAGAGAAUGACAAAUUCUCAAAGACUGAUCGAUAGAUUUAAUAAUAAAAAAAAGUUACUUCCUCACCUCUUUGUCUUCUGCAAAGCCGCAUUUUAAUUCCAUUAAUAAUUUAGUUUUUUUCUCCUACGUCCAGUGGGAGAGAGACCUCAAAGUGUUUAGGCUUUAUUGUUCUGCUGAGCUAUUCAUGGGCCCAUGUAUUUCCUACUGCAUAAACCCAGACUGGACUUCGUGGACGGUGAUUACACUAAACCAACACCACAACGACCCCACCUUACUCCCAGGUACGGCCCAGGGAAUUCUUUUCCAUUAAAUCAUUAUUUUUAGGGGCGCCUGGGUGGCGCAGUCGGUUAAGCGUCCGACUUCAGCCAGGUCACGAUCUCGCGGUCCGUGAGUUCGAGCCCCGCGUCAGGCUCUGGGCUGAUGGCUCGGAGCCUGGAGCCUGUUUCCGAUUCUGUGUCUCCCUCUCUCUCUGCCCCUCCCCCGUUCAUGCUCUGUCUCUCUCUGUCCCAAAAAUAAAUAAAAAACGUUGAAAAAACAAAAAUCAUUAUUUUUACAUCGAGGAAACCUUUGUUUCAGGGCCCUCCCACAUUCCUUCCAGGGGAUUUCCUGCAUUUCUAAGGCACUUACUCUGUGCUAUGGGCAAUAUUGAAAAUGUGUAUAUCAUGAUCCCUGCCCUCAAGGAGUUUACAGUCCAGUUGGGAGUCAAGACAAAAAAUAAUAGAGAACCACAAAGACGAUAUAGUACCAAGACCUAAAUUUUAAACUGCAGAUUGGAUCCAUUGGCGGGUGGGUUGUAAAAUGAGUUUAAGCGGUCACAGUCAGUAUUAAAAAAUGGAAAUAGCAAAAAUAGGAAGGAUUAACAUGCGUAGGAUAUAGUAAGCUUAAGAACUUUUCGGUAAAGGUUUGGUUCUGUUUUAUAUAUAAAUAAAAUCUGUUUCUUACCCUAGGUUAUGGUCAAAUAUGUGUGGAUGUUUCUGACAAGCUAUGUGUGAGACGAGUGGAGGUAAGCCUGUGAAGGAAUGCCACGUGAGAAGGCAUUCGUGACUUUUGUUCAAGUUAUGGACUCUUGAGAACCCUUAGAACACGAUUGGAAAUCGCUCUAGAAACCAUGCAUAUGCCGGGUGUUUUGCACAUCUCAGUGGCUCGUGGACUUUGCAGCCCUUGGUUUCAAGACCUUGGUUGGAGCCCUUUGAUCUGGAGAUUAAAGCCAGGAGGGAGAGAGAGGAGAAAGGCUGGAGAGCUGGGCUACAUUUCCCAGGAGAGAAGAUCAUUCAUCACUCACUUGGGAAGUCAACGAAGGCUUCCAAGGAGGAGAAGCUCUUAAUCCAAUUCAUGUUUUAGGAAGACUGUUGUGGAAGGCAUUAGGGGCUAGAGGUCCAACUCAGAGGGUAUUGUAAUAAUUAUUUGAGAGCUAACAGAGGCAGAUAGGUAGGAGGGCACAACUGUGAGAAGUUUUUUAGGAUAAAAAAAAAGUCAUUGGACUUGGUAUUUCUUUGGAUAUGGAGGCAAUGAGGGGGAAGGAGGAGUCUGGGGUGGCCUCUUGGUUUCUAUCUUUGAGCAGACAGCGUUGCUAAUCACUGAGUCAGGACUAAAUAUAGAAAGGAAGGUAAGUUUGGGGAGGAGCAUGAGUUUAAUUCUGUAGUGAAGGGACAUACGCAAGUAUAUCCAGGGACCUGAUAUAAUCUCCCAACAUUCUCUCUAUGAAACUAAAGAGCAAAAGCCGAGGAGGGCCAGGUUGGGGUGGGAUUGGGGUCCGGCAGAGCUGGAAGAGGAGGGGAUUCAGAUUUUGUUUGGGUACGUGUGUUCUUUGGUGGAACAGUUUGGUAAUCCUGGGGCAACAGGAGUGUCCCAAAGACUCUGAGAGCCCCGAUGACAAUGGAAAUAGCAGGCAAAGUGCAUUGGCUGAACUGGAGUAACCCAGGGUAGCAGCCUGGGUUUGGAAGUACAGGGGAAGGGGCUGGUCCGGCCCAGUAGGGAAGAAGGCCCAGCAGGCGCUGGCCAGGGUGUGUGUGUGUGUGUGUGUGUGGCAAUGUCUAGCUCCAUCUGGAACUAAAGCUGGUGAGUCUGCCCAGCCCAUUCCAUAGCAUCUAUGGGGAAGAGGGGCUCUGCCAGGUCCCACUGAUCCUGCCGGUGGGAAACAUACCAGGAUCCCCCUGUCUCUUCCAGGCCCAGGAGUCGGAUCCAACUGUGUUUGUGGCUGGUACAGAGGAAGGUGAGACGUAUGCAGGAAUUUCACGCUCCUUCACUCUUGAUAGGUGCUGCUAGGAAUCUGGGUUACAGUCAAAUUUGUGUUGGAUGCUCUGGGUGAACUCCUUAACUAUUUGUUUGUGGUACUGCUAAAUAUUUCCAGAUGUCAGCACCACACAUAUGCCACGAUGCUGUGAUUAAAGCGCUCAGUGCUGAACCUCUUUUUUUUUUUUUUUUUUAAUAAGAAAAAUGCAUAAGGAGAAAUUAAAUCUCCCUUUCUGUCUGGAACCCACCAUACAGAUCCUGCAUUAUUUACCAACCACAAGAGUUUUUCCUUGGCUGGUACAUGCGUCUCUCCUAGUGUUUUUUCCAGCUGCUCAUACAGACUUUGGCAAAGUUACUCACUAGCUCCGAAUACCAGGAUUACCCCAUUCUCGUUUAGCAGUUCAGGGAUUUGGCACCUGGAGGAAAAGCAAAGGCGAUUUCAGAAUCCUACUAAUUCCCCAAACGGAGCUAAGCGAUAGUCCCAGCCUCACGGGGUUGUGUGAAGACGGAAGAGGGCAUUGCGUGGAAAGUAUCUACUACAGUGCCUGGUACCCCCCCCCCCGUGGUCUCAGGCAAGGCCAGUUCUUUUCCUGAGGAGGGUCACGUGAUACCCGACCAACAGAUUUUCACAUCGGCUGGGGCGGGGACAUUGGAGCCUCUGGUGUGGGUUUAUCUGUAGUGGAGACAUUGAUCGAAAAUCUUGGGAGUGUUAUGCAAGAAAAGAAACAGGCAGAAAGAACAGUAGUUCUGGAGCUGAAAGUUUGAAUCUCAGACUUCUCUCUUCCUCCCUCAGUGACCUUAGGCAAGGCACUCACAGUUGACCCUUGAACAACGCAAGGGUUAGGGGCACUGACCCUGUCGCAGUUGAAUAUCUGUGUAUAAUUUUUGACUGCCCCCCAGACUUACUACUAAUAGCCUACUGUUGACCGGAAGUCUUACCGAUGACACAUAUUUUGUCAUAUUUUGUCAUUGUCAGUCGAUUAGCACAUAUUUUGUAUGUGGUAUGUAUUAUAUACUGUAUUCGUUUUUUAAAAAAAAAUUUAUUAUCUACUUUGACAGAGAGAGACAGACAGAACGAGCCGGGUAGGGGCAGAGAGAGAGGGAGAGAGAGAGAAUCCCAAGCUGGCUCUGCACCAUUAACGUGGAACCCGAUGCGGAGCUCGAACCCACGUACUGUAAGAUCAUGACCGGAGCUGAGAUCGAGAGUUGGACACAUAACUGACUGAGCCACCCAGGCACCCCUGCAUACUGUUACAAUAAAGUAAGCUAGAGAAAAGAAAAUGCUAUUAAGAAAAUCAUAAGGAAGAGAAAAUACAUUUCUAGUUCGACAGUAUAGGAAAUCCACGCGUAAGUGGACCCCACAUUUCAAACCCUUGUUGUUCAGGGUCAACUGCAGGUUUACUGAGGUUCAGUGUCUUCAUUUGAGAUGGGAACAAUGCCCUUCUCAGAGCGCUGUGGGGAAAACAAAUAAGAAGUCUGGCUAAUGGGAAAUUACGGAGCAACAAAUAUGACCUCUCUUAUUUCUUGCAGCAAAGUUGUCACAAGAGCGUCACAUUCUCAAAUGUCUUCUUUGGUGUUACACAGGGGUUUUACCGUGGGUGCUGAUGAUUUAUUCAUUCAUUCAUCUAACAAAUAUUUACUGAGUCCCUGCUAUGUUCUACAUGCUGGGGAUCCCGCAGGCAACAAACAAAAGCUCUUGCCCUUAUUCAUGGCAUAUUCUAGCGACAGGAGACAGACUGCAAACAUACGGUAGGCACAAGCUACCUGUACAGGUGAUUAAUGACAGAUUCAUUGGGGAGAUUCCAAACCUGACUUAACCAAACUUAGGGAUCCGGUGGCAUGGGAAAUCCAUGGUCUCUAUGCCUACUGAGGCUUUUCCUGGUUAGGAUGACUUUGUUGUGCCCGCACUUGGGGAUCCUCUAGUCCUGUAUGUCUUGUUUGGUCCUUGUCUGCACAGGCUCAGCAGCUCUGUGGGUCCCCACCCUUAGCUUGCUUCCUUUCCAGGUGACGGAUAUCCCUGGAGCUUUAAAGGAACACCCAGCUUCGCUUGAGAAAUAACCCAGGAGACCGAAUAGUGCUUCUGGCUGUACAGAGGACGUUCCAAAGAGUUCCGAUUCUUUAUCUCAGACCGAGGCAUCUCCUUCAUGCUUCACUCAGUCAUCCCUCAAACUUGUCAGAUGCUCUCACACUGUGGUGUUUUUGUUAAUGAGGUUCCUGCAGGCUGGCAUCUCUUAAAUCCCCACCCACUAAAUCCUAUCCAUUCAUCCUGGUUCGGCCCAGAUAAUCCCUCUGUGGCAGAGAAUGUGAGCUACUCUGCAAGAUCCAUUCUCUUCUGAUUCUGGUGGUCAUAGACACCCUGAGCUUGAGCUGGACUCAUGGCAAAAAGUGAAACAUUCCGAGCCAUCCCUAAAGCUAAGCGCAGCUGUGUGACUCAGAACUGGCUCCUUCCGCCCUUCUUGCCGGCAGGAACGUGAACUUGGUGUCAGGAUUUGGUAUUUGGCAGAGCAACAAGAUGGAAGGUGCCUGGGUUCUCAACAUGGUGCAACUGUCCCAUCAGUCCUGGAUAAUUGGCGUCCAAGCAAUAAUCUGAGGGAAAACGAAAGUUUCCUCCCUCCCUCCCUCCCUCUCUCUCACUGUCUUUCUCAAGCUAUUGUUAUUUUGGUUUUCAUGGGAGAAUCCAAAAACUGAUAUCCUAAAAACGCCUCCUGUGCUGUGAAGUCCCCCCAACCUGCCUCUACCUAUAUAUCCCCAAAGUGUGCAAUUUUACCUCAGUUAGUGUUGUCCUAUGGCCAUUUGGGAACCCAGCAAUUUGUAGGAGCUUCUAGUCCUUGACGACGCAAGCCCUUGUAGAGCAGGAACCUGUCUUAUUAAAUGUGUGCCCCCCGUAAUAACGAGCACAAUGCUUUGCUUUUAUUCUUCAUGUAUUUAAUGAAUGUCUGCUCCUUGACUUUUUUGGUGAAUGAAGAAUGAUUCCCUGCCUCUCCUGGACUAAAAAUACUCUCCCUUUCUAAAGCAUCUUUGCCCGGUAGAAAUACAAGGCAAGCCACAUAUGUAAUUUUGAAUUUUUUAGUUGCCACAUUUAUAAAUAAUGCAAAAGGAAACUGGUGAAAUUAAUUUUAGGUGUUUGUUUCAUUGAGCCCUACAUACUCAAAUGUUGUCAUUUUUGUAAGUAAUCGAUACAAAAAUUAUUACUGAGAAUGUUUUACAUUCUUUUUCUCAUACUAAGUCUUUGCAAUCUGGUAUGUGUAUUUUACACUUUUAGCUCAUCUCAAUUCAAACCAGCCUCCGUUCAAGUGCUCAGUGGCCACCAGUGGUGAGUGGCUAUUGUACCAGGCAGCAGAGCUCUAGGGGACCCCAAGCCAGCCCUGAAAGGGUGGGGAGGAUUUGGAUGGGCUGGAAGGGCAUGGAGGAAAUGCCGUGAGGCAGAAACAAGGAGUCUUUUUCUAGACGUUUCAUGGAACUUGUUUGGCACAGGGCUCUGCAAUAUACGGGGUACUCCAGUGACUCUUAGGAACUGUUGAGUGACUUUGAUGUAGAAAGAUUCAUGUGGGAAGAGACAGAACCACUGACAAAACUAAAGAAGAAAUGGAAUCAGGAGAGAAGGGUGUCUGAGCGGAGCUCUGGAGGUCAUUGAAGCCAAACUCAGGGCAUAUCUAACGAUAUAAUGAAUGAGGACACAGCCUUGGCUGAGAGACAUGGUGUGGGGCUGGGUUUUUCGCCGUUGCUGCCUAAGUGACCCUAGAUGAGCCAUUUCAACUCUCUGAGCCUCAGUUUCCUCAGGAAGCCCAUCUGGAAGCAGCACUCUGGUGGGCACAGAGCAGUCUCUUCAAAGGAGCCAAAUUCCCAAUGGCAUGAUAAGGAGAAGCUCACUGGCCCAGCUCUGACAACUCUAGGGUCACUGGACAAGGCAGACUCCACGGAUGCCCCAAAGGAAGGAGUUUCUCCUUGGGCUAUUGAAGCAACGGGUGGUUUCCAUCCAAGGAAGGACUGACUUUGCAAAAAGUGAAAACUCAGAGGUUGAACAAGGGAGGGGGCAGCCACCACAGAGUGGGGUGGGCACAGGCAGUUGUGGAACACGGAAGGCAGGAGAGAGACGAUGCCUUUCUCUUUUCUCAUGGAAGUCCGUUCAUGGAGCUCUGGGGUCCACCAGGGAUUCUGAGUAGAUGGGGCACUAAAUGCCUCUGCCACCCAGACUGGGCUAUACAAGGGAGAAAUGGGGAAUCAUAACUGUCAUAUGGAUCAUUUGAGGGGGAAUCAGGAAAAGUCCCCAAGAACCCCUUUAAAGUCUCAGCUUUCCAGUAUCUCAGACUCAAGUGCUAUUUUGGCCAAAAUGUAUCCAGGUAAUGGCUACAGUUUUCUACAUAACUUUCCAUACUGGUCAUAAAGGACUUAGACCAUUCCCACCAAGGGCAUUGUGGGAGAAGGCUGUGCUAAAGGCUGAUUUGGAGUUGCUUUCAGGAGGGGAAACAGGUCCAAUGUCCCAAAGCUCAAGGUUCCAAUCACCGGAACAUAUGGAUGUCCAGGGAACAAUGGGACUUGCGGUCAAGGUGGUGGUCUGGGAAAUUUGAGUGCUGGAUACACCAGAGAAUCUUAGAAACUUAUGACUUCGUACUUGGGAAGCUGCCAGUGUUUCUGGAAAUGGCUGUGCUUUGGGGUGAGAGCAGCUGAGGAAAUAAAAGCGUUAGGUCCAGGACCAACAGCCUGACACAAAAUCACCAAGCCAAUACUGUGAGUAAGGGGUUGGCCAACCCCAAGGCCAAGUGUAUCUUUGAUGGAAAACGAAUUCUCAAGGAGGAAGCCUAUAAUUGGAUGAAGUCCCUUGUCUCCCUAGCUUGUGGAAACAGCCAGACUUUCCCCCCUUGUUUUCCACAUGGAAUGUGAGUUCUCUAAGAUCUGGCCUGGGCCACAUGGGCUUCAGCAUUUCCUCAUGGUGAUGCCUUCCUCGGACAGCCCCAUCUCGGGUGGAGGGGAAAAUGUUUCUGCUGUGGCAUCUGGGGAAGCACUUGUUACAAUCAAGGUGCUCAACCAAGGUUUGUGAGAAGGAUGCAUUCAUGAUGUUCGCCUCUGAACCAUUAGGGUUAAGUGACACUUGGCACCUCCUAUGUGUUCUUUCUGACUUCGUUCCUCACACCUGGUGGCCCAGGGGGAGCUGGGAGCCUGCCUUUCAUGCCAGAGUCUUAGUAAUGCUUUGCUCCUCUUAUCUUCCAAUAAACUUGAUGAACACGUUCAUUCUAGAACGUUAGAGAUUUAACGUUUCGCACGCACACUGAGUGGCCCGCACUGACAGUUGAGAGCUAAACCAGCCGGGUACGGAUCAGGAUUGAGGCCACGGCCAAUUCACUUCGCCUCUCCGAGCUUUCGCUCUCUUAUCUGAAAAACAGGGAUGCCGAUCAUUUUUAUAGCUACUUCCCAGCGUCUGCAGAGUUCAACGAGAUGAAGAAAAUGCUCUUGGCAGUAGGCACGCGGCAGCCGCACCCGUGCUGGAUUCGCCGACAAGAGUCGGAAACGUACAGGCAUGGUUUUCUCUUUUGCCUUUCAAGUACAUAACCUUUAUGUCAGUUGGCUGGCGCUGGAGAAGAGGCAGCAUAGGGGAGAUUGGGAUUUGUCACGGGAAAGCCCUCCACCAUCCGUUUUAGUGACGUCGCUUCAAAACAGGGAGCUGAUUGGACAGCUUUCAUAAAUACAGGGGUAGAGCUUUGAUUUUAAGCUGCGACGAGAACGAACACCAACGACACAGCCAAGCGCAGCGGGGAACUGGAGGGGAGCAGUGGUAGGGCCAUCUUCCGCUGGUUGCAAGCAAGACGGGGUGCAUUAUCUGAAGGGACUUUAAGACUGAGAAUAAAAUAAAGCCAAAAGUGAGUCCACUUUUUAUGGUCGCCAUAUAGGAGCAGUUGUAUUUUAUUUUGAAAGUUUAUUUAUUUUGAGAAAGAGAGAGUGUGAGAGAGCACAAGUCGGGGAGGGGAGAGAGAGAGAGAGGGAAAAAGAGAGAGAGAGAAUCCCAAGCAGGCUCCGCGCUGUCAGCACAGAGCCCAACCCAGGGCUUGAUCUCAUGAACUGUGAGAUCAUGACCUGAGCCGAAAUCAAGAGUCAGACACAUAACUGACUGGGCCACCCAGGCACCGUGUGGGCAAUUUCAGACAGUAUCUGAUAAAAUAUCCCUCCCCGCAAAAAUAGUGUUGCUAUUCUAAGUUCUCAACAGUUGGCACAAUGGCUGUUGAGUUUUAAUAAAAUAUAUAUAGACUUUUUGGCAUAUUUUUAUUACCUAUCCUUUCCUAAACAUUGUAUUCUCUGUGAAAGGUCACUUGGAGAACUCCCAGUAGGCAGUUGCCCCCCCCCCCCCCCCCCCACCCACUGAACACAUGCUUACCCAGCCACACGGUUUAUUUCGGGAGUACAUUCAUCAUAAUGGUCUGGAAGUAUCCAAGCUCACUUAGGGUGCUAUCCCUGUCUCCAACAGCCCCCUACCGAGGUGUGACAUAUUCCUCUUUUUAAAAAUAGUAUAUCAAUUUAGUGGAAUAUGAUCAACAAGAAUAAGGCAGAUCUAUAUAUAACGAUACAAAAAUAACCUCCAAUAUACAGCGUUCAGUGAAAUAAGCACUAUACAGAACACUGAAAAAUAUUUGAAAAAGUGACAUGUAUGUACGUAUGUAUGUUUUAUACAUGAAUAGAAUCUCUCAAAGGACAAAUAAGAAAUGCUAGAUUCAGAAAGAACGGUAGGGGCCUCUGGGUGGCUCGAUUGGUUAAGCUCCUGACUCUUGAUCUCAGCUCAGGUCUUGAUCUCAGUGUCCUGAGUUCAAGCCCCAUGUUGGGCUCCAUGCUGGGCAUGGAAUCUACUCCCAGUGUGGAGCGUACCUAAAACAAAACAAAACAAAACAAAACAAAACAACAACAACAAAACAAGAUGAAUGGUAGUACAGUGAUCUUAAAGACAAAGACACGUACUUGAGCUACCUCAAUUCUGUCAUCCGCGUGACUGCUUGGCGAUUUCGUGUAUGUUAAGAAUUUAGCCCAGCCGAGGCCGAGGGUGAAUGGGAAGGUGUAACAUUUUUAGUUGGUAGUGCAAAUAUCAGUUCAUACAUGAAAUGUUUUACGGAGUCCAAGCGCUGUUUUUCACACUGGCAUUCAUUUCUCUUUCUCAAUUGUUAAUGGUUCAUUUUAAAGCUAACGAACUCAUCAAGAGGGUAAUGGCUAUUACCGAUUAUUGUGUGAUUCUUAGAUGAAUAACUUGGCCGCAUAGAGAGGGGAGUUUUAAAAACUGAUUUGCUCUGGGUGUCUGAUCCACUGCAUGCCUGACUUUUAAUCAGGACAUAAAAAUGCUUUUCAGGCAUUAUUUUUGUCUUAUCCUCUCAAGAUUUGCUCAGAAGCGCAAUUUAAUCAACACUUGUAAUCGGUCACCUUUGGGGCCACUCCGGAGGCUUGCUAUGAAUUUAGGAGCACCUACUUUCUUAAUCCUAUUGAUCUGCAAACCAUUUUCCUUCCUUACAACACGCUUCCUACUUACUGGUACUGUGAUUGCUCUAAAAAUUCCUUUUACUCUAGAGAUGAAAGGCUAAACAUACAGGGGCUCUCCAGGCAGUGUCUCAGGAUGGCACAGCCACCAACAAGGGCGCCCCCGUUCUUUCGGUCGAGGGAGAAUUGGCAGAGCUCAGCAGAGAAUCUGAGAAUGUGCAGGAGCUCAUUUGGGCUGGGCAAGAGGAGGCCCGGAAUAAAGCCUCUCACGGCCUCUCUUAUGCUUUUCUACCAUGGAUCCUGUUUUCCUACAAAGGACAGGGCUGUGCUUGGCCAUGCACUUGCCCAAGAAGGCGGUGCCUCCUCACAUAAUUCCUGGUGGGUCCUUCCUAAUCCCCUCCCCUGGUGAGCCUUGCAUCCUAGAAUUACAAAGGACCUCUCUCCAUUGGCUUUUUGGGACUUCAUGAUGGACUGAGGCAUGAGCCAAAUGGGUUUCGGCUGUGCCAAUACAGUGCAACUCCCCCCCUCCCCCCGCCGUGCUGGCCUUCUUCGGGGGUCAGGAAGGAGCAUGUGCAACCAAAGAUCCCCAGCUGAUCACUUUCUGCUUUGAGCGACAGCCUCCCAUCUACCCCGGGGUGGGGGGGCCCACACAAAUACGAUUUCGUAUGUGUGCCCUUUUGUGCAAAAUCUUGGGAAGCACGGCUUUGGGGGCAAAGACAGUGCCAUUCUUGGCCGUUUGGGAGAAAUGGAUCUGUUUUGUGCAGAUAAGAAAACGGUGGUUUGGCGUGUUUCGUUGCCUGGUGAAAUUACCCGGUGGUUCUGUCACUUCCAGAUCGAUCUGAGUGUGAGCCAUCGGCAACCCGUGCACAGCGUGUGGCCGGCUGAAAAUGCAUCGUCUCUCGACGUGAAGCUCAGCUAUUUUUCUCCAGCUUGGGUUGUUGUGUUGUUUUCUGCUUCCACCUACAGCCUCUUCACGUCCUCUCGGGGACGUGCUCGGUGACAUAGCACAGCUGCACACGCGGCCGUUCUUUUUCUUCCCGAAAUGAGGGGAAGGCUCUGUGGCUCCAGUGCCCUGUGAUGCAGGCCGUCCAAGAGAUGUCACAGUACGACGGUCGGGACCCCUGUUUCUGCGGAGAUGGCACCACCCGUGCCUGAGGGUGAUGGUGACAGCUUACAGUAGGUGUCCGAUUGUGACACAUGAGUAAAAUGGAAGUCACAAUUCCUUUCGGGGGGAUUUACAAGCUGUCGAUUGAACCAUCCGGGAUUCAUUCACAUUCUGCUGAGGUUUCGUGUUCUCUUCCUACAGGUAAUGAAUGAGGUGCGGGCAGCAUAGAGGUCUCGAAGCCAGAGCACAAUCCGUGGUCGGUAAAGUGCAUUCGGUCAACAAAUAUUUACGGGAGAUCUCUGUGUCGGGCACUGAGCCGUGUGCUGGGGUGCUUUACUCGGCAAGAUGGUGAGAAAAGUUAUCGUAAAGGCCCAAAGAAAUUCCUAUGAACAAAAGCUGGAGGUGUUUUGAAGUUACUUGAAGGUGGUUAUUUGAAGGAGAACGUAUAAGGCGUACCUGGGUGGCUCAGUCGGUUAAGCGUCUGACUUCAGCUCAGGUCAUGAUCUCAUGGUUUGUGGGUUUGAGCCUCGAGUCAGGCUCUGUGCUGACAGCUCAGGGCCUGGAGCCUGCUUCACAUUGUGUCUCCCUCUCUCUCUGCCCCUCCCCUGAUCACGCUCUGUCUCUCUCUCUCUCAAAAAUGAAUGAACAUUGGGGCGCCUGGGUGGCUCAGUCGGUUGAGCGUCCGACUUCAGCUCAGGUCACGAUCUCGGGGUCCGUGAGUUCGAGCCCCGCGUUGGUCUCUGGGCUGAUGGCCCAGAGCCUGGAGCCUGCUUCCGAUUCUGUGUCUCCCUCUCUCUCUGCCCCUCCCCCAUUCAUGCUCUGUCUCUCUCUGUCUCAAAAAUAAAUGUUAAAAAAAAUUUAAAAAAAAAAUGAAUAAACAUUAAAAUUUUUUUUUUUUAAAUAAAGGAAAAUGUAUAAUGGCGUCUGUCUUCCGUGUUUGUAAAUGCGUGUGGCCGAAUCCUCUCCAGACUUGUGGGCUUGACUCUGGGCGUUAGCAGACUUCCGGACAGGUACAAUUGGGGACCAUCGUGUGUCCCAGUAUUUAGGAAUAUAAAUCAGCCUACCAAUGGUUAAAUAAAGUAUGCUCUGUCUUCUUACCUUUUUUUUUUUUUAAUGUUUAUUUAUUUUUGAGAGAGAGAGAGUGCACACUCGCGUGAGCAGGGGAGGGGCUGGGGGAGGGUAUAGAGGAUUCAAAGUAGGCUCUGUGCUGACAGUGUGCAACCGGCUUGGGAUUCUCUCUCUCCCCCUCUCUGCCCCUUACCUGCGCUCUCUCUCUCUCUCUCUCAAAAUAAAUAUAAAUAAACUUAAAAAAAAAAAACCCACACAUUCAUAAGGACAACUGAAAAACGUGUAAAGCUGUGAUUUGUACAUGACCAAAGUUUGGCAGCUGUCCCAAAGCGGCUGCAUUAACUAUUACUGCACAUGCUUAAACGUUCCUUUGUUCUGUUUGAAUGACUAACAAAAUGAAGGCGCAUAAUUUGUAAUUAUUUCAUGUUUAUUUCCUUAAAUUUUUGUCUUCAGCUCAGCGUGGUCACGAAUUCUGUCCUUGUGGCAAAUGUGCUCACAUAAGUUUGUUCUGUCGACGGCAGUGAGCUCAAGGAUUUAAAAAAUGUAAGUGUAUUUAAAAUAUGCAACACGUGGGUGUGUUUCAUAAAAAGUGUGAAGUACAUGUAAAAAUAUCAAAAUUAAUUUUUCAUAUGUAUUUUCAAAGAAAGUUACUUUUUCCUAUAAAAUAUAAAAAUUAAAACGGGAAAGGGAAAAAUACAGAUUAUAAUUAAUAAAUGUGGAAAAUGGUACGACAAAAUUAUUUAAAGAAAACUGAAUUUUAAGUUUAAUUUUCUAAAAACUGAAAUCUGAUUAAAUAUUCAUGCCGAUCAUGCUUCGUAUUGCUAGCUUCCGACUCUCACCCAGUGGCUAACAGAAGGGAUCCGUAUCAUGCAUCACACAUGGACUGUUUAGACCCACACAGACAUGGGGUUAAGGGGUGGCGCAUCAUCACGUUUCUCAGCCGCCAUGUUGGUGCAAAUAUCAUGGUAAUUCCCCAGUAGCUACAGGACCAGGAGUUGAAGCCAGGAAAUGGAUGAGUAGUUCUCCUGGAAAGUAGAGGGUCGGAGGGGAAAGAGCUGACCGGUUAAUUUGCUUGUGUUUUCUCUCCCCUGCAUGCGUCUGCCGGUCAAAUCCUCCCUGCGCUCCGGAAUACCAUCUUGCCUUGUAUCUGCAGCCACAGUACGACCCACAGACCUUCAUGUCUUGCAGGCGGUGAGUUUUUCUUUUUUCCCAAGGACAUAGGACACAAGAUACGGAGAAGCCAUGGAGAAGCUGUUGCCUGGGGCCCGAGCUGUGUUGGGCACAGGAGUGGACAUUAGGGUGAUGAGUGAGGCUUUGCCAGCCCUGAACACUGGAUCCCCAGUGGCUGGGGGCGCCGUGUGAACAUUAGCAACAUUUUUGUUCUUGUGAGUGUGGGGCUGUCUAAGCCUCGGGUCUCAGGACAAGAUCUUAACCCCCUCAGUCUACCGGGAGUGUUGACAGCACUCAAACACAGCAAGAUCCCAGAAAGGGUUUCCUACUUGGCUGGUGGCUCUUCUUACCCUCUGGUGGCUCUGCCCUGCUCACUUCUGGGGGGUGGGAGGUCCUGGACAGGGCACUUUCUGGAGGCCUGGCCUGCUUCAUGGCUCAUUUCCAUCCUGGUUGCUUCCUGGAGCAGUGCGGCAUUAGAGUUGAAGUCAAGGUUGUACAGUCGGCCGGGAAUAAAAGUAUCCUUUGUGGUUUGCAUGAAGUUGCAUGAUGGGUAGGCCUUGGACAGAGGCACGCUUUCUUUCUGGGAUGCUUCUGCCCUGCUAUCGCAAGGCUGGGCUGCACCCCGCGGGCUUCCUGAUUGCAACAGGGCAUCUGCUCUCACCCCACGUUAGACCCUCAUCCCCAGGUUAGCCUAGCCAGUAGUGGGAAGGGGGGUGCUCUGUGCCGAUUCCCGACGGUGCUUCUGUGGUGGAAUUCACAGGUGUGGUUACGGUUCUGUGUUGUCAUCUCUCUAGUUGUUGGUUGCAAAGCUGAGCCGGAAUAUUCUGUGUGCAAGCAAAAAAUAAAUAUUGUAUUUCAAUAUUAUGUUCCACUGAAAUACAGGGAGAUAAUCGCGGGACUCCAGUCAGGGCUGUUGGUAUUUAUCAGGUGCUUUACUGUAGCCGUAGGUCCGGCAGGGCAGACAGGCUGGACACGAAGGGUUAACCAGCCAGCUGGGCACUACAGUGAGAAGGUGACAGGCCAGGCAUUUUUAAACCAUUAGGGCCUCUCUUCACGCUCAGAAACCCGCUCCGUGGGUCUUCAUCCAGACUGUGUCUGAGGCACGGCUGACCUGGCUUUCACCUUCUGUGCCCUUAACCUGGCUUCCCAUUUACUGUAACUUCAUUCCCCCCAGAUCCUGAGCUCUAUCCACCCGAUAACUUCACCUGGACUCCGGAUUCCUUCUCCUGGCUGAUGAUGGUUGUCCUGGGAGCUUCCCUGCCUCCCUCAAUCCCCAAGAAUACAAAGCAAAAGAUAUGGAGAAGGGGUUUGAAAUUCUCGUUCCUGAGGGUCUGACAGGUUGAGACAGACAUUCCCACCUAGAGAGAGGGCAUAUGGGCAAAGUUAAAAAAAAAAAAAAAAAAAGGUGAAUGCAGGGGCACCUGGGAGACUCAGUCAGUUGAGCGUCCAACUCUUGGUUUCAGUUCAGGUCAUGAUCCCAGGGUUGUGGGAUUGAGCCCUGUGUCGGCCUCUGCACCGACAGCAUGGAGUCUGUUUGAGAUUCUUUCUCUCUCUGCUCCUUUCCCGCUCUUUCUCUUUCUUUAUCUCUCUCUCUCUCUCUCUCUGUCUCUAAAGUAAAAAAAAAGAAAAGAAAAGAAAGAAAUAACGAAGGCGGGAGUAGAUGGCAAGGCCCACACAACAUUUCUGGUGGGUGUCCGUGUAACAGAGGCUUACCAGGGAGAGCCAUGAUGCUCUCAGGUCAGGAUGCCACGACCAGCCUUGCCGGGCCCUGCUGGCCCCAGUCCCUCCGAUCACCUGGCAGCCUCACACUUUGAGAAGGUCCCAAGGCUCUCACGAUGAAAACGCGUGACCGUAACAACUCCUGCGAUUCAUGUGUCUCCUCCGUAAACUGAGCUCUGUGCCUGGUGACAUUAGGUGCGUCUAACGCCACACUGAGAAUAGAUUAAGUCGAACGGUCGUGCGGUCCUUUGCAAGGAUACCCCGUUUCUGUGGUGUCGCAGAUGUUUUGGUUGGGUCUCAUUUUUAAGCGGCCUUAGCCAAAAACAUCUUCUUGUAGAACAGCCGACUCACUUCAGUAUUUCACUUUGGACAGUUGCUUGACUUCGUUUAGCACCCCAUGCCGGAGCCCGGUCUCCCCAGGCCCCGCACGCUUCCCUUCCGUUAGCGUCAGCGGGAGCCUCGGCAGACAGAUUGAGGCCAAGGGAAGGUGGACCCCGACGGCUGCACUGUGGGGGCAGCGAGCCUCGCAGAGCAGAAAGCUGGCGCACGGGGAGAGUCGUCAAUGAUGCCUUGCGAGCCAUAUGCCGCCUUAGAUUGUAUUUACAUUGAGACAUACAACAGCUUGUUAUCAAACAAGGCAAGACACAAUACUCAGCGGUAGGAGACCGCAGCCACAGUGAGCCUCAGAGUCUGCUCCCCCCACCUGCUGUUGCCUGGGCGUUUAAGCUGGCAGAAAUCCUGAUCAGGUCAGUGUAGGGAAAUGUGACAAUGUCUGUGUUGGGCGCCGAUGGACAGACGUAGGGAGGCUCUCCCUACACUCUGAAGCACGGAGGUAUUUGCAUUUCUGCUGCCUGGCUCGAUGAUUCCUCCAGGAGCUGGUUGAUGUCCUCAGGCCUACCCCGGUGUACCCUCAAGGGCUUUUCUGGUUAAGGGCCUUCCAAAGACGCAGUCCUGGAGGGGGGCCGCCUCGAGACCCAUCUGUGAAAAUACGCGGCUGAGACAGUGCAGCGGAAGCUGACUUGGAGCCCAGGGGGUGUCUGUGCAGGGCCUGGCCGGCUCCUUUCGGGGGGUCGGGUGGGGGGUGGGCCGCCACCCAGUGGGAACCUGACAACACAAUGCACAGUUGUGUUGGCGGUUGGGGCGCAGGCGUGGUUCUGCAUUGUUGCUCAGCCUGGAUCAGUGUUCUGUGACUGUGGGGGGCUCUCUCCUGUUACAAGUUGUGCAGAGCUGAGGUCCCAGCUCAGAUUCCACCGAGGCCCAGGGGAGACAGAGGAAAGCCCCCUCUCUCGGCUGGAAGGCAGACAGGGAGAGGACAUAAAGAGGGAGUCCCUUUGCCUGUGGCCUGGCCUCACCGACCUGCAAUCCACACGGAUUCGGUGAGAGCUCCCAUCUCACUAAACUCCCACUGGCGGGACGGUGUCGGGAUGUUCUCGCAUGUUAGGGGAGAACCUUUUGGGGGAGAAGGUGACGUUGGAAAUUCAGGCUAGAGACUCCAUAGAGAGCUUUUCUGGAAUUCCUUAGUGGGCGGAGCCUCACGUUUAGGCUGGUUAUCCCUGGGAACCAAAGAACCUGGCCGAAGUCUGAUGAGUUUAAUGCAGUUAUCUAAUGAACGAGCCAGACUCCAGGGAUUUUUAGGACCCACUUUGCACCUGAGAUCCUGCGUGUCAGUCAGGGGGUGAGUGCAAGCUCUGUCUCCUUGGACACCUGAGUUUAAGUCCCAUCUGCCAGUUUUUUCACUUGCUGUGCGGCCUGGGGCAAGUCACUUAACCUCUCUGCACCUCCGUCUCCUUAGCCCUAAAACGGACAGUUGGUACGAGAAGUCGUCUGGUUCACAGUAGAUGCUCAGUAAAUGGUGGUUGUGCUCCCUCCCUCUCCUUCUCUGAGUUGGCAAAGGCACAUGGGCAACACGGUCCCUUCUUCUCUCAAGUGCACUCAACCACGGACCCAAGCGUCCUUCCCAUCCCAGCAGGAGAGGAUCUUCAGAGAUAGUGUAAUUCAGACGGAAGGCACCGUGUCUCUCCAAGGAUAGGUGUUCUCUGUCUACUGGGCCAGCUGAGAGUCCACGUCCUCUGUUGGUGCCCGUGACCCUCACACCCUCCACGGGGGGCUGACUCGUUUGCAGGUGGCCGAGCUGGGUGGUCUCUAGGCUUACCCGGCACACGGCUUUGUCAGGUGCCCAUCAUCACGCCCGACGCCCCUGCUUGGCAUGUAACUUCCUCCCGCCCCCGCCCCCCUCCGGUGCCUGCCCCCGGUUCACCAGACGGGCAGUGAAAGAAGGUGGAGAGAAAGAGAGUUUCCAGUCUCCCUGACCUCGGUUAAAAUCUCCACUCUGCUGGUGGUUAGCCGUGCAACGUUAGGCAUGUCCCUGAACUCCCGAGUCCCAGAAUCCUAGUCUGCAAAGCAGGAUAUUAAUUCCUUCUUGGCAGGAGUGUUGUAAAUAUCAAAGGCAGCGAAGUAUCUGGCACACGGGAGGCAUUUGAUAAUAAUAUCCUUGUUAUUCAGAGCAACGUUCUCAUGCCCUUAAAUCAUUCUCUUUAAAUAAUGAGAACAGCGGUUCCCAAAGUGUGGCUCCUGGGACAGCGGCCUCAGCAGCUCCUCUGGGGCUUAGGAGAUGUGGAUCCGGGGCCCCACCCAGGACUUCUGAUUCAGAAGCCCUGGGGGCAGCCUCCACAAUCUGUUUUCACACAGCCCUCCAGGGGAUUCCGAAUGCACCACGGAGCUGGAGAACCUCUGAAUUGGAAAUAUUUUUCAAAACCUCACCGCCCAAGGUCAAUUCUUUUGCUUGUUCCCGGAUGUGAUUUGGGAGGGUUUCCAAACUCAAGGGCCACGGAGGCUGGUGCAGAUACCUGUGGCCUGGGGCUGCGUAAACGGCCUGCCUAAAUGCAAGAGAAGGCUCCAGAACCCUUGAGCUGGGCCUCCUCCCGCUCCGACAAGGGCCUUUGAUCAGUGUUCCCGACCUGGCUUACUACCACCCCCUCCCGCGACCAGGAGGGCCGUUCUCUCUUCCCUGGGAGCAGAAGGGUGCAAUGCAGACCCCGUGCUGAGCUGUGCUCCAGCCCAUGCGAAGGUACUUCCUCCUUACAGGGCAAAGGCUGGCCAGGGCCUUGCGGACAGCUACACCCGUGAUUGCCCAGGUAUGCGGUGGCAAGGUACUUCUUGAAGGGACGCUGCCAACGUGGCCAGACCAGCGCUUUGCCUGAGCCCAGACGGUGUUAUUAGUACCGUAUGGCGGCUCUAAUUUUAGGGGAAGCCUGAUGCCUUGGUGUUGUCGUAUUCUGUCAAGCAGUCUUCCAAAGGAUGUGCUCAUUUCUUUCAUGUGGUUUCUUCGCCCGCUCACCGAAUUAUUGAAUGGGGCCACAUCCAAGCAACUAACGCAAAUAGCCCUUGACUCCGUUCCAUGACCCGCCAUGGUUCCUGGGGGCCUCCGAGGUGCCGGGGACUGCGCAAGGGGCCACGAAGCGUUUGGCGUCCGGGACGGCUUCGGUUCUGAGAACAGAGCGUUGCCAACAGCUGCGCGAGUCCUUCAAGGCCCCGGAUCUUCGGUGUCAUGAAUGGACGCGGCCCCAGCGUGAGCGCUCCACGUUUCACUUCUCUUUGCAGACGUGGUGUGGCCUUGCGGUGAGGUGGAUCCGGGUUCGAAACUGGCCCUGCCACUCACUAGCUGUGUGACCUGGGGAAAGUUACUUAGCAUCUCUGAGCCUCAGUGCCCUCAUCUCUCCAGUCGGUCAGAACCCUUGCAGGGCUGUUGGGGAUAGGCAAGAGAUCUCUAGGAAGGUGCCUUGGAAAAGGUGAUCCAUCUCAUCCUAUGGCAACGUGACUUGGAAGGCACUGUUUCAAAAUCUGAGCGGAAGGAAGAAAGAAGGCUUGUGGAAGUAGAAAGCAGAGGUCCUUCCAGGAAUGUCUGGCCUUCCUGUUUCGUUGUCCUUCACCACGUGCCCCUCUGGUGAGUCCCCUAGGGUGCUCCUUCUGGACACCGGCUGAGGGACGUGUGCCCAGAACCGGGCCCUUGAGCCGUGGUCCAGCCUGUCAGCCGACCCAUGGGGCUGACUCAGGACGCUGGCGCGCUUGGCUGCCUGUUUUCCUCUUCGAGACAUUUGUCUGGAACCACUUGACUGGCUAGCGGAGCAGAGGGUUCGAAGAACUGGUUCUUGACUUUUCACCGCGACCUCAUAGUCAGGUCGCCUGAGCCCUGUGGGGAGGACAGAGCUCUCCAGAGGAAAGGACAGGUGAGACAAUGUCUAGAGAGUUCUACGCAGGAGGAAGGUGCCGGAACAGAGCUGCGCUGCGGGGGCUGGGGGCUCCCACACAGGACUGGCCUGGGGCGGGGGGCGCUGGGUUAUCCCCUGGGGUGCUCAGCGAAUCAGGUGUUUUGAAUGCAGAGUUAGUAAUCAGUAAACUCAUCCAGACAGGCUGGUUUUAACUAGGAAGCAAAACAGGAGCAAACACAUGUAAAACCUUUUGGAUUCUUUUCAGCAUGCGGACAGUUUUUAAAACUUUCGUGGACGCUUUCUGUGCAUGAUUUUUAUUGUGGUAAAAUACACUUAACAUCAGAUGUACCAUUUGAACCAUUUUUUAAAAAGCUUUUUUUUUUAACAUUUAUUUUUGAGAGACAGAGAGCAAGCGGGGGAGGGGCAGACAGGGAGGGAGACACAGAAUCCGCAGCAGGCUCCAGGCUCCGAGCUGUCAGCACAGAGCCCGACGCGGGGCUCGAAUUCACGGAUCACGAGAUCACGACCGGAGCCGAAGUCGGUGGCGUAACCGACUGAGCCACCCAGGUGCCCCGAACUCUGUCUUCUUAACAUAGGAACUCUGAUCCCUCAGACGCAGGCACAAAACAAAGGCUUGAACGUUCGUGGAAAUGUUUUGCCCCCCUCGGAACAACCGUGGAUGCCUUUUGCUUUGCUCUUGCUGAAAAGAGCAGUAUAUGCUGUUUAUAAAAGAACACUUGCGAAGAAGAAAGACUUGGAACGGACCACCGUCUUCCUGAGUUGUUGACAGCUGUUAUUCAGUGGAAAUCUCAGUGGAAACAAAGAAAUAUCGAAGCAUUGUUUCAACGUGAACAUUUGAAGUGGCUUCCUUCCAAAGCUUGGCUGGUUUAGGUACCUGGGAUCUGCGGCCAAAGCCUCCCGCACCGUCUUGAUUUCUCCCCUAUAGCUAUUGUUGACGCAGCUGUGGAAAAGUCUGGUGUGCAUCCUGAAUCUGCGCUCGCCUCCACUGGCGGGGAGUCACAGCUUUCUAGGCUAUGUCACCAUCUCUUCCACGAUCGUUGGCCGCUCUGUGUGCAGGCGUUCGGGGUCUUGAGGAAAAGCCAGCUUUUCCAUUGUUGGGAAGGUUGGCAAGGCUUUCUCAGAAUCCCAGGGGGCGUGGUGGCCAACGUGGAUUUCGGUGGAAAACCCCCGCAGUAGGAAGGUAGGAGGAAUCUGGGGCAUCUAAGAGAAGCUGACGGACCCCUCCCCGUCCCCCCACCCAGCCCUGCAUAUCAUUGGUUUUCUUUUCUUUUUAAAUAUGUGACGGGGGCACCUGGGUGGCUCAGUCGGUUGAGCGUCUGACUUCGGCUCAGGUCACGAUCUCAUAGUUCAUGAGUUCAAGCCCCACGUCGGGCUCUGUGCUGACAGCUCAGAGCCUGGAGCCCGCUUCGGAUUCUGUGUCCCCCUCUCUCUGUGCCCCUCCCCUGCUCAUGCUCUCCCUGCCUCUCAAGAAUAAAUAAAUAAAAAUAAAAGUUGUGGCGUGCGACUUGGGCUCUUUGAGCCCUGGGCACCAUGUCACGGACCUGCUCACCUAGCCUGGAUGCUGACUCACCGUGUGCCCUGCUGAGUCAUUUCAUGUUUGGUUUUGUAUUGUUUUUCCCACCAAUAAAAUGGGGAUCAGAACAGCCAUCCCGGUUUUAAGACUCAGAGGAGAAAACAUAUGUGAAAGUGAUUGGAAAGUCAUAAAGCGCUUUCCAGGCGAGGUGUGGCGGGCCUUUCGGGGAGUGGGGUGUGGGUUGGGGGUGCCGAGCCCCUCGGCCCUCUGGCUGUACGUGCCUCCCGCAGGUGUUCUCAUUGCCCAAGCCGGCCAGGACGAAUGACACCACGAGCGGGGAAGCGCUGUGAGGGAGGGCGGGCGGGCGACGAGGGCCCCACGGCAUUAACUGAGAGGACUCAACACGCAUCCUGGGCGAAGGGCUCCCGUAAUAUUGUCACUGCAGUCAUCCACUUCAAAUGCCGCUUCCUCCAGGAUGUCCCCUCUCUUCGGUCCAUGGAGGCAGCCUCCCAGGGGCAAGGACAUCAUUGUGUUAGAUGUUACCUCUCGGCUUCCUGAUUUGUUGCCGUCGUCGGGUGUGUAAUCUUUGCAAGUCCUUUUCACCUGGGCUUUAUCACGAAACUCCUUGAUCACAGUCGCGUGCUCAAACCCAGCAACCUUGGGGCUGAGUUCUUUGAGCCCAUGUUUACUUACGUCACCACACUGAGCCAUGGGUGUAUAGCAUUGGGACAAGGACAUUUGACCAAGUGGUUUGGAUGUGGAAUCUGGGGUGGGUGAGCGGCAUGUAAUUCUGUGUUUAAGUAAGCAUGUUUACACAGAGACUUUUGUCCUGUAGAUACUGGUUUCAUGACAUACCUGAGGGUCACUGUGCAGAAGCAUCGGGCCAGCCUGGAGUGAUCUCGUCUCAGAAGGCACGAGGCUGGGGCCUAGGAGUCCUGGGUACCCAGGGGAGAGGGGCCGCCGUCUGGGUAAGGGUGGGCUGGCCUGGGCUGUGGGUCCCUCUCCUGGGCAAGGGAAGGCCAUGGCGCAAGGAAAGUUCUGAAACACCAAGAGGAGGCUUGGGGCUGACUGUGGACCUAAGGAAGAUAUGGGAAAGAGCUUGGCAACUGGCCGAGAGGGUUCUGGAGGCAUUAGCUGGGGCCACUGUGUGUGUGUGUGUGUGUGUGUGUGAUUGGGGUGGGUAGGGGCAGGGAGGGAGGAAGGGAGCCUUGUACUCAGAACAGUAGCAGGACCCACAGUCCCCAGGAGACGGUUGGGAGAGAACCAGUUUGGGCAGAUGUCAGCCGGAGUGUGAGGAUGUGGUUAUAGGGUCCUUGAAACCUGUGGAGCUCACUCCCCCUUCUGAUGCUCAGGCCCCCCCUUUAAAAUGGCCCAAAUGAAUAGUCAGAGACCCCGUGUCUGGUACUCCUAGGGACAGGAUAGCCCUAUUGGAUCCAUUCUUUGUUUUUCCACUGGGUUCUGUUCGAGGCACAACUUACGCACAAUAAAACAUGCACAUACGCACAGCUCCGUAAACGCACAGCUCAGUAAACAGUCCUGUUCGCAUCCACCCACAGAACCACCUCCCAGAUCAAGAUGGAGAGUAUUUUCACCAGGCCAGCCAGCUUCUUCAUACUCCUUUCCCGGAAGCAACCCCACUACCCACCCGAGGGCCAUUACUUCUCUGCCUCUGAUCACCUUAGAUUAGUUUCGCCUGUUUUUGAAAUCUGCGUAACUGGGAUCAUUUGUCACCUCGUUUGUGCCCAGCUGGUGUAUCCCAGCCCCUCACUUCGUUGAGCCUCCUCUGGGGUGCACGCCUCUGCUCCACCCCCAUCUCAACUCCCUUCCCAGGGAGUCUGUUUCCUGGCACCCCCCCCCCCCCAGCCCUGCUCGUCAUCCCCCACCGCCCCCAGUCCUUGCUCACCUCCAUGGUGGAAGGUGUGCCAUUACCCCUGGGAGAGCUCAGUGUUGAUGCGCUGCUGAUGGCGACCCCCUGCUGAGCGGGGCUGCAAGGGCAGGGGGAGUCGGCUCUUCUCAGCUCCGUAAAGGGGAAGGCUGUGGCCUGUGGUUUGGAGAGGCAGGCUGGCGAUGAACUUGAACACGAGCUCUUUGACCUUGAGAAAGUCGUUCGACCUUUCUGGGCCUUAGUUUCCUCUUUCCCAAAAUGAAGGAGGCGUUAGAAGCUCUUUGAAGCUCCUUGUGGGGGGUGCCUGGGUGGCUCAGUCGGUUAAGCCUCUGACUCUUGGUUUCGGCUCAGGUCGUGAUCUCAUAGUUCAUGGGAUCAAGCCCCGUGUUGGGCUCUGUGCUGACAGUGCAGAGCCUGCUUGGGAUUCUCUCUCUCUAUCUCGUGCUCUCUCUCUCCCUCUCUCUCUCUCUCUCUCUCUCUCAAAAAUAAAUAAGUAAACCUAAAAAACAAUAAAGUUCCUUAGUCCGUGAUCCAAGAAUCCAGAGUGUGUGAUUCUGAAUCUUCCCUACAUGGGUUCGUCCACACAUCUUCUGUGGGUAUGUGGUUCCCAAGUGAAGCUUCAACGGAACACGCAUGCGUGUGUGUGUGUGUGUGUGUGCCCCAUCUUGCAGUUCAAUAUUCCUGCAGACCUAAUUCAUUUUAUACCCUGGGUUUGAAAAAAGCCAUCCCAACAGCAGGGAUUCUAGCCCGGUGGACGGCUGGCCUCCUUGUACUGAUUGAUGAGGGGCUUUUUUUUCUCCCAGCUGACCUCGGGGGCUUGCCCCUACCCUCAGGCAAAGGGCUAUGUGGUGGUCCUAUCUAUAGACGUUUCCAGAAAUGGAUGAAAGGACAGUUCUGUUCGGAGAGUAUUUUGAUGUCUUGGUUCAGCAGUCUUAGAAGGUCUUUAGGCUCCAAAAAAGAAUCUGUAUUUUGGGAUUCAGUUCAAAAUGGGGCUCUCGGGUUCCCCGGUGAGGCUGUCUAAGGGGGAUUCAACCAUCAGCGGCGGGCCAGCUCCUGGGCUGCCGGGCUCAGCUUCCCAUCUGUGAAAUGGGCGAACACUCCUUGUUUUAUCUUGCAGGAUUGUUGUCAGCAUCUGACACAAUAGCCCGGAGACAAUAGAUACACAGCCCAGGAAAAGGCAUCGUUCCAGUGAGUCUUAGCUGUAGGCCAGUACACCUUGGGUUUGGUCCAGGGUUCAGCUGGGUAGCAAACUGACUCUGGUUUUCGUGUCCUUGUUCGAUCAGAGCCCAGGGCCUUCAGAGGGUUCCUUCAGUUCUUCUCCCGACCUUUCUGCCUUUUCCUAUCUCUGCUCUUCUUCCCCUGUACACGUGAGCUUUUAUUGCUACCAGCUGGCUUGGGAUAUUUAGAAGCGUGGUGUAUUAUAGCCAGGUAAGGACUUAGAUUGCUUCCGUGAGAGCAGCCCAGAGAGGCUGAAUCGCCUGCCCCAGGCCCCUGGACCUCGGGCCUCUGAUUCGCCUUUGCAUUAGCUCUUUCAGUCUGUUGCCUCUGACCGCUCUAACUCGUUUAAGCGGGUUGGCUUUGUCUUCGGCUCUUUGAGGACCCGGGCUAAGCCUCACACAGGUACUCAAUGUUUAUCUUUGAUCAGAUUGGACAGUUAAUAAAUAUUUGUUUCAGUUAAUGGAAGUCUGAAGGAAUAGAUACAUCGUGCAGCGUGUUCUUGCCUGGGAAUUAUUUGUGACUACGCCUAGCCUUGGUCCCAAGGUAUGGAAACCUCUUAACACCCACCCCCUCUUUCCUGGCGGUGCCUUCUGCCCUUAUUUGUAGCUGAGAUGGUCACGGCCAAUGUGCAGUGGAGGCGAAGGAGUUAAUCUCUGUCCCUCAGUCUUCUUCCUUUGCCUCUUGCGCUCCGAACAUCCUUGAAACGUUACCUGCAAGUUACUGGAGCUUUAAAUCGAAAUGUCAACCCUCUCUCCGUUCCCACUUACUGCACCGGCCCUCGCAGGACACAAUGUGCUGCUUUAACAGGGGGUGACAUCCUUCCUAAUACGUCUUCUGUGGGUGACUUCUCCCGUGGGGCAUCUGCUGCACGGACAACGGGCUCGCGGAUAAUAAGCGCUCGGAUCUCACCCUUCCAUUAUGUCAUUUGGUUCCCAGCUUCUGAAACUCAGAACCGAGACAUAAGCCCAAUGUGAGGGGAGUUUUUCUGAGUUCAGCAUGACCUCCAGGUUCUGGGUGAACACACGGAGGCCCAGGGGCCUCAUGGCGCUGGGUCAUUGGCUGAAGCCGAAGCCAACAGCAUUUCUGUGGAGGAGGUAGGGCUGUGGGUGACAUCCUCUUUCUGGAAGACUGAAUUCUGGGGGACCCCUUUCUGUUUCCAGCGUGGGGUUGUGUCUGCACUGCUCAGCUGCUUCUGUGCGAGCUGAUCAGCUUAGCCUGACAGCUCCUGGCGUUGGACAGGAAGGUGGUGUUUUGGGACCCGCUUCCCAGCUCAGCCUGCAGCUGCACGGCACCAAAUGGCCAGGUUCGUUCAUAAUUUGAGCCCAGUUAACUCUGUCUUCAUAGAUCCGGGUUCGACAUGGUAGUGUUCGUUUGCUUAAAAUAGAGACACAAUCCCGAACCCGGAGGAAACCGACAAGGGCUAUUUCACAGCCUCCUUUAAAAGAUCUGGGGUUGCCCUUCAGAUAGCGAGGUAAUUUAUAAGCGUUCCCCCUAAACUUGUUUCCAGAAACAGUGGAGCGUUUUCAUGAUCACGGUUCAGAUGUGGCACUUUCCCCCACAGAGGAACGAUCUAACAACUUCUCUGGCUCUCUGAGGUCCCCUCCCUGGACUGGAAGGGGCCUCGUCUCCAGGAACAGUAAUAACAUCGAACAUUCCAGGUGAAGCUGGGGCUGUCCAUCUCCUCUGUGCUCCUGGACAUCCAAGAGGUCACAGACAGCAGGAAAGAGAAAGGAGCCCUAAGUUGAGUCGGGGUCCACCUACCCUGCCCCCGUCUAGGCUGCUGACCCUCAGCAGAGGGCUCCAUGCAUUCACUGGGGUGUGGCCUUGGGUCCCCAUGCCAUGGAGCUGGUGAGGGUGGUUGGUCAUAGCAGGGUCCACCGUCCUUCUUAUACCCCACUCAGCCUGUCCCUUUCAGGGGCCCCACAUCCCACAUCCUUGGGACAUGGCCCCAUAUCCAGAGAUGUCACUCUGGGAGAGUUCAGGAUGUUUAACCAGCCACCCCAGCCUCCCUCUGCUUCUCAGUAGGGCCUCACUUGGUCUCCUUCCAUCUCCUUCUGUUUACGACCAAUGGGAUCCUCUCGGGAUGCUUGCUGUUCCAUGUGUCUCAUUCGGUUUGGGCUUCUAAAACAAACUAUGGUAGACCGGGGAGGUUAAACGGCAGAGAUUUAUUUCUUACGGUUGGGGAGUCCAAGGUCAAGGCACCAGCAGGUUCAGUGUCUGGUGAGGACGGGCUUCCUGGUUCAUAGUUGGCCAACUUCUUGCUGUGUCCUCAUAUGGCAGAGAGAGAGGGAGCAAACUCUUGUGUCUCAGGGCACUAAUCCUAUGCGUGGGGGCCCCACCCUCAUGAUGUAAUCACCUUCCAAAGGCUGCAUCUCCUACCACCACCACACUGGGGAUUAGGGUUUCAAUAUAUGAACUUUGUUGGGAGCACAAACAUUCAGUAUAUAGGAAUAUACUCUCUACUUCAGAGAGGGUGAUGUGGGGCACAGAAUGGCCAGUAAUCAUUAGGGAUUGCCUCUAACAGAGGCUGUUUGCUCUGAGCCAUGGGAAGGUAGCCAAGGAUACCAAUUCGGUCAAGGGACAGCUAAAUACAAUCCCAACGGCAGUUGCCUGGCCCAUUGACUGUUUUUGAGGGCUGGCGUAAUGCUGGCCCAACCCUGGGUGGAUGGGCAUGCCCUUGGGGGUACCUAGUAGGUAUUCUUUAUUUAGACUUUUCUGUGACCAACCUCAGGUCAGGUGGGCAUCUGUACAUUCCUUCAUAUGUUCAAAAAACACUUACUAAAUAAUUGCAGUGUGCUAGGCUCUUGGGAAACAAGAUGGAAAAUAAAUGCGGUCCCAGCCUUCAUAUAACUGAGUCUUAAAGAGACUGUAGGUGAGGAAACAGGUGUAUUAGCUAGCUAUCACUGUGUAACAAAAAACCCUGCAAAACCAUUAGGAGCGUUUAAGAAUAAACAUCUAUUUUCAUAGAUUUGUGGGUUAACUGGGAUGGUUCAGUUUCAGGCUGUAGGUCUGUGAGCAUUGGUUGAGCUGAUUUUAUUCCAAGGUAGUCCAUCCCAGGUCCCAGGCUAAGGGGCCACAAUGACCUGGCACUAAAUUCUUCUAUCGAUAAUGACAGGGCUACGAAAGAGCAAGUGGAAACAUGCAAAACUCUCAAGACCCAGGCCUGGAGUUGGCACAAUGGCUCCUCUGUCCAUAUGCCCGUGGCCAACACAAAGCCACACCGCUAAGCCUGAAGCCAAGGGGCGGGGAAGAGCAUUCCCGAAUGGCGAGGCUACAUGUGUGGAAGGGAAGAAUGGGGCUGAUAAUGCAAUCCACCACACCAUGGGCAGCUCCCUUAGGCGCUGACCGCUGGGGGAGCAUGAAGGGGCCUGGGGGGCUGGCAGUGGUUGGGGUACUAAAACAGGGCGGUGGGGGAGGGGGCGGGGUGGGUGGGCACAGGUCAGUACAGCCGUGAACUGUGUUAGUUUUCUGGGCUGGAGAAAGCAGGUGUUCCAAACAGGGCCUGUGGAGGUGCUGGUUCCUGGCUUUGUGGCCUCUGUGUGCCCAUGGCUAUGCCAACUCCAGCAUCCGGAGAGUACAUGGGCAUGAGUUUGGCCACAUUCUCCGGGGCCUUGGUAUGCUGCACGGCGGGGGAGCACUGAGGCUCUGCUUGUCCUGUUCUUGCUCCCAGAAGGGCAGGCCCCUCUCUCUGGCCUAGGCCAGCCCACCGUCUGAUGUCUAAGCUCUGAGCAUAGCCCAGGACAUGGCAGGUGCACCCAGCCAUGCAUCCAGGGAGGCACUUCCCCCAAGCCCUUUGGCAGUGUUGGGCCCCUCUGAGUGUGGCGCUAGAGGCUUCCUUCCCUUCCCGCACGUCUCCCCUUUGGGCCCAUGGAGCCACGCACUCAGCAUUCUCCGGAACCCAGCCGCGUCUCUGCCAGCCUCCUGGCUCGGGCCCCCCUCCUCUUUGCCCUGACUAUUCUGAGAGCCUCCCAAUCGGUCCCUCUGCUCCCACCCUUGUCCCCCCUCUGUUUCUUCUUGACACAGCACCCAUCCCAACCCGUAGCUCGGGGCACGUCACUCCCUACUUCACCCCUUCUGCGGCUUCCCAUUGCGCCGAGGGGAGAAACCUCCACCUUUUAGGGUGGCCUCUGGGAAGUCGAGGCUCUUGGAAAACGACACUCGGGCAUUAUUUGCCUCUUUCCCUGGUGCUGUCUCACGGGUGUGUGGUGGAUUCCCAUGGGCUUCACCAGAGAGCUGCACCACGAUUUCAGAAGCAGAAAUGAGAACUCGGUCCCGAAGCCAGGCACUGAGGGGAUGCACAAACCCGUGAAACAGGACCACUCGCGCCGCUGCUGUGUCCUCUCUCGUGAAAACGUGGUAUUUAUGUCAGCAUGCAGGAAGUUUAUUAUUGCUAUUUUUAAGUGAACGAACAGGUUUUAAAACUGCUUCGGUUUCCUUUCUAAGACAGGGCAUUUGAAAGACGGAACCCACGUGAGCGGAAGCCCUCCGGAGGUUUCCAUAAUAGACAUUUUCAAGGGUGGUAAAGGGUUCCCGAGACCAAACAGUUUGAGGACCGUGGCUACAGAGUAUUGCUGAAACUUAACUUGUCUAGGUCUGUUGAGAAGAUUAUAUGCAAACAUGAGUGCAGGGCACUGGGUACAUAGCAAGCGCUCAGCGAGUACUCGCUAAUAUCACGGCUAUGUAACAACAGUACUGUACGGCUGUAUUUUAAUUCAAAACAACAACAGUAAUGAAAGAAACAUUGAUUUGAAGUCUACGAGGAAGGGAGGAAGAAUUUGCUCUGUAUGUGCGUUACGAGGGAGACGGGGAGUUAGAAGAGGUGGCUUCUCUGGGGUAGGGUUGAAGCCCCCGCUGAAAAGGCUGAAGGUAGGUUUUCUCAGCUGGGCUCGUGGCUGGCAAUGAGGGGGCCCGGCCUCCGCCCGUCUGUGGUAGGUGGGAUCUGAAGUGCUUGCCCAGCCCACGCCUUUGGGGGACCAAGAGUGGGUGAUGGGACUUGGCUUCACUGGACAGCGCUCUCGCGGCGGCAUCCAAAAGGCCAAACACAAAGAAAAUGCUGGCUUUGUCCAGGAUGGAGCAAAUCUGUUGCCUCUCCCUUUGCUGGCGGCUCCCUGCUGUCUCAUUUCGGAGUAACUGCUCAUUUGGCUGGUAGAGUGAAACUAAGAGACAGGUUUGACCUUGGUAUAUUUAUAGCCAGGAAGUAGGAAAGUAUCAUGAGUAAAACCAGACCAGGGAAACCAUACGAAGUCCCCUGGGGAACAGCAGCGUUUGUGUGAAUGUGUGAGUAUGUGUGUCUGAGACAGAGAGAGAGAGAGACAGAGAGUAUGUUUGUGCGUGAAUCAUUUGGUCAAAGGCUUGAUUAUUUCUAGAAGGAGGCCUGAUUGGCUCGGUCAACUUGACGACCAGAACUUCUUUCCUGAUCUGAACUUAGUUUCCCCAGCUGUAAAAUGGGAGCAGUGCCUGUGUCCUUGCUGUCCCUCUAAGGCACACGGCGGCGGAAGUCACAUAACUAUAAACCGUGGAAGACAUGAGGUGAUCUAGAAGGCAUUUGUCCCCUCUCCAAGCCGGUAAGAAAAAAGCCACAGCGUUGCCGGCUGAGGAGGGGAAAAAACGUCCAAACAUGAGCAGUUCAACUAUCCGUGGCAUCCUCAAACGUCGUGCAAGUUGCCCUUGACGCGGUGUGGCGACGGCAGAGAACAGUCAGCCCGAGGGAUAAGGAGCUUCCGUCUGUCUGGCCCACGACGUCCUUGGCAACCGUGGGCCUCUCCUCAGACGGAAGCCACUUCAAGGCCUUGGGAGCCACGACCAGGGACAGCCCUGGCUGAGGGGGGCUGAUAUUGGUGGAGGUACGCCUUCACAUAAAGAGUUGGGCAAGAGGAGAAUUGCAGAGAAGAGGAAAAGUGCUCCCCCGCCGGGGGUGCAGAACAGAGUUGUGUCCCUCACGGACACACGGGGGCCUGGCGCCCUCUCAUCUUCCUUGUAUAUAACGACAACUGUGUCCCCUCUGGCAGCAGUGAAAUAGGGGAUAACAUCUGUGUUAGAUGACAUCUGAAGGGGGUGAGCCACCAUGAAGUGACCUCAGUGCUGAGGAUGACAGUUUGGCAAGAUGGCAGGCCAGUAGAGGUGACCCUUGGCCUAGAGGUAGGGUGACCAUAUGCUUUCUUACACAAGGGGGGACGCUUGUUUGGAAAUGAAAGGAGGUGCUAUUGGUAAUGAAACUAGGCAUCAGGAGAAGACUAGGACAGUCUGGGUACAGGAGACAUAUGGUCACCCUCUUGGAGGCCACGGGAGGCUGAUGGAAGAGCUUACCCCGUGGGGUUUCCCAGGGAGGGUUGGCUAGGCCGCUUCACAAGGGUUUAGUGCACAGGAAGAAAGAGCCCCAGCAUUUAUGCCCGAAGAGGGGUUGGCCAGCAGGCGUGGUCUUGAGAAAGGGACAAAGGAAUGUUCCUCUACAGGUGAAGGGGCCCUUUCUGGAGGUCUGGUGUGGAGACCCAAACUGCAGUCGUCAUCAUGCCGCCCAUUCUUCCAGGGUUUUAUACUUUCCAGAACACGCUCAUAGGAUCCACGAUAUAAUCAGAAAAGCCCACCCAACCGUCCAGGAGUGGAUAGGGCAGAUUAUCACUUGAGAGGUGAGGAACUUUGAGGAACAGACGGGCCCAAAGCCCUCAGCCUGCGGGGAGUGAAUUCAUUUCCCAGCAUCUGGCAGAGGGAAUGUUCCAUCCACGACGCUACCUACCAGGACGAUGGCUAAGGUCUGAGUUUCUUCCAAUGCGUUUCUACCUGACUGGUGACCUUCAAGGCAGGGCAGGAAUCAGGAAGGAGAAACCCACGGGGCCACAGAACAGAGAAGCCUCUUCAUGUGGAGAAGUGGAACUUAGUAGCCUGGGUGCCUGUGGGGCUAAGCUUCUACCCAGGUCUGUGUCUUUGUGGUUUUAUAGGACCAGCUGCGCCCAGGGCGUGGGGACAGGCUGGAUGAGGGAUGCACCAAAUUACCGAGCCCACCAAGGAGAGUGACCCACUGCCCCUGGAGUUUUGUGGAAUGGCAGGAAGUUGGAGCUGAAAGUGGCCUGACGUUCACGUCCUCCGACGGCCUCAUCUGCGGCAUGGAGAGCCUGACGUCUGUAGCGGGAGAAGGAGGCGACGCGUGUUUGCACCUCGCUUGCGGGAGCCUCGGUUAAUCCGUAAACCCCUCUGAGACAGGAAAUGUGAUCCGAGGUCAGCUCUGUUGUCCAAACGAGUAGGUGGGGAGGCAGGCCUCAAACCCGGUUCUCAGGCUGACUCUGAAACCCACACUCUUGGUAGCACAUGGCACCCCCUCCCCCCGGGGCUUUGUCUGGAAGAGGUCAAGCCGCGCUGAAAGUAUGCUGACCCCCAUCUAAGUCUUUUUUAGGUCAACUCUCAUUGUAAAUGUUUUCUCUUUGAUUUUGCAACCCUCGGCAAUUAGUUACCAGGGCUGCAAAGGGAAGAUAAGGUCGCAAGAGAGGAACCUCCCAUCUGGCCCUAGUGAACCACGGGCAAUUUCCGAGUGGCUCUCGGGCUGUCAAAUGCAGUGACCCCACGAGGCGAACACUGAGGCCACACCGUAGAUACGACUGGGCUUCGUGUUUCCAUGAUCUCAGCAGAACCGUAUAAACCAGAAGCAGAUCAGGUUCAGAGAUGAGGGGAGGACAUGGUCGCAGGUCCUAAAAGCCCCCCCUCCCCAGCAGAGGGAUCCAGAUCGGGGGUGGGGAGAGCUGGGUGGGGGGGAGAGGCAGGCGGAUGCAGGUGUAUUCUUGCAUGGCCACCUCUGAUCUGCUGUCUCCAGAGAUGCUGGAAUGAGGGCUGUGUUCCCAAGAAGACAGUCUUGCAAAGAGGGACGCCCCUCACGUGGGGCUGGUGGUCUCUGUAGAGAGUCUGGAACCAGCAGGAGGGGAAAUUGUGCAAGCACCGAAGGGUGCAGGGGGCUGUCCUUGAGGCAAGGGUCAGCCCAGUAAGAACAAACAGGUUGUUUUGGAAACUUGUCUGGCACCCUUCCCCUCGGCCCGAGUUCAGGGCCCAGUAUUUUCCGAGUCUUUCGCCUUAUUUGUUGAUCAGCGCUUACCACAUCCUUGAGAAACAGGUCAAUGCAGGUGGCUGGCCAUGUUCACCCCUGGGGCCGAGGUUGGGAGCUCUGAUCCACACAGAGGCAAACAGAGCCCCCCACCCCCCCCCCCCAAGCCCUCCCGCCCCAGGGACCUCUGCUGGGCUGGUCUCUCCACCAAUGACGGUUCUGUCUGUUUCCAUGCGUGAGAUGCUGCUUGCUUUUCAAGGCUCAGCCAAAAGUCUCUCUUCACUGCCUGCCGCCUUAUCUUCUGUUUCAACCUUUCUGCGUUACGAGCAUUUCAAACAUUCCGCAAGCUAGGGAGCAGAGGACGACGCGCGUCACCCAUGUGUCAUCCAGAAUCAAGAUUCUACCGCACCCGCUUCAUCUCUCUCUCUCUCUGAAUUUUUUUAUAGCAUCAUGUCAUUUCACUUCUGCAUACUAGACUUUGCAUCUCUAAAAAGUACCGGCAUUUUCAGACAUAGUGAUAUUCUGGUUUGGGGCCUAAAAAGGGCCAGUGAUUCCUUGCUGUCAUCCAGUACCCAAUCCACAUGGAGAUUCCAAUUGUCCCAAUUUUUUCCCCUCCUCACAGGUGAUUCUUUUGAAUCACGCCUACCAUGUGAUUUGGUUGAGUUUCUGAAGGAACGGGGCUAGCCGUUCUGCAGAACUCCCACACAUGGCUUCUACCCCCAACUUUCCAUUUAUUCUUGUCUUACAGCCCUUAUUAUAGGUGCCCUCGAUUGGGCCACUGCUGUCCUGGCCCCGAGUCCCCUCCACAGCGCGAGCUUUUUGAGGGCAGGUGUGAUGUAUUCUCUUCAUCUCCGGGCCCCUCAUGCCUCCCAACGUGACGCUUUGUGCAUAAUAAGUGUUCCGUUGACUCUCAAAAAUGUCACCGUAUCUGAGCGACUUUUCUCUUUGCCACUUACAACUUAGAGUCUUAAGAUUUUUGAACGCCCCCCCCCGCCAUGACCGGGAGUGACCACCGGGUCCAGUGAGGUUCAUAUGCAGAGCAGAGGACAGACCAGAUUACCUUUACGACUCAGCACGACUCUGUGACUUUGGGUUCCAGAAUCUGGCUGAUGCCAGACAUCGACUUCGUCCUCCGGCUUUGUCCUGGGAUUUAUCAGUCUUCUCGUGGUUAAAUGCCACAAGCUGGCGUGAUCUGAGGAGGAAAAUUAGGGCAUGAUUUCUUGCCAUCCCUUUUUACAGCUUGGCAAGGGACAGAAAGGUUAUCCUUCCCUCCCCGUGUUGCUGUGUCUUUAGUGAGCUUGCGUGGAGCUGAGGGCCUGGAACGUUCGGGGGGUGGGGCUUCCUGCUCCUCACCUUGCUUUCUGACCCAAUUCUCUGAUCUCACAACCUCGGACUUGCUUGUUUCUAGAGGUAUAAUCUGUUUGCCGUAUUGAGAGCGGAUGAGAAAAUAUGGCUUGGAUCAUGGAAUUCAGCUUCGUGAUUCAUUUGUUCGACAAGCUUCUUUUGCGAACCUACCAUGGGCCAGGCCUUGCCUGCCUGGGUUCUGGGAGUCCAAAGGUAGCCAAGGCCCACUUUACCAGCUAGGAGUUCGCUGGUUAAUGGAAUAGAUCAUUAGUGCCAAGGUAGAAGGAAGCCUGGACAUUAUAGAAGACAGAGAAGGGCAGCCAAGUUAGACUGCUGGAGUAUGGGAGGGCUUCCUGGAGGAGGCAGUUUGUCCAAUGAGUCUCAAAGGACACAUCGGAAUUUACUGGAAAAAGGGGAAGGGGAAGAGGGAAGAACAUUCCAGAUAUAUUUCAAGGGUGUAGAAUAACAUGUGGAAAGGGAAAUUAUAUUUACCCUGUAUUUUCGUUUUUUCUCUCUCUCUUUUUUACCCUAUAUUUUCAGAGAUGCUUGUAAUAUCAUUCACACUUCUGAAAUGAUUUAAAGAAAAUAUGCCUUGGGGUACCCGGGUGGCUCAGUCGGUUAAGCGUCCAACUCUUGGUUUCGACUCAGGUCGCGAUCUCGUGGUUCGUGGGUUCAAGCCCCACAUCGGGCUCUGUGCUGACAGCACAGAGUCUGCUUGGGAUUCUCUGUCUCUCCUUCUCUCUCUGCCCUCCCCCAUUUGUGCACUCUCUCUCUCUCUCUCUCUCAAAAUAAAUAAACAUUAAAAAAAAUUUAUUUUUUAUUUUAUGUUUAUUUAUUUUUGACAGAAAGAGAGAGACAGAAUGCGAGCAAAUGAGGGGCAGACACACACACACACACACACACACACACACAGAAUCUGAAGCAGGCUCCAGGCUCUGAGCUGUCAGCAUGAGGCUUGAACUCACAAGCCAUGCGAUCAUGACCUGAGCCAAAGUCAAAUGUUUAACCGACUGAGCCACCCAGGCGCCCCAGUAAAUAUUUUUAAAGAUUAAAAAAAUAGGCCUUGAGGACGUCAAAUGAUUUGUCCAAGGGGAGGAAGAGGAAUUAGAAUUAGGCCCACAGAUUCUCUGAGAAGCAGGACAGCAUCCUGACUCUAUUCGGUGCCCACGUUAACACCCAUCCCUCCGUGAAGUCCCUCUGAAAUGUUCACUCGUGCCAGUCAUAGAAGGGCCGGACCCCGGUGAGGGGGCACGCAGCGGUUGCGUUCCGGAACAGAAUUGCAGAGCAGAAUUGCCUACGGCCUCUUCACAACAUGCCCACGGUGCUCCUGGGGACCAGGAACCAAGGGCAACAAGCCUUAUCUCAGAGAGUGGAAAAGUUUCUCCUCUUGAAGCAGACGCAGACUGUGUUAUGCUGGCUUUCUGACAAGCUGGAAAUACCAGACUACUGACCAAAUAGGAUUAUUUGAUGGUUUAUGUAUUCCGUGAAAACCAUUGUGUUUUAUUAUGUAUACAUGAAGUGUUAGUGAAUGCAGUUAAUCCAGCCACGAUCUUCAGGAAGACCAAGACUUUUCUUCUCUUCACGUCAGACGAUUUUUAAAAAACCUCUAGAAACUUAGAAGUGUUCCUCUAGAAUAGUUCAAGGAGCUUUUGAAAAUCCCCUUGACCCCUAAGUACUCGGCCCUGAAGUGAUCACCACGGCAACGGGCGCUUUGAAGACCUCCUCAGGGGAAACAACAAUGACCCAGCACCCACCACGUAUUAGACAGUGUUCUAGACACUUCCACACGCAGUGCUGUUUAAUUUUGGAUCACGCACCCUACCAGAUGCAGUCAUUGUUUGCCCAGUUUUUACAGGGGAGGGGACCAAUAUUCUGACAGGUUCAAUAACUCGCCAGUUUCACAGAGUAAGGAGCGAAACGACAAUUCUGACCCCGAAGUCUCCUCUUCCCUCAGCGCCAUGAUGACAUUUCACACAUGAGAGGAGGCGCCCAAGACGCAGCUCUCGGGUCUGACUCUCUGGGUUUGAACCCAGACUCCAGUAAUGGCUCACUCGGGACAAGUUACUUGGCCCCUUUUCCUCGACCUCCCUGGUUGUAAAUGGGGAAAUAAUGGUGCCUUCCUCAUAGGAAGGAUUCGAGGGGUCAAUCCAGGUAAGAUCCUCCAGAUGGUGCUUGGUGCCGAUAAGCACCUCAUGAAUGUUAACGACUCGUGUGGGGACCUUUGCUUGAAAUCAAGGUUACCUUUCGCCUGGGCUCGUCUUGCUUGGGAAGAGGACAGGGUGUUGGUGCAUCUUUGAGGGCUGAACAGUUAGGGAAGCGGUGGGCCAUUCGGGACUGGGCUUCCUCCCGGCAGAGCCCUGGAGAGCUGGCUGGUACGCGGGGGCCCGGGAGGCCCCGAGGUUGCGGGCUGUUUCCGCCACCCUGGAUCCACCCGAGGGAUGAGGCACGGAAAAGCACGUGGCUUUGGAGACAAAGGCUCCUGAAAAUAACUAAAAGCUGGAAGCCUCUGUGAAUUCAGCGAUGCGCGAUGUCCCUGCAGGUGAUUUCAGGGGAAUCAGAACAGGGGCAAACGUCCGCCUGCCGAGGCCGGUCAAAACCAACCCCAGAGGGUGCAGAACAAGGCUCGGGUCGGAAGCUGAGUUCCCCGGGAAUCAGUGGCCAGAGUGUCAUUGCCUGCCGGGGAGUGGAGGAGGCCGUGCUGACCAGGGAGGACAGAGCAAGACGCCGGGUCUGGCUCGUCCCAGGGCAGGCAGACAGGACCGGGGUGGUGGCCUGUCACUAAGGUGGGAGUGGGUCCGGGCGGGGAAGUGAGGGCCACUGUUCACGUAGGAGGAUCUGCUGGGCCACCUUGCAGGGGGUCGGAGAGGACCCACCGGGGAGAAGGCCUUUCAAAGGCCAAGCCAAGGGGGAGCAGACAAGGGCAGGGCUGGACAACAGGAGGGGACUUCUGGCCUGCGGCAGAGGAGGCUGGCUCGGGAGUGGUGGGUCUUUCCAGCUCUGGUGGGUGAGGAAGGGGGUCCAGGUGGGAGAGAGGCCCUACCCCGGCCCUCUCGCUGCAGUCCAAUUAUUUCUGCCGAGUUACCCCACCUCCCUGAAUCUUGUUGGUCUCAUCUGCAAAAUGGAGUAAAAACGACAACUUCCUCUCCUUGUGCCUGUGAAUGAAGGCUCUUGGUGCCACAAAUGUUCGAGACAUGGGAGUGCUCCUCGAGGGCCCGGGGACCUCGGAGGGGGCUAGAACCUCCAGGAUGCUGUGGCGGUGUAGCUGUGUGUGCCCAGGGACCAGGCAAGGCCACCCCUUCCUGGAGCUUGACUUCAGCUUAAAGGCAGCGCGAGCCCUGCGUGUGGGGUCAAGCCUGCGUUUCCCGGGAGACCUUCCAGUCUCCACCACCUGGAAACCAGGCUUCCCCGUCACGGGGCCGAGCAGUGGACUCCUCUGCAGGGCGCUCUCAGUGCCACGGAGUGUCUCCCCCGGUCUCCCCUGUCCUCGGACAAGGUAAUGGUGAUAUACGCAGACCCCCGUGAGUGCCUCAGGCGGGUGGCUUUAAUGGCUAUCUUGGAGGUGACAUUCCAUUAGGGGUGAUUGAACUUAAUUUUAAUGGCAGGAUGACUUACGUUUUCAUCAUCCCCUCCCAGGCCUGAAGGUCAAUGGGAAACUUUCUCUCCUCCAGGAAUGAACCCUUUGAAAUCGCCGUAAGGCCACGCCAGGCUUGGUUAAUGCUAAGAUCCUGAAUUGUAAGGGAACCCCCCUGCACCAGCGGGUUUGUUUGGCAGUGUGGGGUUCUUGGUUCGGGGACCCUGGAGCCAGGGAUGGCAGAGGGUUGAAGGUUGACCCUACCACCCGCUGGCUGUGUGGCCUCGGGCAACUUACUUAACCUCUCUGUGCUUCCUCGUGUCGGUGUAAGGAUUCCAGGAUUGGCUGGGUGGAAAACGGCUAGCGCGGUGCCUGAAACAGGGGAAAUUGCCGCGCAAGUAUGGGCUCCCGUAAUCAGCUUUUUCGAGAAAGGCACAGAAGCAGCAGCCAUUUUCAGAACGCGCGUCCGAAGCCACAAUGGAACACAACGGGUGGUCGGGCUAAGGCGAGGGCUUCGGGCAGGAGCAGGUAGGUGUGGAACCGCAGAUUGGGGCUGGCUGGCGAGGCUUUGGAACUAAACCCCAUCCUGAAUGAUACACCGGCGAGUGGAGGGCUUCCCGGGAGGGAAGGCGAUAGGGAAGGGGUGUUUCUGGAGGAUCUGUGCUGACAGUGGGGAUGGAAAGAAAGAAAUAUAUAUGAGAGCCAUUAGGAAGGAAGCCUCCCCAGGAGCUUGCCGUAACUGGAUGCGGGGCGGAGGAGAAGGACUUUGAGGUGCCGGGGGAGGUGACUAACAGGAGAGUGUCCUCACCAGCGCGGGGGGGAGCUGGUCUGCAGGGCAGAGGGCGUUUGGCGUUCCGAUACCAGAACCGCGUGGCCGCCCGGAGCGAUGUCAGGGCUGGGGAUGUGGUUCCGGGAGCCGUCUGCAGAGACGGGGGUGAGGAGAGAGAGAGGGAAGCAGAGAGGACGCAGUCCAGGUGUAGGGCAGCUUUCACAGGGUCUGAAGCUGAUAAGGGAAGAGGAAAUCACGAGGAAGGCCAAGAGCAGGGAGGAGGGCGGGAUCAUCCCCUGGGCAGGUGCAGGGGCAGCCCCGGGGAGCUGUGCGGGAAAACAGGGCACCGGCAGGAAGGGAGGCCUCAAGGUGUCGGGCGACUCAGCAGUCUUACGGAUUUCUGCAAAGUGCCAGAAAUGAGAAGAUCUUGUCUUCCUCAAAGGAAAUAUCGACAACACAGCUGGUAGUCACGGAGCCCUGUGCUUCGGCUCCCUGGGCUGCCUUCCGGAGCCCAGACCAGGUCUAUGUAAUUUUGAGCAGACUGGCUCUGGAUUGCCCACCUGUGACGAGGGGGGGGGGGAGGGACGGAGCGGGGAGCCUUUGUAGUGAUGGUGCCUGGGGUCCCUCUCUGCCCCCUCGGCCCAUGAGCCAUCACUAAGUCAUUCUGAGGACAGCGGUGGCCCUGCGCCGUGUGUGUGGGCCGUGUCACUCCCGCCCUCCCGCGAGCCCGGGGUGGCGAGAAGAACUAACGGGUGACAUGAAAGCAUAUAGACUGCAGGCUACUUAUGCAAAUGUUACCACGUGAGCUUGCCGUUACCAUCCUGUUUGUGCAGUCAAGAAAUUCGAGGUUCAGAAACUUGACCGAGUUCAUGGCAGAGCCGGAUCCAGACCCAGACACUGGUACCCUCAGCUCAAAGCUCUUUCCAUCACCACGUGCUAUUUUAACAUUUAAGCGGAGUGAAGUAAAAAAAAUGCUUUUAAGGUUUAUUUAUUUUUGAGAGAGACAGAGACAGAGAGCAAGUGGGGGAGGGACAGAGAGAGAGGGAGACACAGAAUCCGAAGCAGGCUCCAGGGGCUGAGCUGUCAGCACAGAGCCCGACGUGGGGUUUGAACCCACGAACCAUGAGAUCGUGACCCGAGUUGAAGUUGCAUGCUUAACCGACUGAGCCACCCAAAUACCCCAGAGUAAAGUAAAAGUUUUAAUUUCAGUGGCAUGGACAGUGUUGUGUCCUCCUUGAGGUAUUUAACAAAUUUGGUGUGGCCACAUUUGAGCUGGGAUACCCUGCUGGUCAUGGGGGCAUUGGCUUCGCCAGCAUGGGAACAGCUGUUUUUUUACCUUCUCUCCCCCCCCCCCCAUUUGCAGAUGGAGAAACCGAGGUGGCUCCAAAUCAGCUUUCUGCUGUUGCUUCGGGAUCUGAUACCAGCUUGGAUGGUGGCCAUGGUAACCUGUGUUUCCCCAGCUCUCCAGGGGUUUAUGUUCAGCGAGUGAUGAUGUGUCCUACUAACAUCAGGCUCUGGCUUAAAGUCCUACCUGCAUAACUUCUGGAACCCAAGCCCUCCCUUUCCCUGGAAGGUAAAGGUCCCAGGAGGGUUCAAAGGGUCCCCUUGGUGGGAGAUAGUUUUGCACACAGCUGCCGCUCUGGAGUCCUUUGCUCCUGUCCUGCUGGUGAAGGGACCUCGAGAUUCACCACUGCCACGCUGAUGUCUCUCUUGCUGUCUUCCUCCAUGGUCCCAUGCCACCUGAUGGGAAGAGGGGGCAGCCCCCUCCCCCAAGAGUAACGGCUUAUACUCAGCGACCAAACGUAGGUAAUUCUUACUCUUUCCUCAGGAUUACAAGCCCACGUUUCACUUACUCCCUUUCUUUCAAUGUCCCCUGUGCCUCAAGACUUUAGAACAAAGUCCAGGGGAUAUGUGGAAAGACAACGUGUAGGGAAGCACCCAGCAUUGCCCCCUAAAUUGUCCCUCUCCCCUGACAAUUGGCCCCCGUCUCUACAUUAAGCUCAAGCACUUCACCAGGGCCUCGGUGGAGAAUGGGGGUGAGGGCUGGUUGGAUGUGGCCUCUGCCGUCUCUUUGCGGUGGUGGUUUCUCUAUGGCAGAAUUGAACAUGUGCCCCAUUGUUCCUGGACGAGCAUGCAUCCCAUUUUUCCUGGAGGAGCAUGCAUCCCAUUAUUCCUGGACGAGCGUGCGUCCCAUUAUUCCUGGACGAGCGUGCGUCCCAUUAUUCCUGGACGAGCGUGCGUCCCAUUAUUCCUGGAUGAGCGUGCGUCCCAUUAUUCCUGGACGAGCGUGCGUCCCAUUAUUCCUGGAUGAGCGUGCGUCCCAUUAUUCCUGGAUGAGCGUGCGUCCCAUUAUUCCUGGAUGAGCACGCGUCCCAUUAUUCCUGGAUGAGCACGCGUCCCAUUAUUUCUAGAUGAGUUGGAGUUCCUCCAUCCUCUGCUGAACAGGCUUGGGUGUCCUUUGACACAUAUUUGGUACCGGGAAUGCCAUUACAGAAACAAACCCCAAGGGACAUGGGAGUAGAGGUGUAGAGAGGCAUCUGGUGAAACACAUGUUGGCUGUCAGUCAGACUCACCCGAUGUGGCAGGCAGCCCCUGAACGGCCCCCAGAGAGUCCCACCUCCUGGUAGUCAUGCCUCUGUGUAGUUUCCUCCCACGAUGAAUGGGGCUGACCUUUGUGACUGAAAGAAUAUUAUGGGAAUGACCGAGCGUGACCUCUGAAGCUCGGUCUUGGAAGACAUUGAGGCUUCUUCCGCCUUGUUCUCUUGGAUAAGUCCCUCUGGGGAGCCAGCUGUCAACUGCUGAGGCCAUUUGUGGACAGAUCUAUGGACGGGUGUGAGGAACAAGUUCUACUGCUGGCAAUGACCCGCCAGCAUGUGACAGCAGAGCCAUCUUAGAAGGAGACCCUCCCACCCCAGUGAAGCAGUCAGAGGACUAUAGCCUCUGCUGACAUUUUAACGACAAUCUCAGGAGAGACCCUAAACCAGAACCAUCCAGCUAAUUCACUCUUGGAUUCCUGACCCACAGAAACUGUAACAUAAGAAAUGCCAUUGCUGUUUUAAGUGGCUAAGCGUAGGCUAAUUUGUUACACAGCAGCAGAUGCCUAAUACAUCCGCAUUAGGUCACAGGGACUUGGGAGUCAGUCCGGACUCAGGCACAGGUCACACUUCCCGGAGUUUUCAUCCAACACUGUUGCCUAUCUGCCUGUUUCUCCCUGUGCUGCCUCUGUUGACGUGCAGUCUCUAACGGGGGCAUUCGGUCCCUUACGUGCCUGAGACUUGCUUCAUGGCGGAGUCCAGGCUUGGAGCUUCACUUCACACUUGCGCAGCGUGGGAGCUGGAAUACUCCCUCACGACGGCCCUCGGACUGUGAAUAGACACAAAGGGCGAUGCUGAGUCAGACAGCAGGCUGGCAGGAGGGCACACGUCAGCGGGCCGGCUUCCAGAGCCCCGGCUUGCCGCGCUCCCAGCCGCCUCCUCCUGAAGCUUCGCCUCCCAUGGUGAUUCCACAUGGCGGUCACCUCCGAUGCACACAGAGCCUGGUCCCACAGGCACGUAUGAGAGACCGAGAACUCUGAAUUUCAAACCAGAGAAGUCCGGGGCUGCCACGUUUAUGCCCCGACUCAGCAGAGCCACCCUAUGCUAGAAACCCUACUCGAAGAGCUUGGAGCACACAGUGCUUGGCACAUAUUCAGCCAACGAGUAACUGAGGGGCUGCGCUCUGACACCCUCUGCCCUGUUCAGAGAACCUCGGGGAGGGGAUGGCGCCGUGGGGCUCACACUUCCAGAGGGACAUGGGAACGUUGGAGCGGGCGUGGGCGUGAAUGGUGAGGCUGGUGACACGUGAGGGCUGUCACUCUGCAGGGGAGGCCCGCAGGCACGUCGUAGUCUGGAAAUCGUCCACGGGCCCUCUUGUGCCCACUCAGCAUCUAAGGUCUGCGAAGGGCGGGAGGGUCUUUGUGAGACACCCGUCAUGAAGAAAGAUGUGUCAUCGAUGCUGAGGCACAACCACGGCCCUCGGGAGGAGAUGAGCUGCCCGGUCCAGGAGUCGCCCGGUCCCGGCCAGACGGCAGGGAUGAGGGUAGGAAGACCAGUCGGUGGACCACACUCCUUGAAGUCCUUUGGAGGCUGCAGUCUUGAGUGUCCCCCAUGAGGAACAUCGAUGGGCUGGGUGCAGGGAAGUCCUGCCCUCGGAUGUCCUGCCCAGGGCCUCCUGGUGUGUGGCCUGCCUAUGCCUGAUACCAAUGGCGUGUUGGCCUUGACCGACGGUCCCUGGUUCUUCAGUGCUUUUGCGGACAGCAGGGAAAACACAUGUCCGCUCGGAAGAGUGGGUGAGUCACCAGCCCCAGGGAACGUGGCAUAUUCUCUCUGUCACUGAGUCUGUGAACCAGGCCCAGGGUCUCCCUUCCUCUGCUGUUUUUAAUUAGGGAAACAGAGCAGCCCUUGACGGUGGGGACCCACGGAGGGGAUGCCUCGGGCAGCGGGGUUGCGGAGGGGCCGGAGGGCCGUGGCUUCUGCUCGAUGCCCGGCCUCCAGCCCUCUGUCUCCAGGACCCCUCCUGGGUGGCCAGUGUCCACGUCUCCUGCCCCCUUUGAGCCAGGAUCCUAGUGAUAAAUCUGUUCCCCCCGCCCCCCACCCCUGUCAGCAACAGAACAAAUGCGUUCUCUCCAGCCUGCUGCUCACUCUCAGGGACCGGAGCGUCCCCAAACCCAACCAGCUCAUUCAUGUGGACAACGUCCAGGCUGGUGGGAACCGGAGAAGCUGGCAUCUCCCCCUCUCCCUGCGCUCCCACGCCGCUCCGUGCUUUCCCUUGAAGUCCCAAAUGGGGGCACAGGCACAUUCUUUCCUGGGGCAGCCGCUCUGCUAACUUCUAGCACGUGCUCUGAGCUCAUAAAAUCCGAGCAAAGUGAGGAAAAUGCAGGCGUCAGGCCUGCGGGGACCCGAAGCUCUGGGGACCCCUGGUUUGCUCUUUUCCUUUCCGUGUGCGUCGGAUGAGCCGGCUCAUCUUGCAGAGCCUUGGCCAGCCCUGGCUCUUCCGUAAAGGAAGGUAGAACCUUAAAGCGGUGGCCGGGGUUCCCCUCAGGCUGGGAAAAUAUUUAAAGCUGGGGGCGGCGGGGACAGGCUGCUGUCCCGGGCGCUCCAAGAGAGAUGCAGAUUACUGAGCCAAACGUGAGAGCAGGUGCACAUUCGUCAUCCAGGCAAAGCUCUGAACACAACGGUGAAAUCAGGUCGGGGCUGGGUCCCGCCACCGCACUGAAGGCUGGAGAGGAACUGUUCUGGAAUUGGGAGCCUGCUCUUUCCCCGGCUGGCGGCAGGAACCUGCGGUCCGUGGCUGAAGUUGCUCUGUCUCGAUGCCCCCCACUCGGUGGCCAGUUUCUUUCCACAGUGGGCACUGGCUCCCCUUGUUGUGAAAAUAGCCCCUCUUCUGACUUCACUGGACAGGAGUCCAUUCACAUGAGGCGAUCUUUGUGUCUUGUGGGCACCCCCCUGCCGCUGCCCGUUCACCCUUGACCUCGCCCCUUCCUCCAAAGUCACAAUUAGAGGUGGGAAAAAUACUCGACAGACGUGAAAACGAUAGGCUUAGCGGGAGCCUGAGGAAUCGGUAGGGAAAGACCGAAUUUAGUUUGCUUUUACGUUGGAAUGGAUCGUUCAUUUUCUCGGUUCAAAAAUUAACACUCGAAAAAGCUAGACUUCUACCCUUGCUCCCUUCAACCCAACCCAAGUGGUUUCUUGGGCAUUUUUAUCAUGCCUCUGUGUGUGUGUGUGUGUGUGUGUGCAUGCACAUGAGCAUUUUCUUUUUCUUUCCUCCUUUCACAGAUAGGGAAGUACAGGGGUGCCAGGGUGGCUCCGUCGGUUAAGCGUCCUACUUCGGCUCAGGUCAUGAUCUCACGGCUCGUGAGUUCGAGCCCCACUUUGGGCUCUGUGCCGACAGCUCGGAGCCUGGAGGCUGCUUCGGAUUCUGUGUCUCCCUCUCUCUCUGCCCCUACCCCUCUCACGCUGUCUCUCUCUCUCUCUCAAAAAUAAAUAAACAUUAAAAAAAUUUUUUUAAAAGAAAAGGAAAUACAAAUGGUCAUAAAAGAACGGGAAGGACCCACCAUCUCACUUAGGUUAGGAAAAGUGCAAAUUGAAGCGACAGCAGAAUACCCUUGUGACAAGGCUGACAAAAGCAUUCUACGCAAAUGGGUUUGGACUUUGUUCUCCUCACUUAAUUGUAUAUCUUGGAGAUCUUUCAAAUCAGUGCCUAAAGAGUGUCUCCAUUCAUUUUUACAGCUUUUAUAGUGUCCUAUUUAUGGACACACCAUAAAUUUGUUUAACUAGUUUCCCACCGAUGGACCCUUGGGUUGCUUCCAAGGUUUGGCUACUACAAACAGUGCCACCCAGGACAUUUCCUGUAUGUGCAGGUACGUCUGUGGGACGAAUUCCGGCAAGUAGGACUGUUGGGUCACAAGUGAGUGUGUUUAUGAUAUUUACAAGGCUUUCCGGAUACUCUGAAUGGGGUUGUGCGAUAUACGCAGCCCCUGGGAAUCGAGGAGAGACCUCUUUCCCCGCAGCCUCGCUGCAGAGACAUCUCAAUGCAGUUUUAAUUUGCAUUUUCUCUCAUUAAAGUGGGCCUGAGCCUCAUUCCGUUCUCUGAGGAGCCGUUGCCUUUCCUUUUCUAUGAGCUGCCUCUGCACCCGUAGCCUUUGCCCAUCGAAACAAAAAUUGCAUUGUUGGCUUGAUCCUUUUCCUUAACUAUCUUCUAGGAGCUCCUUUUAUGUUAAGGAAAGAUUAGCUCUCUGUGACAGGGCUUGCAAAUAUUUACCCCGUGUUCUUGUCUUUUGAUUUUGCUUAUGUUGUGUGUGUAGGUAUACGUUUUUUAAAAAUUAGGUGGUAGAAUACUGCAAUGUCUUUUUCUUUUUUAACGGAUUCUGAUAAAAGAGAACCAUACUCCAAGGUUCUAGAGGAAUUUGACGUGUUUUCUUCUAGGUACUUUUAUAUCUUUGUACUUUUAUAUCUAAGUACUUUAUAUCUUUGAUCUUGAUCCCCUUUUAAAAUUUUUUUAAUGUUUGUUAUUUAUUAUUGAGAGAGAGAGAGAGCGAGAGAGCACAAGCAGGGGAGGGUUAGGGAGAGGGAGACACAGAAUCUGAAGCAGGCUCCAGGCUCCAAGCUGUCAGCACAAAGCCCGAUGUGGGCCUGGAACUCACGAACCACAUGAUCAUGACCUGAGCCGAUAUCGGACACUUAAUUGACUGAGCCUCCCAGGCAGCCCUCUUUGAUCCCUUUAGAGUUGAUGCUGCGGCAAAAUAUGAGGUAUGAUAUGGUAUCCUUAACUCUUUUUCAAUCAUCUUGACGUCAUCUAUUGGCCUAUUCCCCAAUGAUUAGACGUGUCGACUUUGUAAUUUACUGAAUUUUGGACCAGAACCGGGUCUAUUUAUAGUUUACUCCAUUGACUGGGCUGUCCAUUGGCAGGUACAGUGCUGUUGUCAUUAUUGAGCCUCUAUGAUGCACUUUGAUACAUGGGAUGGUUGUUUCUUCUCAUUCCUUCCCUUUUCCCCCUUUACUCUGUUUUCUUUUCCUUUUUCUUUUCCUGGCCCUUCUUGUUUGCUUCAUUUGCCAUAUGAAUUUUAGAAUCUGCUUAUUUAGUUUAAAAAAAGUUGAUAUUUAUAUCGAAAUCACAUUGUUUAUUAAUUAACAUAACUGAUAUGAUGGUGUUAAUUGUCAUGGGGAUAUUGACAUGAUUGUGAAUUUUCCUCUGUUAGAACAUGGCAUGUGUUGCAUUGGUUCUACUCUUCUUUUGCAUUUCUUUAUCUUUCUUUCUUUUCUUUUUUAUUUGAGAGAGCAAGAGAGAGAGAGAGAGAGAGACAGAGCGAGCUCGUGAGUUGAAGAGGGGCAGAGAGAGAGGGAGAUUGAGAAUCUCCAGCAGGUUCCAUGCCCAGGGAGGAGACUGAUGUGAGGCUUGAUCUCAUGACUUCGGGAUCGUGACUUGAGCCAAAAUCGAGAGUCGGAUGCUUAACCGACUGAGUCAGCCAUAUGCCCUUUCUUUUAAUUUCUUAAAGGUUUUUCUCAGAGACAUUUUGCCUGAAUCUUAAGUUUUUUGCAGAUAUUUUGUUGUGUUGCUAUUGAAAAAAAAUCUCUUGAAGGAUAUGCCGUUUUCCUCUCCACCUGAUUGCUAUUUGUAUAUCUAAGUAUUGCUGUCAUCCAGUAUGUUAGUUGUGUACCGGGCUAUGUUAAUGAACUCGUUGUUUGUAGUUGUUUUUGCCAGAAAGCCUUUAAUUAAUUAAUUAAUUAAAUGCUUAUUUAUUUAUUUUGAGAGAGAAAGCCCACACGAGCAGGGAAGGCAGAGAGAGAAUCCCAGACAGGUUCCAUGCUGUCAGUGCAGAGCCUGACCCGGGGCUCAAUCCCAUAAACUGUGAGGUCAUGACCGGAGCUGAAAUCAAGGGACGGACGCUUCACCGACUGAGCCACCCAGGUGCUCCAGGAAGACUUUAAUUUAAAGAAUAACAAUGUGGUUUGGGAAAUUAUCCCAAAUGGAUAAGAAGGCAUGCCACCAGGGGGUUUGGGGAAGUUCAUGGUUGGGGUGGGAGGGCUGAAGAGUGUACCUCCUGAGAUUUACUGAACUGCCUUCAGUAAAGUGGAAUUGGGGGGCGGAAUCCAAUUUCGGAAGCUUCAUUUUGGACCGAGAUUUAGAAGGUGUAACAGCUGAGCCAGUUCCGUGGAGAAAAAUCUGUGCUGAACUUGCAUGUGGCUGUGUUCCUUCGAGCCCCAGAGCACAGAAGGAAAAUGCCCGAGACCGACGGCAGUGAGGAGCAAGGUUCUUGCUGGCUCCCAAACCCAGAGAACUGCGGGGACGCUGGCCACCUAGGGUCGUGGGUCCUUAGCUCUCGGGGACACCCACCAGAACCCAUCGGUGGAGGGAUCUCAGAACACAGAGGAGGGAAUAGAGAUCCAGCACUCCUCUGCUCCCUUGGAGACGGAAGGCAGAUGGAAUUAACAGGUGACCUAUGACCCCGUGAGGGACACUACCACUCUCUGUUCUGUCUCGGUUGGGGUCUAAGGCAGACCCAGCCCCGACACCCUGAUGCCUUUGGGGUCUCCCAUAUAGUUUAUCCGGACAAGGACUUGGAGCUCGGGAGCCUUCUAGGGAACAAAGUUUAGCUUCCUCUUCACCUCACUCACCCCAGGUAAGAGGAGGGGUAGGAGCUGUUAGUAAGUCCUGUGCAUUAUGCUUGGUGCUGUCUGUAUGCCAUUUUAUUCACUCUCCUACAUAGUCCUCUGAAGCAUUCUCUCUGCUUCACGGGCGAAAGAAUGAAGGGCCAGAGGGGCAGUUAGCUUGCCUAAGGCCAUUCAGCAGGCAAGUGGUCGAUGCAGGGUCCAGGGAGCAGCACAGAAGCAGAGCCCUACCUCCUGCCCCACCCCCUCCACCCUUGCUUAACUAAAAACAGCUCGGCCUUCUGCUUCCGAUUCUGUGUCUCCUUCUCUCUCUGCCCCUCCCCCGUUCAUGCUCUGUCUCUCUCCAUCAAAAAUAAAUAAAAACGUUAAAAAAAAAAAAUUAAAAAAAAAAAACAGCUCGGCCUUCACCUACUUGGCUCCCAUUACAUUUUGGUUUGAAGGAUGAAUUCUACCGUGAAAGAGCCUGUGUUCUCCAGACAGGUCCAUUCUGUCGUUUCUCAUCUCCCGCCAUUUUGAACUAGCGGCACCUCCCCACCCCUAGCCCUGCCCCCACCCCACCCCUGCUACUGCUGNNNNNNNNNNNNNNNNNNNNNNNNNNNNNNNNNNNNNNNNNNNNNNNNNNNNNNNNNNNNNNNNNNNNNNNNNNNNNNNNNNNNNNNNNNNNNNNNNNNNNNNNNNNNNNNNNNNNNNNNNNNNNNNNNNNNNNNNNNNNNNNNNNNNNNNNNNNNNNNNNNNNNNNNNNNNNNNNNNNNNNNNNNNNNNNNNNNNNNNNNNNNNNNNNNNNNNNNNNNNNNNNNNNNNNNNNNNNNNNNNNNNNNNNNNNNNNNNNNNNNNNNNNNNNNNNNNNNNNNNNNNNNNNNNNNNNNNNNNNNNNNNNNNNNNNNNNNNNNNNNNNNNNNNNNNNNNNNNNNNNNNNNNNNNNNNNNNNNNNNNNNNNNNNNNNNNNNNNNNNNNNNNNNNNNNNNNNNNNNNNNNNNNNNNNNNNNNNNNNNNNNNNNNNNNNNNNNNNNNNNNNNNNNNNNNNNNNNNNNNNNNNNNNNNNNNNNNNNNNNNNNNNNNNNNNNNNNNNNNNNNNNNNNNNNNNNNNNNNNNNNNNNNNNNNNNNNNNNNNNNNNNNNNNNNNNNNNNNNNNNNNNNNNNNNNNNNNNNNNNNNNNNNNNNNNNNNNNNNNNNNNNNNNNNNNNNNNNNNNNNNNNNNNNNNNNNNNNNNNNNNNNNNNNNNNNNNNNNNNNNNNNNNNNNNNNNNNNNNNNNNNNNNNNNNNNNNNNNNNNNNNNNNNNNNNNNNNNNNNNNNNNNNNNNNNNNNNNNNNNNNNNNNNNNNNNNNNNNNNNNNNNNNNNNNNNNNNNNNNNNNNNNNNNNNNNNNNNNNNNNNNNNNNNNNNNNNNNNNNNNNNNNNNNNNNNNNNNNNNNNNNNNNNNNNNNNNNNNNNNNNNNNNNNNNNNNNNNNNNNNNNNNNNNNNNNNNNNNNNNNNNNNNNNNNNNNNNNNNNNNNNNNNNNNNNNNNNNNNNNNNNNNNNNNNNNNNNNNNNNNNNNNNNNNNNNNNNNNNNNNNNNNNNNNNNNNNGCCCCCACCCCACCCCUGCUACUGCUGCCGCCUCUGCUAGUGGAUCUGAGGGGUCCCAGCCCACUCUCUCUCUCAAAAAUAAGUAAAGAUUAAAAAACAAUUUAGAAAAAAAAAAUAAAACUGGGUUGAAUGCAAUGUUGAUGGCUGGAGCCAGUACCAUUAUUCUGGUCACCGUUACUAAUAAAAAUUAUACUGAAUUAAAUAAUCAGCCUAGGUCCAACACCAUCCUUGAGCAAACUCAAAGUUGUGAGACAGGGAAAAUGGCCGUCUAGAGAGAGGAGGUCAUUCAUUCUACAUUCCUUGCAAAGAUAAAGGUGGUUGCGAGUGGUUACAGCUUGUGAGGACCGUGUGUCCUGGGCAGAAUUCCCCGGCAGGAUGGCUGUAUUUCGUGAUCAGCACCUGGGCUGUGUGUGGGCAGGCAGGUGUGCUCAGAACCAGGGGUCCUCGCACGUCACCCUGUACUCUUGUCGUGGACCAGGGGAUGCAAGGACCUUCCAUCGGGCUUGAUGAGAACAAGCCCAAACUUCUGGGGGCAGUGGUGCCACUAAAUGGCCAAUGCAAUAUCAUCUGUGGCCCAGAGCUGGGGAAGAGGUGUAUUCUAUUAACAAACACCUAGAUAUCGGUGUAAGCAUUUUACAAACACUCGUUUACCUAAUCUUCAUAUGGAUUAGGGUUCUCACUUUAUUAUUCCUGUUUCCAUACGAGAAAACGAGGCACGGAGUUCAGUAAUCAGAACGAGGCCACACAGCCAAUCUGCCGCAGGGCUGGAAUGGGGGUCCGGGCUCGUUCAGAUCCCGAGGCUAACAUGCACUCACUGUUCGUGAAGCAUCUCUCACGUGCCCUUGGCCUGGAGGUGGAGAUCAGAAUCCAAUCUGACAUGCCCCUUCCUUCUAGUAGCUUGGAGUCAGUGAGGAGCUUACGUUUUGAAAGAAGCUUUGCCCUAUAAGUUUCUCUGCCCCAUCUCUGACGCUUCAUUCCUCUGUACGUCAACCUGGCUCGGCGACAAGGAUUACAAAUACUAAAGGGAUGUGAUGGUUAAUUUUACGUAUGAACCAGGAUAGGCUAUGGUACCCCAAUACUAGUUUAGAUGUCACUGUGACGGUAUUUUUUAGGUACAAAUAACAUUUAAAUCAGUAGAGUUUGAAGAAGGCAGAUGGCCCUUCGUAACGUGGGUGGGCCUCAUCUAAUCAGUUGAAGGCCUUAAGAGAGAAAGACCUGAGGUUCCCAAGGAAGAAGGAUUUCUACCUCAAGUCUUGAGACUGCAAAAGUAACUCUUCAUUGGGUCUUCAGUUUGCCCGUCUGCCCUGCAGAUUUCAGACCUGCCAGCAAUCAUGUGAGCCAGUUCCUUAAAAUAAAUCCUUUUCUCUCUCUCUCCACACACCCUAUUGGUCUGUUCCUCUGGAGAACCCUGACCUAUACAAGGGGAAAAUUGUAUUUAUGAGCUUCAGUAAUGAACUUCUUCGGCGGCAAAUGGCUUCUGUUAAAUAGGGGGCCAGAAUGCAAGUGAAGGUGUCCGAGAACUAUAGAAUCCUCUGCAGAAUUUUUUUUUAAGGUUUUAAUUUAUUUUUGAGAGAGAGAGAAAGAGAGAGACAGUACAAGUGGGGGAGGGGCAGAGAGAUUGGGAAACAGAAUCCGAAACAGACUCCAGGCCCUGAGCUGUCAGCACAGAGCCCGACACGGGGCUUGGAGCUCGUGAACCGUGAGAUCACGACCUGAGCCAAAGUCAUACGCUUAACUGACCGAGCCGCCCAAGAGCCCCCUCUGCAGAAUUUCUGCAAUGCAGGUACCUCUUCUAUGAUCCUUAUGGCGUGCGAGUAAUGACUUGAAUCUGAGAAUUCAGAAAUUCUGAUCCUGGUCCUGAGCUCGGAUCUCUACAUACCGGCGGUUGGUAGGUCGGAAAGGAAAACCACAUCUCCAAGCACGAGGCACCUCCUUCCAGCAGGAGGCUUAGCCAUCCUACCAUGUGCCACUGCUUCAAAGGUACGACAGAAAACAUCUACCUCAUGCCAGGAUCUGGGCUGGAUGCGUGUGACGGUUCUUGCGACGGCUCUGAAUGGUGGGUAUAGGGCUUCCAAUUCGCUAUUUGCAGGGAACCGUUUUCUGAUGUGUCACGGCCAGGAGUUGGCAGUUACCCGCUUUCAGGUGCAGCGACGGUGCCCCACCUGCAGGGAUGGUGAGCGCAUCCAAUCCCAGGGCUCUGAUCAGGUGAGCAAGACACAGAAAGCGCUGCUUGCGGGGGGGCUGGUGUGGGGACCGCUUGACAAGCAGGGAUACAAGGGAAUGGUCGAGAGUACUCCCAGGGACAAGAGUGCCUCUGAGGGACUCUGCUGGUGUCUGAGAGAGUCCCGGGAGGGAAGACUGCACGUGGCACUGGCCAUGAUUUACCCACCCCAAUUAGCUGCAACAACAGCCCGUGCUGUGAAGCAAAUCAAAGGGGGAAAAAAUAGCCUUUCCAGAAUGGUGACAGAUGUCUCAUAGUGCCGCAUUACAGUGAGAAGCACUUGGACCUUAUUCUAGGUGAGAAGUCCAAUGAAACCCAAACUUGUCCUCUGGACAAGGCUGCUCCGUGAAAUAGAGCUGCCCCUCAGUGAGUCUGGCUGUCUCUCCGGGCCCCUCGCCAAGCCUCAGAAGCACCUUAACUCGAAGCCCUGCUGAUUCAAAGCACCGCCUUCUGUUCUGGGCAAGCCUUGGCCAGGAAAAGUCAGGUAGGGACCCGUUCGUGAAGCAAGCCUACCACGUGAGACUGCAGCUGAGCUCCCGGAGUUCGUGGAGAGGAGUAUGUUGAGUAGAGUUGAAAUGGACCAGUUGUUCCCAGCUGCAUCUCAGCUGUGUUGGUGCUAGAGUCAGGGUGUGGGGCUGCCUUGGGGCCACUCGCCACCCACAGUGUUGUUUCUUUGGGAAAAUGCACUCCCAAGUAUCUUUGUUGGUUAGUGGGUUGACUGGCCGAUUAAUUGAUGGAUUCAUUCAUUCAUUCGGUCAGUCACUGCCUGCCCUACGCCGGGAAGUAACCAGGGAUGCCAUGGCUGUUCUUUUGAUAUGAACAGCAACAGUGUGGAAUGCCUGGGUGCGGGGUAGGGGAGGAGCCUGCCCCAGCCAUCCAUUUCCGUAUGUCAUACCAGGAAUCAAGAAGCAAAGGGCUAAGGGCAGGGGCGAUUCCUCCUCUGCGUGCCAUGUGAUGUGGGCUGGUCAUCCAAAAACCACGUCUUCCCACGUCAGAGAAAAGUUGGGUUUCCCUGACCCAGUUGGAUGAACCUGUGAGCCACUUUGAGGGCAGGGCUGUGUCUCAGGUAUUUUGGUAUCCUCAGAUGCCUCCCACAGAGGGAGGGCCGACCAGGUCAGUCAAUACACGCCUGAUACGGUGAAACCAACUUCGGCUGUCCCAAAGGCCUUUCUUUUGUUGGGUUCUAAGUGGUUAAGAAAGUCUUGGCUUGGAUAGAGUCUUGGCUGUCACUGGGGUUUUGUGAUUGUGUGUUUGAGGGAUAUGCGUUCCAAUGGAUGGAGAGCUUUCCAAAGCACAAGUGAUUCCUAUGGGAGGGGCUCGAUCCCUGUACCCCACCUUGGCCUAGACAAGUCUGAGAGGCUGGAGAGGGAGGCCAGUUAUGGUCUUUGGGAAAUUCUUUUUUUUUUUUUUUUUUUUUUUUUUUUUUUCCCCCCCCCCCCCCCCCCCUCNNNNNACCACAAUUUCUUUAUCCAUUCAUCAGUUGAUGGACAUUUAGGCUCUUUCCAUAAUUUGGCUAUUGUUGAGAGUGCUGCUAUGAACAUUGGGGUACAAGUGCCCCUAUGCAUCAGUACUCCUGUAUCCCUUGGAUAAAUUCCUAGCAGUGCUAUUGCUGGGUCAUAGGGUAGGUCUAUUUUUAAUUUUCUGAGGAACCUCCACACUGCUUUCCAGAGCGGCUGCACCAAUUUGCAUUCCCACCAACAGUGCAAGAGGGUUCCCGUUUCUCCACAUCCUCUCCAGCAUCUAUAGUCUCCUGAUUUGUUCAUUUUGGCCACUCUGACUGGCGUGAGGUGAUACCUGAGUGUGGUUUUGAUUUGUAUUUCCCUGAUAAGGAGCGACGCUGAACAUCUUUUCAUGUGCCUGUUGGCCAUCUGGAUGUCUUCUUUAGAGAAGUGUCUAUUCAUGUUUUCUGCCCAUUUCUUCACUGGGUUAUUUGUUUUUCGGGUGUGGAGUUUGGUGAGCUCUUUAUAGAUUUUAGAUACUAGCCCUUUGUCCGAUAUGUCAUUUGCAAAUAUCUUUUCCCAUUCCGUUGGUUGCCUUUUAGUUUUGUUGGUUGUUUCCUUUGCUGUGCAGAAGCUUUUUAUCUUCAUAAGGUCCCAGUAAUUCACUUUUGCUUUUAAUUCCCUUGCCUUUGGGGAUGUGUCGAGUAAGAGAUUGCUACGGCUGAGGUCAGAGAGGUCUUUUCCGUCGUACUCCAUUGUGUAUAUAUACCACAAUUUCUUUAUCCAUUCAUCAGUUGAUGGACAUUUAGGCUCUUUCCAUAAUUUGGCUAUUGUUGAGAGUGCUGCUAUGAACAUUGGGGUACAAGUGCCCCUAUGCAUCAGUACUCCUGUAUCCCUUGGAUAAAUUCCUAGCAGUGCUAUUGCUGGGUCAUAGGGUAGGUCUAUUUUUAAUUUUCUGAGGAACCUCCACACUGCUUUCCAGAGCGGCUGCACCAAUUUGCAUUCCCACCAACAGUGCAAGAGGGUUCCCGUUUCUGGGAAAUUCUUAAGGUCAGCACCAACCCCCUGUGUGAGAAAAGGUAGGAUUUCCAACAAGAUGUCUGCUUAGGCUGUGGUGUUGACAGUUCAGGCAUGCGGGUGACAAUAAAGAGAAGGCUACUCACUCUUGUCCUCUUCCAACAACUUCUGCUAUCCAUGGUGGCCUCGCAUUCAUCUCUCUUGUCUCAGAAGAACUUCCGGGGCUGAUGACACCUAGCACUUCUAGAAGGAUCUUGUCAAGUAAUCUCAUCAUACAUGUAAUUCAUUUUGGCCAAGCUAGCUAGGGCGAUCAGCACCCUUAUGUCACAGUCACUCUGUUCUAAUUAUCUUGUCAAAGGGACUUCUUUGCUUCCCCUCUCAGAUGCCUCUAUCUUCGUCAAACCUUAGUGACAAAACUUGGGCCAUAGGCUCAGGUGUGGUCUUCCAAGCACAGGGGACAGAGGGAACAGGCAGGAUUCUACUUACCCAGAGUCCCUUUGUGAAGGCAAGGGCACUUAAUUUUGUUGGUCAUUAUAACCAAAAUGAUGUUAGCUAGCAUUCAUGGCCCGACAUGGUGCUGAACACUUUCCAUGCAUUAUCUCACGGGAUUCUCCCAGCACCUCAACAAGAGACUCUGUUUUCCUCCCAUCUUUACCGAUGAAGGAAACUGAGGUUUCAAGAAGUUCAGGGGGCACACCUGAGGUCCUGUCUCAGGUCAGGCUCCCAGAAGCAGACCCCGAGAUGGGGACUCACAGGCAGGGGAUGUGUUAGGGAAGUGAUUCCUGGAGAAAUCUGCUGAGAGAGCAGCUGGACCGGGAAGCGAGCCAAGCAGGGGCCAUCUCCAAGAAGUCCCUGGGCUGAUGGGUUCCACCUAAUCCCACGGGCUGGGCUGGGUUCGUGGGUGUGCACCCUGUGCCCUUGUGGGGCCCCGUGCUCAGGAGGGCCCUGUGCUUGGGUUGACGCUCUGCUGUUGCUGUCUUGAAAUUCUUAACAACUUUGGAAAAAGGGACUUGCGUUUUCAUCUUGCACUGCGCCCUGCAGACUCUGCCCACGGGAUUUCCGAAGUGCGGGCCCCUCGGGGCUGCUCCCACUGGAGGCCUGGGGAUGCGGGCUUUAAUCCUGUCAUCAGCCAUCGGUCAUUGGGUAAGGGCUGCUCCUUAACCGUUCCCACGUUUUCCUGGUUCCUUCUGUAGGCAAGCAAAACUGUCUAAUGGCCUAUGGGCAAUGCUCUGAAAAACAGCCGCAGGUAGUGGCUGUUGGAACUGGAAGCGUCCCGAAGGGAUGGCAGGAUUCAAACUCAGGGCCACGGUUCUUAAUCACUCUUCCUUUGAGAGGUCACAGGGUGGCUUCGGUUCUGCCGUGAGCCCCCGUGUCCUCCGGCCCCACCUUUCCUUCUCUGUUCCUCCUGCUUCAGGUCAUGGGUAGGAGGGAGAGUGAAAGAAUGGGAAGUGGAGGUUGGCAGUGUGCCAGCUGCCGGGAACGCCGUGAUUUACCUUUCCUGCAGACAACUAUUCUGGUCUGGGGGGGCCACCCGGGAACCCGCAGGGUCCAGGCUGGAACAGCGUCGAUGUGCUAAUUCAGCCUUCCCUUCACUGGCGCAGUCCUCAAAGUUGUCUACCAAAAUAUCAAAUCUAUGUAGUUGUCUGCUUUGCCAUCUGUGCAUUUUUAUUUUUAUUGAUGUUUAUUUCUUUAUUUUUUUGAGAGAGAGCGAGCAGGGGAGGGGCAGAAGGAGAGAGCAAGAGAAUCUCAGGCAGGCUUCACGCCCAGCUAGGACCCCGAUUUGGGGCUCGAUCCCGCGAACCGUGAGAUCAUGACCAGAGCUGAAAUCAAAAACUGGACACUUAACUGAUUGAGCCCCCCAGGCACCCCUCCUGUGCAUUUUUCAAGAUGCAAUUCCUAUGGCUUUGGAUCUUUGUACUAAGCUCCUCACAAUAUGCAUUUUAAAGAGAUUUUCUUUAGCUUAAAAAUGAUAUUUAACAACCCACUUGUCCCUUGGCAGGCUGUGUUUGUGACUGUGUAGACACAUCUCCUCUAUCUCUAUAAGUCUCUGCCUAAAUAGGAUUAGUUUAGCCGGUCUGCCCAGAAUUUUCCGUCCUAUGUUAGGUUGUGGAAGCCUUGACUGCAGAAGCCCUCUUUCAAAUCACAUUCGUGCAGCCAUUCCCAGAAACUUUGGUAGGAAAAAAGGCACGCAGGCAUACAAAAUGAUCCCCGGAAUUGGCUUGCGUUGGCAUGCAUUUGCAGAUGAUGGGCCCUAAGUCCUAAGAGCAGGGACUGCCCUUUUCAAAAAAAAAAAAAAAAAAAUCAUUCCUCCUACAUGCCCAGGAGCUGUAGUGCAAGAGGCACAUUCAGUAAAUAUACUAAAUAUAAAUAAGCAGUAAGCAAGAGGGUGAACUUGCUUUCUGAUCGGUGCUACCUGCAAUGUUCUGGAAGUGUUUAGACGUCUCCUGUGUACCUGUACCGCGUUUUGAAAAAAUGUCCUUUUUGGCCCACUGUGCACCAGCUCUUUAAAAGAUCUUGACUUGGAAACUUUGGCUGUUAGUCCCUGGGUUGUCAUCCUCACAAGGGGACCCUGCAUGGGAGAAGGGUGUUAGCCAGGGACUCUUCUAGAAUGUACCACCAGUGAAGUCACCAUCCUUUCUUCCCUUUAUCUCCAUUGUCCUAACAACUUGUUACCUUGUCCUCUUCUCUUCUCCUUAGUAUAUUUGCAGUGUGCCUAUGCCGUAUUUUAAUUAGGUCAGAUUCAUUGGCCUGGGAGAGGUGGGGUGCUCCUUCUGAUGGAGGCACACAUCUUAGGCCAACCGGCUAGAGACCAAUAAGCAAACCACUGCCAAACCUUAGUCUUGUUUGCAUGGGAAACCAGCAGAAACAGGUUCUUUUCGUUAUUUCCACAAAACGUACAUCCCCAAAGCACGCAGAGAAGCCCACGCUGGAUCGUAGCAUCAUCGUUUACUCAAGAUGCCGUACAAAAGCCGAAAGAGGAAGGAGUGGACGUUGGGCCACGAAAGCCAAACGGGAGGAAUCUUCGAAGGAGGAAGAGGCUAAGCAUGGAGGCGGAGGCCGCGAUGAGAAGGCCAUUAUUGGUGUCUUCAGCAAGUCCUGAGCUCAGACAUCCUUGUUUAUGCCUCCGAUGUGCCAGUGACCCCACCUCCUACCGGCCAAGAGAGCCAAUUUCAGAGAGUUCUCUGGGGAAGGAGGGAAUGAGUGAGAAUCAGGCGUGUGUGGGCGCUGGGGAUGCUUAGGUGCAGCCAAUUUGGAGCCCCCUUUCUGAACUCAUCCCAUCCACUCCCCAAUUUCUACUCCUUGUGCCAUGCUGUGCAGGAUAGAGGUCCCAUCUGGGAGGGAGUGUCUGGGACUACCGAAGAGUUACAUUAUGGUGCAAGGCUUCCAAAGGACCCUCCACACUCCCCCCUUCCAGCAUGAGGAUGGCUCACUGAAAGGAGCUCAGCAUUUAUACCCAAUUGGGUAAUUUACUAAUGCUUGUUAGUUUCAUAUCCUAGGAAACUUUCACUUGCUACCUCAAUGAGGACAGUCACAGGCCAUUCCCCCAAAAAACUAUCCCCAGUGAAAAACAACAGACAUGGCCCCCAGGACCCCAGAACCCAGUAUAGACUUGCAUCCAUCAUUCUCUCUUUCUGUCUCUGUGUCUCUGUCUGUGUCUCUGUCUCUCUCUCUCAUCUGCCACUUCACUGUGGCUCACCGUCUUACUCUCUCCCACCCACAUAACCUCAGAAACUGCAGUUGAAAAGUUUCCAUUUUAAUUCUGAUAUUACGAGCCUAUGUAUUUUGCAACUCUGAAUUUUUAGACCGAGACAUGGUACUUUCUAUUAGACGUCUGAUACUUUUUUUUUUUCUUUCGCCUAAUGGACCAAGAUGGCUGCAAAUAUGAUACACAGAGUUUAAUUAACUCUGCAUUUCUUCAAAAGUCAGGGUAACAGUGAAAAGCUAUUUUAAUGGGUAGAGCCCACUAUCAUUUAAGGUCAUAAACUUGAGCCUUUGAAAAAAUAAUGAAUCAGAUAGGUUCAUACUAGUACUGCCUUUAAAGGCACCUUCUUAUAUUACCAGAAUCUUCUGAUAAUGAGAGAACUAAACGGGAUGCACCGUGACACUUUUUACAGCAGCCUCUCCUCGUCGUUACCUGUUAUAAGGUCCUUGUCUAAUUCGAAGGAGCAGAGGAGGGACUUCCUCUAGGUUGUAUUGAUGGGCGUUAGUGUGUUUCCAGCUGUCUGAUUUGGACCACUAUCUAGACUUCACCAGUGAUGCCGUGGAGUGUUCCUAUUGAAGAUUUAAGAGAAAUAGUUUUCUUUCCACCAACAUCAGCUCUCUCUAGCCACUGGAUUUUGCACGGCUCCUUGGUGCAUGCAUACAAGUCACCUGGCUUAACAGGUGUUUGCUUUUUGGUGACUUUCUCACUCCUUUCUGGUAAUUUCCCUGACAGAGCUUGGUUUCCCCUUCUCUCCCCAUGUACAAGGGACACGAGCGCUUGUAGUUGAUGAAAAACUCCGUCAGAUAUAUUUGCAUGAGUCCUUUUUUGUCUUUCAAGCUACAAGACUUCGAUUUUUCUGCAGAAUGCUUGCUUUGUUUUAAAGAACUUGACCACACAUUGUGUAGGAUGUUGCUUGCUUGCUCCUGAGUGGUACAAGGCCCUCGGGGCCUGCCAACAAGACCAGCUGCAUAAUUCGUAGGGUCCAGUGAAAAACGGGAGGGCAGGCCUCCUUGUUCAGUAUGAUCAAGAAUUCCAGGUUGGUGACCGCCGAGCGUUGGGCCAAGAGCAGUGACCCUGUGCAGAUCACAUCCCCAUAAAGUCUGUCAUUCCUACAGAAGUAACUUUUUACGACUAACCCUGAGCAGGAUCUGUGACCGCCUGAGUUUGUUCCUUUGCUAUGUUUAGCUUGUAAACCGAGUAAGCUCAUCCUGUAUCUCUCAGUGCUUUGAAAAGGUUCCACUGACUUGUGGCUUCCAUCGUUGCUAUAGAAAAGUCUAUGUCAAGCUACCCCCACCCCCACCCCCCACCCCCCCAACUCUCUGCUCUUGGAUUUUCCCUUUGGCAAUUUUUCCUUAAACUGUGUCUAGUUUUGUCUAUCUUGCUUUGAACCAGUUUUGCUUCCUGAAUCUGAUUUCCAUCCUGCCCUAGAAAACUCUCAGCCCCUGUCUUUAAAAUAUCGCCUCUUGCUGCCGUCUUCCUGGAACUCCAGUGUGAUACCUGCUAGAGCUUCUUGUUCAUCUUCCAUGUCUUCAACUUCUCUUUCAUUUUGAAAAUCUCUUUGUCUCUGUGCGCCGUACUCCAGGUGAUCACCUUCCAAACCAUUUCCUGGGUCACAAUGCUCUCCUGAGCUGUCUAAGCUGAUCUUUAAAACCCAUUCGUUACGUUUUUGUUUUUAAUGAUGCACAUUUCAUUUCUAGAAGUUAUAUUUGGUCAUUUUUCAAAUUUGGUUUUUAAAAUGUUUUCAUGUUUAUUCGUUUUUUGAGAGAGAGAGAGAAAGCGUGCAUGUGAGCAGGGGAGGGACAGAGAGAGGGAGACACAGAAUCCGAAGCAGGCUCCAGGCUCUGAGCUGUCAGUGCAGAGCCUGAUUUGGGGCUCAAACCCGUGAACCGUGAGACCAUGACCUGAGCCAAAGUCAGACAUUUAACCAACUGAGCUGCCCAGGUGCCCCUGGGUCUUUUGUUUUUUUUUUUUUUAAUUUUAAAUAGAGUCUGAUUAUUUGCUUAUAAUUUUUAUCCUCCCUUUUACAUUUUUAAAUUCAUUUAGGCAUAAUUUAUAGCCUCUUCUGAGAGCUUCAUUAUCUGAUGUUCUUGGGGGUUCCUGAGGUUCAUUACUGCCUGCCGUGUUUGUUGGCUCUGGUUCUUCGUGUUCAUGUCCCUUGAAGCAUUUUGUAGUUUUUGAUUGUGAACUUCCAUUUCAAAGAAUGUGCACUAUGGGAAUCUUGUGUGGCCGAGGCUGGGGAUCUGUUUCCAUAGAGAAGUUUCUCAUUUGCUUCAGCAAGUGCCCCUGUGAUAUUACUAGAUUGGGACUCUUUUGAUGCUAUCUAAUCAGCAUGGACUUUCUAGAACAUACAGGUGUGUCAGUUUAAACCCCAAGGCUGCGUGAAGCAUGGCCUGUGGUUCUGAAGCUCAAGGUGACUUUGUUCCCUGCCAGGGCUCCCUCUGCACAGGCAGCCAAAGUGUCCGCACCUGCUCCGGUGUUCAGCCCGCUUUGGCCUCAGGGAUUUCCUUUACUGAUCUCAGCUGUGCUUUUAAAACCGUGUGUGUUAUUUUUGUACAGCAUAUCUAGGUAUUUUGUGGCCGGAGGUUUUUCAGAUUCUCCUCCAUGAUAAUGCCACAAAUGAUAGUUUCUGUCAUUCCGAAUUUCUGAGCCCAGAAAAAGCUUUCUCACCAUGAUUACAUGUUUUGAGAUCUCCCCAAACAUUAGAGACGGAUGGCGGUGAUGGCUGCACAGCAUCGUGAAUGUACUUAAUGCCACCAAAAAAAAGGUGAAGCAGGCCAGGAACCCUGACCAAAUUCAUGGCAAUUCUACUGCACUGAUCAGAAGACAUCCCUUAUUUUUGUGUGCAGCUUUUCAUUUGGAUGGGGUUUUGGUUUUGUUCUGCAGAGAAAACAGCUAACGCACUCUUUGCUAAAAAGGACUAGAGUGCACAAAUGGUUGGAUUUAUUUAGUACCAAAAUGUGAGAUUAAAAAAAAAAAAAACCCUUAGGAAUUUGAGGACACUGGGAGGGUUGCUCAGCACUGAAAAGAAAGCUGAGGGAGAAAGGCAUCUCAGUUCUCUCUGCCAUCCAUGCUCUCUGGCUUUGAGUAAGGCAAGCAUUGCUUUCUGUUGUUCCUUUCUCUCGCUGUUGGGUUUCUCGCGCCUCAGAGAUCUGCUUUACCAGAAAACGAGAAAGUCUUCGCCCAAGGAAGCAUCAGUGUAGUGAAGUCGAAUUACUGUAAAGGUUUCACGGCUGAGUCAGUGGGAGGGCAGCCAGUGAUCACUUCCUGUCUCACCCAGAGGAGGGAGCUGCCCCGGAAAGGGACGUUGAUGCUGGACCAACUUUAGGUGCUUCCUUUAUUUCCUCAGGGACCAGCAGGACACUCUCUUUCUCUGCAUGGAAUGCUCUGAUAUCCAGAUGGGGAAAAUCUAACUCCGUGGACCAGGAAGGAUAAGCCAUUCAUUCGUUCAUCACUCCUACCUCUUAUUAGAGUGAAGUAAGAGCUUUAUGGGAAAUGUAGGCAGGAAACUUUCACUAUGACUACAUAUGUGUAUUUAACAAUUUUUUUUUUUUUUUGGAUUGAGAAUCUUAAUUACUCUGAAUGCAAAACACUCAAUAAUGUCCUUUGUCUUUGUUGUUGUUACUGUUCUGUGAACAUGUUUUUAGAAAAAACACGGUGCCGUGACAUGACCUUUGCUGAUGAGGCAAUGCUGGGUCCAUUUGUUCAUUCUUUUUUUUUUUCUUUCAAAUAACAUUUGUCCCACAUUAUAUAUUAGGGAUUUGUACUGGUGCUGAGGGGCUCAAAGGAUAAAUAAUAGUCUCUGUCCUCAAGAGUCUCUGUCUGAUGCCUUGUGGAAAGGCCAGCCCACAUACAGAAAGAAAAUUCUAAACAGAACACAAUUCAUCUUCAAAGGAUCUAAUUAAAGAAUCAGAGCGAAUAUUUCCAUAACUUUUUUUAUUGUGAUAAAAUAUACAGAACGCAAAUUUACCACUUUAACCAUUUUUUAAGUGGCAUUAAGGACGUUCCCACCGUGGGCAACCAUCAGCUACCAUCCAUCUCCAGAACUUUCUUAUCUUCCCAACUGAAAGUCUGUCCCCAUGAAACGCUAACUCCCCAUUUCCACCCCUCACCCACCAGCCUCUGGCGGCCACCAGUCUCCGGCGGCCACCAGUCUCCUUUCUGUCUCUAUGAAUUUGACUCCUCUCAGGAGCUCGUAGAAGUGGAAUCUUACAGCGUUUGUCGUUUGGGGUCUGGCUUCUCCAUUACUUUUUUUAACGGAAGGAAAUAUGACUUGCUGAAAAGAAAAUGUCAGCCUUGUCCCUGACUGACUCACCACUUGGCUUGGCCCAGAGUAAGACGGUCAACUUAAGCGUGCGCAGCUCUCCGAUAACGCGACCAUUUUAGUAUCUUUUCUGAAGGCCCCAUCCCAGUGUUGUGGUAUUAGUCCAUUCGAGUUGAUCGACAUUAUUAUAGCCUUAAGAGGCUGCCACUCCCUGGAAACAUGUUCCAGCCUCCCCCCCUCAGGGGGUGGUGGAGCGAGGUAAGCAGCUUGCAGGUGGGACCAGCCCCGCUGGCUUCCACGGGCUGCGUGUCUCACAGCACUUCACGUGUGAGCACGUAGCGAGCCCUGCUAGUCCCUGAGCCCGGAGGCCUGCCAGAAACCCAGGCCCCGAGGACUCCCCUCCAGACGUGUGCUCUGAGCCGGGCUGUCUAAACUCUUUCCUCUGGAACCAAUCAGACCCUCGCCGAAGGGGCCAUAUCUCACCGACUGCUUUUGAGUCACGUGUCAUAUUUGAGAUCUGCCCUGGGUUGGGAGCUGAAACGUUUUGGCUUGUCUCCACUGGAGUCGGGGCAAGGCCUGAAGUCACGAGGAAGGCUGGCUCAGGUUUCCCACUGUGUUUCUGGGGCACGUGGAUAUGCAGCUGAAAUGUUGUACCUUAGGCAGCAAGGGUGGUCUGCCGAGUACGAGUCGAUAUGGCAGCUCAGUUUCUUGGGGUUCAUCUCUUCAUUCCAGCAGAGCAUAAGGUCCACGAGGGCUGAGCUGAUCACCGCCGGAUCCUCAGUGCCUUCCAGGGAGUCUGGAACAAAGUGUGACCGUGUCCUACAAACUGGAGGAGGUAUCUGUUGUCAGGCUAGGGAGCGCGCCAACGUACGGAAAGUUACGUUGUCAGAAACAAGAAAAGGAUACCGCUGAUAAAUGCACUCGUGCCACUUAACCAAGAAAUAUUCCCAAUGAUUGCAGUUCUUUAAAAUACUAGAAUGGAGACAAAAAAAUGCUUUUCUUUUUUUAAAAAAAAAAAUUUAAUACAGUGUUUUAUCCUAAAAUAACAUUAUUUUAAAAAAAAAGUUUUUUAAAUGUUUAUUUAUUUUUUUUUUUUAAUUUUUUUUUUUCAACGUUUAUUUAUUUUUGGGACAGAGAGAGACAGAGCAUGAACGGGGGAGGGGCAGAGAGAGAGGGAGACACAGAAUCGGAAACAGACUCCAGGCUCUGAGCAGUCAGCACAGAGCCCGACGCGGGGCUUGAACUCACGGACCGCGAGAUCGUGACCUGGCUGAAGUCGGACGCUUAACCGACUGCGCCACCCAGGCGCCCCAAAUGUUUAUUUAUUUUUGAGAGAAGGGGAGAGAGACAGAGUGUGAAGGAGGGGCAGAGAGAGAGAGAGAGAGAGAGAGGGAGACACAGAAUCCGCAGCGGGCUCCAGGCUCUGAGCUGUCAGCCCGGAGCCCGAAGCGGGGCUCAAACUCAUGAACCGUGAGAUCGUGCCCUGAGCCGAAGCCGGAUGCCCAACCAACUGAGCCACCCAGGUGCCCCCUAAAAUAACAUUAUCAAUUACCUUUCUUCUUACCAGAUUUCACAGAAGCUUCUGGAGGUACCAGUGAAACACUUAGAACUGAAAGAGGAAAUUAAUGACUUGCGUUUUCAGGAUACAAAUAUCCUGGUUUUCUAGGAUGGUUAAACACUAAUACUGCCAGUGAGAAUGUGAUGCAACGUUGGUGAAGCAACUGCCGUGUAACAUUGUCUUGCGUAGGAUUUUAUUAGAAAAAAAGAAAAGAAAGCUGAGGUCUUGGAAAAUAUUAGAAAAGUAUCUCUCUGCAGGGCUUACCACAUAAGCACGUUGUUCUCAUUCCCCAGUGGCUAUGGUUGGUUUGGACCGGACAGUUCCGCCUUUGUCUCCAGGGUUUGGGCCUCGCUUCUGGUUUUUGACCACCGGCCAGCCAUGCUGUCCUCAUGGAAGUCAUGCAGUGAGAGCUGACGUGGUCUGAGCUGACUCCUCCGGGGCCUUGCACAGAUGUGAGGUCUGUCGCCAGCACGCCGCUGUCUCACGGAGGGUGCCGGGAAGCUGUGCGGGCGGGCAGAGCAGUGGCUAACGGAUAGCCCAAGAACCGAGCCUUCCUCUAAGGUACCCCCACCCCCUGGAAGGUCAGCAAAGACCCCUCGAAUGUUUUUUCUCCUUGCUUCUCUCCCCUUAUUUGUGUGGUAUACAUCUCUUUUUAGCUUGCAGGGACCACGCCUGAACAAAGGAGCCAAAGAUACACCCAAAAUCGAAGCCACAUCCCAUGUUCCCCAAAGAUGACGGCUUUUCUGUUCCCCGCAGCUCAUUACGAGGGCCCCUCACCGGACGAUGGAUCUCUCUGGGCCACCCAGCCGCGCAG